AGAUAGCUGAAGAAAACAAUCAAAAGGUUGGAUAUCAAGCGAGAAAUAAAUAAAUUGACACGUCCAAGGUUAAUUCAAGAGAGGAUUCACAACGGCAACAGGAGCAACAACAACAUCCAUUCUUCUCCGGAUAAAAUUUCAUCCCAGAGAUAGAGCCAUCUCAAACGAAACCCCACAGCCGACCACCAAACCAUAUACUACUAGCUUCCGAUUGUUUCUCCGAUCAACCAAAGAAGACAACAGAAGCUACUACACACACAGUACAUCAACAAUAAUAGUAGUAAGGGACAGACAAGCUCGGCAGGCAACAAAGCUUAAUAACGCGCGGCAGAGCCGAGAAGCGCUGUGCGGCGAAGAAGAGUGGGGGGUCUAGCCGGCGUAGAUGUGGACGCCGAUGGCGAUGAGGAAGAUGGUGAUGAGGGCGAAGUAGAUGACGGCGUGGACGAGGAUGGCGAGGCCGCCGGUGUGCAUGCUGCCGAAGGCCACGAUCCGGCCCUGCGCCGGCAGCUGGAACAGCAGCCCCGGCGUCAGCAGCACGAACAGCACCGUCGCGACCACCACCGGCCCCCAGUCCGCCAUCUCCGCACUCCGGUCGGCUCCUCCUGGAUCCGCUUGCUUGCUCCAAGCUAGCUGCACCCAACACCUCUCUCUCGAUUCAAAACUGGGAGCGAGGAGGAAGAAGAGUAAUGAACUGGCAGGGAAGCAGAGGAAGAGUAACGUUGGGUUUAAUAGGCAGGCUUCGGCUUGGGGAAAGGAGUAAACGGUCGGCGGGCCACGCGGAGCGCUCACGGAGGCACACAGCGGCACGCGAACCUGCUCCAGUGAGCCGCGCGGGUUCCUUCCCGUAGUGUCAUACACGCCGUGUGUGCGUAUGCAGUAGGUGGAAAGGCUCUCUCUCUCGAUCUCUUGCGGGGGGAAACGGCGGUGCGCACCGCCACGUGAACAUCUCCGGUGAGUAGAAUCCAAAUCCGCCAGUCGUCGUCGGCUUGGAUCGACGCGCUAGCACUCCACUAUUUUGUUUCUGGACGAUCUGACCUCGGACGUCGCGCAAACAAGGCUAUAGAUUCACGUGAUGGUGGUAGUAGAAGUAUCUGCCAUUACUGUCCACUAGUUCUCGUGUGCCGUCGAGUCGGUGAAAUCCAAAAUCUGUCGCUCCUGCACGUUCUCUGCUUGGCAACAAGCAGGGAGGUCGAUAAAGAAAAGGAUCACAAUAAGAAGGGGUCUGACGAUGAAUACAAUGAGCGAGCGGAAGUCAUUUCAUUUCUUUUCUUUUCUUUGUGCGGUGCUUUUGCAGGGGAUGUGAAGAAAGCAGGACAUUUCCGUGCGGAAAGGAGCAAAAAUUAUACUCCCCGUUUCUCUACACAAUGGAGGAAAGAAUAUCUUUCCCAACAGAAGCACGAAAGGAAUGACUGGGACAUGUUACCAUACCGACACCAUUUGUUCCGCAAAGAAAGGACCGACACCAUCUGGCAUUUAGCAAAACUGUUUUAGUUACCUCAUGCCGUGGCUACUCAUGUUGUUUCUUUUCGCUAGCACUAGCAACCAUGCACAUCAGAAAAACUGCCCACCUAUCCAUUGAUCCAUAAACAGUUCGCCAGAUUUCGGAUGGUUAUAUACCUUGAUGUUAUCUGUUGAAAUUUGAUACAUUGGUGAACAUGGGUCCACUCACACCCAAUUGACAAACAAAAAAAAACCCUCCAAUCAAUUCAUCAAACAUCAUAAUGGUACAAAAGACACCAGAAAUACAGUAAAUUACAUUCAUAUAUGUAAAGCACACAACGACGACUACAAGCACCAAAGCGAGCUCGAUAAGUGCCAAUAUGUAGUGGGUAAUUUGCCUAAUUUGGGGAAAACGAAGAAGGUGUGUCGCCGUCAUCGUGCCCCCUCUCUCAUCGGAGUCGGGCAUCUUGUUGUAGCAGACAGUUAAAAAAUGAUCAUGUUAGGGUCCCAAACGACCAGCACCCCUGAACAACAACCGUCACGGAAGAGGAGACGCGUAGAUCGGAAGGAUCCAACAUCUGGACACACGAACGCAGACGGACAAAAAUUGAAUCAAAUCAGAUCCAUUGUAGACAAACACUGCCCGAAUUCGACGUGAUCCUCGAGAGACUCACCUUCACCCGCCCUCCGACGAUGCUACACACACCAUCGAGAUGGGGCUAGGCGGGGAUAAUUUUAUUUCAUCUUCAGGGAGCCGCUUCCGCCCCACCUUCCCGAGCAGGACACAAAUUAUAAACAAUCUAAAAAAUAACUAAAAAGGGAGCAGUAGCCUUCCCCAGCAAGAAUCGGGAUCUACCGCGCCUCAAUGGCCCUUAGGACACAGAAGAUGAGGUAGAUUGAUAGCGGCGCCGACGGGUGCCAAGAGAACUAUUUAAAUCUGUGACCCUUAUAUUGGGGGAACAUUCCCUUAGGGAGGUUCCUCAGGGAACAUUCUCUUAGGGAGGUUCUGCAGGGACGAUCGUUCCCUCAGAUAGUGUCAAGGGAGAGAACAAUUGAAUCUUUUCCAGGCAUUUUCUGCAAUGGGUUUCCGCGCGAAAGAAAAAAAAUAGAGAGAGACAACCCGUUGCAUCAAAAAGUGCAUGCAAAUUUGGGCUAAACAGAACGUGGCAAAAAAAUGUUAAGCGGAGAAAAUUGCCAUGCUAGAAAACAAAAAGAUCGCCAUGGUACACACAGAAAAAAUUAGCAUGCAUGUCUAGAAAAUUUACCAUGCCCAAAUAUAGAAAACUGCCACGCUACAAGAUGGUGAUUUGCCCUGCUACAAAUAGAGAAUUGCAUUGUUUCAAAAAAUAAAAAUAAAAUAGAGAAUUGCUAGCACACUUAGCCUAAUUUAGAUGGUUAGGUUUUCUGUGGUGGAACCAGUCCAGUAGGGCAAGUCCUAAACUUGGCAUAGGUGCUUGCUAUUAUUGAAUUUAUUUUAGGCUUUCUGGUGAUGUUCGUUCACUGGGAGGAGAUGUUCUAGGCUUUCUGGCGAUGUUCGUUCAUUGGGAGGAGAUGUUCGAAUAUUGCCACAAAUGACUAACUAGUAGAAUGACCGUGCAUUGCUACGGGUUGCAAUGCAUAUAAAUGAAUAAAAAAAAUGAUUAAGGUCGUCUCCAAGGUCGAAACUCAUUUCUUCCUCACAUUAAUUGGAUCUUGCAUACAUAUUCAAAAACUUCUUGCACACCAGACUGCCUUGGUGGCUUAUUUUUUACCGGUAAAUCACACUCCUUUUGUUCUCCCAACAAAAAUGUUUCUCACAGUGAUGAAUGGAUAUAACUACAACAGUAAUUAAGCAUCAAGAGCUAAAAAAAUCUUUAAUCAAAGAUGUUAAGAAUAUCUGUGUUGAGAAACGUAGUAGAAAACAAAAAAAUUGCCCUACGAUCACUCAAGAACAAUAUGAAGAUGCAUAACGGGUUGUGAUCAACGAUCGUUAUCGACUCCGGGAGUGGAGCGGAAGUAGACAAGUCGGUGUAGAUCGUACUUGGAGUCCCUCGAAUGUCGAUGACGAUCCCACGAACCGCCCUCGUACGGAAGAUCAAAAUCACAACCUCUCUAGCUACUUGGUUGCAAGUGUACGGUCUUCACGAUCCGACAACGCUUCACCAACCAGCGCUAAUCAUCGCUGGAGAAUUAGAGGGAGGAUAUAAGAACCACACGGGGUUUAUAAUUAUGAUGAUUAGAGGUGGCUAGGGCUCGCUCUAAUUAGUCAACUAGGACCAGCUAGAACGUGCACUAGAUCAACUAAAGGAGGCUCCAAAACUUGUAUAUCCAUAGGGUGAAAAUCCUCUAGUAUAUAUAGGUUAGAGGAGAGAGAGAGAGAGAGAGAGGGGCUAGGCACCAAGGGGGAAAGCCCCCCUUGGGGUGCCGGCCUAGGGAGAGGGAGUAGGACUCCCUCCCCUAGUCCAAUCUGCCCCCUCCCCACAAGGAAAGGGGGGGGGUGCCUUCCUACUUGGGCCCUUGUGGCCCAAGUUGCCUUCCACCUCUUCGCCUUUUAAGGCCCAUUGCUAUUUUAAUUAAAUAUAAAAUGUUGUACACAUUUUUAGAGCAUUAUAUAUAUAAUUUAACAACCCUGAAAACAUUUUCUAUCUAUAUAUAUUUAAUCAGUAAUGCCCGGUAUUACCCGAUAUUCACCGAAACCCUUCCGGUGAACGUGAAACGCUUCCGAAACCUCUAGGAACAAUUCCGGAUAUUAAUGAAACAAUUCCACAAAUAUAUCUCAUCACUCCUGUCCCACUAACACUCAAUAGAUCGUGAUUACCUUAAGCUUGUGACCCUGUAGGUUUGGUGAACCAUAGACAUGAACGAAACCCUUUCGUUCAAUGACCGAUAGAGGAACCGUGUACAUCCUUAUCGGUCCCUAUGAUUACACGAAUGAUAUUCGAGUGAACCUUUGGCUAUCAUGUGAUGUUCCCUUUGCUUUGCAAUACUUUACAAAACCUGGUGUGCAUCGGUAUCCUCCUGAGUCAUCACCAUGAUCACUAUAUCGUUGCUCUCGUUAAGAGUUUUGUUCUUCUUUCUUGUUGACGUGUUCCGGCAUCCCCGUGACGUAGUCACCUGUGUCUGGCCAGACGAUGAUGGAUGCGUCACACCGAGAGGUCCCUAAGAAUAUCUCUCCAUCGUCGGAGGAGCAAAUCCCACUCUCAAGUUGUCCGGUCACUUGUCAAACUUUCUAGUGAGCUUGAAAGUUAUCGUUAUGAUCACCUUGUUACAGAUGACAUUUGAGAAAUCCCAAAGCCCACCAUCCAGUUGUAGUGACCGAGACACUCUCAUGGUCCGAGGAACUAAAACACAUGCUAACACUCCAUGUUAUACAAGAUGAUUUCAGACGAUAUAAUAACAUAGUAUAACAGACAAGUAUUGGGUCUAUUCAAUAUGAUCGUUCUUCUAACGUCAUACCCUCAAUGUUAUUUUAGGACUAUUGUUAGGCUUAAGGAGAUCCUAAGAUUCAGAAAACAUGAUCAACAACAACCCUUGAGCCGGUCUUAGAGGCGAGACCGGGAACCUAUUGUUUACUUUUAUCAUUCCACAUGUGUAUAUGAGUUAUCCACUGAAUCGCAUAUUCCAGAAUCAUAGUAGUUAUAGCAUGAAAUAUAAACACUUAACUAUGAAUAUGGAAAAAUAAUAAUACAAUAUUAUUGCCUCCAGGGCAUAUUUCGAACAGUCUCCACUUGCACUAGAGUCAAUAAUCUAGUUAGCACUUUUCACUUUUACACAAAUGGCAAUCCGGUGUCAGUCCAUGCUCUGCUUGUGGUAUCGACUUUGUUCUGUCGAAUCUGACAACUUUAGAUCCGCGUGUAUCAUUUGCAUUUCUAUGCAUCUAUCAUGCUUUGACAAGAAUUCAUAAUUUUUGUGAAACUGGUUUUGUAUAUAUAUUGAUUCACUGGUAGAACCUUUGAUUCUUUAGACUGAGUUAUGGAACCACAAUUAAGAAUAGUGUUCCAAUGAUACAAUCAUCUAGAAACCAUACCAAGCUCAUAAAUGAACUUCCGAUUCAUCGCCCUUCAUUUUUGCUUCUAAAGCAAUAAUAUACUCAGCCUUCUGUUAUAGAAUUCACCACAAUAACUUUCUUGGACAAAUUCUAACUUACCGUGCCACCAUAAAUCACUUUUCAUUUGAAAUCAAAAAUCACUUGGAGCACAGAUGAAGAUUUUAUCAAUGUACUACUUACAACGAGCCUUCAUUGAUGUAACUCCUUACAACAAUCUCUUCAUUUUUCUUCGUGUGUGAGAAACAUUUCAUUAAUCUUUAAAGACAUUUUCAUUGUUGUCCUAUGAUCAACAAUUUGACCAUACUAGUAACUUUGACUUACAACUAACUUAGAGUAUUGGAAAUAUCUGAUUUUUUACAUACCAUGAAAUACAAGUGUGGUUGAAAUCAUAUUUCACUCAUCAGUAUUUCAGUAUACCGACUCCUUCCAUGUGACAUUGACAAGAAAAUCUUCUUGACAUUUUUCUUACUAAAUUUCUUUAGUACUUUUGUAAAUAUGUAUUUUGGCUAAGCCCGAUUAGACACUACUAUCUCCAUAGAUUAUUAUGUCUAAUACAAUGACUAUAUUGCCUAAGUACUUUACUACAAAACUAUUUUCAACAAAGUCUUAAUCCGUGUCAAGAAAUUUACAUAACUUCCAAUCAACAAUAUGUCAUGUACAUAUAGUGUUUAGAAAUAUUACCAUGCUCCCACUUACUUUCUUUUAAAUACAAGAAUCUUCGCUUUACUCGAUGAAAUCAAUUUAUUUGACCAUUUCAUCAGUACGAAGAUUCCAACUCCACUAUGCUUGCUUCAGACCAUUAUAGGAUCUCUUGAAGUUUGUAUACUUACUAGCAUCGUAUGGAUCGACAAAAUUCCCUUGGAUCGUAUCAAACAAACAACCUUGGUUCUAUUUCCAUCUCAUGGGAAUCAUUUCGUCAUCCAUCUUUAUCUCAUAAUUGAAAUAUUUAAUAAUUGCUAGUUUAACCCGAACUGACUUUAAGUAUUGCUAUGAUGAGACAAUCUCGUCAUAGUCAAUUCUUUGAUCUCGUCAUAAAUUAUUCAUAAUAUCUUUGUUAGUUUAUAGAUGAUUACUAGUCUUUAGACUCUAAGUCUUUCGGAGGGUUCAUCUAGUUCUAAGCUUGAAUUAUGUGAAUGGAUACUAUCUCGGAUUAUGUUGGCAUAUAACCAAUUUCCGGAGUCAGGGCCCAUCAACGUUUCUCUGUGAUUUAUAGGUUCAUUGUUUGCCCAACAAUAUUUUGUCUUCAUACCACAAAGGUCUGCACGAAUUUUCCCAACCUAUAUAGUUUAGCUGCAAGUUCGACCGUAGCCUCUAUAUCUCAUGUAGAGGCUUUUGUAUCAGUCGCAGUAAGAAAUUCUAGAAUUACUUCCAGUGUUUCUUUUCUUUGAGCUAAUUAUGAACAUUCUGCAAUCUUGUCGAGUUGCACUGUCCUCCCGCUCACUCUUUUGUAGAAAAUAUUUUUCUUCAAAACUUCCGCACUUUGUGGCAACACUUUGCCUCGAUUUAGUGAUAGAGGAAUACCCAACUAUUUGGGAUAACCUACAAAGUAGCACAUACUUCAAUAAAUUUGAUGGCGCUCCUUUUUUAGUGUAAAAGCCACAGUCUCUAAAGCAUCACUUUUGAAAGUAUAUUGGCGAAAUAAUUAUUGUCAUAUUUAAUCUCACCAUGUCAUACAUAUUUUGAUUGCAUCUACUUAAAACAAUCUACUCUCAGUAGUGUUUCUAGGAGGUGCAAGCUAUAAAAUUCUUUUAUAGCUCAUUAUACAUUCGCUAAAUUUGUAACUCAAAUAUUCUUUUCCGCAAUCCAAUUGUAGAACAUAAUAUCUUGUUACAAUAGUUUCUACUUCAUUUUGAAAACUUUUGAAACACUUCAAAAGAUUUAGAUUUAUGUCUCAAUUAAUAAAUAUAAAUAUCUACUUGAGUCAUCUUGAAGAUAGAUAAAUCCAGUGCUUGCAACAACACUUAUUGGAUUACAUACAUCAAUAUGCAGACCUCCAAUUAUUUUUGUUGCUCGUUCUUUAUGGCUUGUGAAUGGUAUUUUAGUUUACUUCACUAAUUGGAUGAAACUUGCAAGUGUCAGAUGAUUCUCAAUCAUAUGACUUCAAAAUUCAUCACUAUGAAAUUUCUCCAUGUUGGUUUCUCCAAUGUGACUAAAUGCAGUGUCACACACACUACAAAAAAAAGACACAUCCGUGACAUUUUGGGCCGAACGAAUUUUUUUUCUGUCAUACAUAUGACACUUCUAUGAUGAUAAUUGUGACAAAACCCGGUAUCAUCAUAGAUGUGGUGGGCUCCUACUUCUAUGACAAAAAAUCAUGACAGAAAAUGGGCUUUUCAUCCUGGGCGGGCCGGAGACGCAGCUGCAUGACAUUCUUUGGGCCGUCCAUGACGGAAAAAACCGUGGUAGAAGCGAGGGGGAGGAAAAUUUCGGGGAGUUGCCGGUUACGGUGGGAGGUCGGGGGCCGAGCGAUGCGCGUUUCUCUCGUACACGUACACGCGUGUGUGCGAGGCGUUGGCUCUAACUGAACCCGAGCAAGGUGUUGGGCUCUAACUGAACCCGAGCGAUUGCACUGCAGGCUAUGCGUUACUGAACCCGAGCGAUCGAUCAAUGGCUGUUAACUGAAUCCGAUGGAGCGAUUCCUUCGCUACUGCUGCUAACUGAAGCCGAUCGAUUGGAUGAAUAGUGAGCAUUGUAGGGGGGGCAUGGAUGAACAGUAAGCGAUGGCAUUGCCUCUGGAUGAACAGGACCCCAUGGUGUGGAGGGCUGGAUGAAUAGUAGAUGGUGGAGGGGUGACCGUGGAGGGGUGGUUGAACAUGACCCCGUGGUGUGGAGGGCUGGAUGAACAGUAGACGGUGGAGGGGUGGUUGAACAGUAGCCAGUGGAGUAGCGCGUGGUGGAGGCUGGAUGAACAGGAGCCCGUGGAGGCUGGAGGAGGUCGACGGUGGAGAUGAACAGUAUCCCGUGGAGUCCCGUUUUGCGGUACGCCACACCCCUCCCGAUGAACAGGACCCCCGUUUCGACCGUAGGAGGUCCGUUUCCUCCAUUUUAUGGUACACCACACCCCUCCCGAUGAACAGGACCCCCGUUUCGACCAUAGGAGGUCUGUUUCGUCCGUUUUGCGGNNNNNNNNNNNNNNNNNNNNNNNNNNNNNNNNNNNNNNNNNNNNNNNNNNNNNNNNNNNNNNNNNNNNNNNNNNNNNNNNNNNNNNNNNNNNNNNNNNNNNNNNNNNNNNNNNNNNNNNNNNNNNNNNNNNNNNNNNNNNNNNNNNNNNNNNNNNNNNNNNNNNNNNNNNNNNNNNNNNNNNNNNNNNNNNNNNNNNNNNNNNNNNNNNNNNNNNNNNNNNNNNNNNNNNNNNNNNNNNNNNNNNNNNNNNNNNNNNNNNNNNNNNNNNNNNNNNNNNNNNNNNNNNNNNNNNNNNNNNNNNNNNNNNNNNNNNNNNNNNNNNNNNNNNNNCCGUAGGAGGUCCAUUUCCUCCGUUUUGCGGUACGCCACACCCCUCCCGAUCAACAGGACCCCGUUCCGAACGUAGGAGGUCCGUUUCCUCCAUUCUGCGGUACACCAGGCCUUGUUUCCAUCUCCUGUUCCGUCCAAGUCCUCCCGAUGAACAUGACCACGCAUUCCGUUCCGACCCAGCUGGUUGGCUCCCACACGUUUCGUUGCUUCCCGAUGAACAUGACGCAUUCCGUUGCCUCCCCAUGAACACGACGCAUUCCUUUGCCUCCCCAUGAACACGGCGACGACGCUGUUUCUCCAUUCCGACCAAGCCAUGUACACGAGCCCUCGCCGUACGUAUGCGCGAGUAGGCGUUCGAGACCCCGCCUGUAUGUAAACAUACAUGGCCGUAUUUUCUUUCUUGUACCCUGGCCGUUGUACGUACGUGUACAUGCUACGUGCGCACCUCUACUACGACACGUGCGCGCCUCUACACCCACCAGUAUAUAUGUACGUACACGUUCGCGACCAGAAUGACAAUGCUACGUACGCUUUGACCAGGUGGGUCCCGACUGUCAGGCACUUCCUUGCUUGCGAAGAUGUAGCUGGUGGGUCCCAGCAGUCAGGGGGCGAAUCGUUUUUUUUUGCCCGAACGCACUUCCUUGCAUGCGAAGAUGUAGCUGGUGGGUCCCAGCAGUCAGGGGGGCGAAUCGUUUUUUUGCCCGGACGUACUUCCUUGCGUGCGAAGGUGUAGCUGGUGGGUCCCAGCAGUCAGGGGAGAAACGUUUUUUUCGCGAAAUACGGUGGCCCGUCCGGUGGGUCCCGCUGUCAGGUGGAGGAAUAAUUAUUUUGCACGUAAUAAGGAGACACUUCCUUGCUGUGGCCGUGGACCCAGCUAUCAGCCUCUCCACAUACAGUCCACGUCCGAUGGAAGCCGUUCCUUGACCAUGUUGACCAUGCCGCGCCGAGAGCGUGGAUGACGACGAGGCCUAGGAAGGCGAUGACGCGAAGCCGGGGAAGACGCGGCAUUGUAUGCCCAUGCAUAGAGGAGUACGAGGGUUCACUGGUUCACUGUUGUUUCCCACGCGGAGGGGAGUAUGACUGUACGAGGGUUUACUGGUUCGUCUGCCAUCGCCGGAGAAUAACAACAGGUGUGGGUGAAUAGAGGGAUGACUAGGCCAGCGAUGGGAGUACGAUGGGGCGGUGAGGCCUGCGCGGCAGCACAGCCGGCCAUGGGGAGGAGGGAGCAGGCAGUCCCGCCGGCGGUUGUUUGAGCGGCUGGAGCAGGAAGAGCAGAGAUUGAAGAAGCACGACGGCCAUUGGAUGGACAUCCAACCGUUACUGCUUGUGCGUCAACCAUUUUUUUAGGAAAGCCUCAAAUCUGUGGAAAACAACAUACAACCCAUCUACCAUUAUUUCUAAUAAUUUAUAGCCCAUUUGCUAAUUCUUAAGGUUUUUUUGGAGCCCAUAUUCUUUUUGUUAGCAUUACAGCCCAUAUUGUGGCCACGGUUAAAAAAUUAUACGAAAUUUUGUAUAUUUCGGUGCGGUCCGAACUGUUUUUAAUCCCGAAAUUUUGACUCACAUUCAAACUGAUUUUAAAAAUAAAUGUAUAUCAAUAUAAAAUCCAACAAAUUCUCCACGCAUAAAAAUUAAUGUAAUUUAAAAUCUUGAAAUGAAAAAAAAUAUAUUUGAAACUAAUUGCCGGUUUGAUGUGUUUUAAAAAUGUAUAACCCAUUUCUCAUUACUGAUGGGCCAUUUUCUCGGCCAGCCGAAUGAAAGGUCUCCUUGUCUUGAAAGAUUUACAGCCCAACAGGCCUGACAAAGCGACUUACUUGGCAAAUCACAAAAAAACUGGGCUGUGGCCAUGGACCCAGCUGUCAGCCUCUCCACGUACAGUACUCUUCCGAUGGAAGUCGUUCCUUGACCACGUUGACCACGCCGUGCGGAGAGCACCACGGCGGUGGACGACGACGAGGCCUAGGAAGGGGACGACACGGAGCUGGGGAAGACGCGGUAGUGGAAGCCCACGCGGAGAGGAGUACGAGGGUUCACUGGUUCGGUUACGGUGUGAGGCUGCCGUCGCCGCAGGGCCUGGCCAGCGGUGGGAAUAGUAGGGGCGCUGAGGCCUCUGCGGCAGCACAGCCGGCCAUGGGAGGCAGGAGCAUGUGGCACGACCAGCGCUGCUUUGCGCGGCUGGAGGAAGAAGACCAGAAGUUGAAGAAGCAGUACGGCCGUUGGAUGGACAUCGUACGGUCACUAGAGCUAGAAUCGUUCAUAUUGACUAAGUUGAGAAAGCGCUUCGUCCCCGUCAACUUAGUAGGCCCACAAGACAGCCUCCCACCAAGGUGGGUCCCAGCUAGCCGGGGGAGUAUUCAUUUUUUUGCGUAAUAAGGAGGCACUUCCGGUGGGUCCGAGAUGACAGCGGGGGGAACGUUUUUUUCACGUUAUACGGUGGCCCGUCCGGUGGGUCCCAGCAGUCAGGGGGAAACAAUUUUUUUCGCAAAAUACUAGUGGCCCGUCCGGUGAGUCCCCGCUGUCAGGUGGAGGAAUAAUUAUUUUCCGUGUAAUAAGGAGGCACUUCCUUGCUGCUGCCGCGGACCCAACUGUCAGCCUCUCCAUGUACAGUACUCUUCCGAUGGAAGUUGGUCGUUGACCACAUUGACCAUGCCGCGUCGAGAGCACCACGGCGGUGGCCGACGGCGAGGCCUAGGUGUCAGGACCCCGACUCAAUGCCACAUCGAUCUAGCAUGUAACACCUCAUAUCACUUUGCGGCCUCACGCACGGUAUUCCCACGGGUGUCGCCCUACCUUUACCCGGGACCGUUUGCGCCUUUUGGCACACGUAUAUGACAGUGUCGCUAGCAUCUAUAUGAUAAAGAGCCCGGGCUGACAUGGCUAGUCGUAAACCCAAAGUGGCACAAACUUACAGGGACAGGCAUCCAUGACCUAGCAUCGAACGUGUCGGUCAUCAGCAAGUGAAUCCAGGCUGUAGCACUAGGCUAGCAGGACUCCGGUGAACCGGGCUGUAGCGGGCUAACAGGACACCGGUAUUCAUCGCGUGACAUUUCCCCGAAGGGACAGACACAGGAACGAAGAAGGACACAUGCCGGCCAGCCUAAGUGUUCCGGAGCAGUAGCAAGCUACCAUUGGAAACACUAGGAGACAUUUCCCGGUAAGAGAGGCUACUAAGGAUAAACAACUAGAUAGUCAGAUCCCACACAUACCAAGCAUUUCAAUAACAUACACACAAUAUGCUCGAUAUGUGCAAAUACAACAUGGCAUCACAACAUGACUCUACAACUCAGGUAAUUUAUUCAUUAGGCUCCGAGGAGCGAGAUAUUACAAACAUGGGUCUCAUGACCCAACACUCAGAGCAUACAAAUCAAGCACAAGCGGAAGCUAUCAUGUCUGAGUACAGACAUCUAUAAAUGGAAAAGGCUGAGAAGCCUGACUGUCUAUCAGAUCCUGCCGAGGACACAAGAUCGUAGCUGAGGUAACAAGCUAAACGUCGAAGUUCACGUGGAACUACUAGUGAGACUGAAGUCUCUCUGCAAAAACAUAAAAUAGGCAAACGUGAGUACAAAUGUACCCAGCAAGACUUACAUCAGAUCUAUCUACAUAUGCAUCAUUAUCAACAAAGGGGAUGGUGGGGUUUAACUGCAGCAAGCCAACUUUGACUCGGUGGCUAUCCUGAACUACGACUGCAAGUAACUCUUUUGAGGUGGCGCACACGAGUCCACAUAUUCACCAUAUCAAUACACCACUAUGGAUCCGCUCCCGUCUCCCUACGAGAACGCCAUCCAUAGCACUCACGCUUAUCUUGCGUAUUUUAGAGUAUCCACUUUCACUUGUCUAUGAACUGUACAAGGGGUCCAAGUUUCCAUAUCCGAGGAAUCCGGCUAUUCGAAUAGAUAAUGAUAACCCUGCAGGGGUGUACUUCUUCACACACGCUCUCGCCACUUACCGCCCUGUACACGUCAUGUACCUCGGCAACCUUCAAGCGGAAGCCGGGCGAGGGAGUCGGCCACGACCUGACUAACCGAACAAGUCUCUCGUCCAGGUUUAUCGCCUAUUCGGGUUCCAUCCGCAAGGAGAUCCGGCCGGGGUGUCGCUCACGGCCCCAAACGAUGUGAGCAGGGUUCCCAAGCCCACCAACCGGGUGCCACUUGGUACACCGGGCCACUGUGCCUAGUCUGUCCCAAGCCCACCUGUACCGGGUGCCACUUGGUAGACUACUAACACUACCUACAAACACCAGAAACUAGUUGCAACUCCUGGACAGAGAUCAAGUUGAUUAAUAAGUCGAGAGGGGCACUUAAGCAUUCCAAUGUGUGGUAGUAGCUGGUCAUGGAUCACAAACACAGAACUCAGUUCCUGAGGACGGCUGCAAUGAGACAACCCACCAUGUACUCCUACAUGGCCUCUCACCGCUACCUUUACCAAAUCGUGUUCACACACUUAGCUCACACACAGUAGGACAUGUUCACACGCCUCUGAUUCAUCCCCGAUGAAUCAGACCUGACUCAACUCUAAGCAGUAGCAGGCAUGACAAACAAGCAUGAAUGAGUAGGCACAUCAGGGCUCAAACAACUCCUACUCAUACUAGUGGGUUUCAUCUAUUUACUGUAGCAAUGACAGGUCAUGCAGAGGAUAAAGGGGUUCAGCUACCGCAGCAAGUAACAGUUGAAUCGUUGUUGUCCUAAUGCAGUAAUAGAGAGCAGGAGCGAGAGAGUAGGAUUGUAUCGGAAUGAACAAGGGGUUUUUGCUUGCCUGGCACUUCUGAAGAUAACAUUGAGUCUUCAUCAGUGUCAACGAUCACAUCAUCGGUAUCACGUCUAUCGAGAGGGGACAAAUACCGGCAACACAGAAGGGAACACAAUCAAUGCAAUGCACAAUAUGAUGCAUGAUCAUGACAUGGCAAAAUGAAUGUGUUUUGAGCCAAUGCAACUAGCAACAGAUUAAAUGAAGUUGGUUUGAAUACAAGAUUCAAAUUCAAACUCCAUAUGUGAUUAUUUAAAUGCCCUUCACUUCAUUUUCCCUAAACAGUAGUGAUAAGUUGUUCUAACAUGCAUGGAAAUGGUACAGAUGGAUUCCUUGAAUUUUUCUGAUAAUUUUUCAUAUAUAAAUUAUUUCAUUUGGAGUUACGGUUGAAUUUCUAUGAAUUAUUGAAGUUUUAGCUAUUUUCUGGAAUUUCCUGAUUAUUUUUAAAUCCAGAAAAUACUUAUUGCGUCAGCACCACGUCACUGUGACGUCAACAGGGUCAACUGGGCGCCCCAGGUCAAACCUGACGUGUGGGGGCCACACGUCAGUGACACAGGAGCUAAUCCCGGUCAAACCCAGCGCUGACUGGGGUUUGACCAGGGGUGGGGCCCACUGUCAGUGGCUGUGGGUUUAAUUAGUGGGGCCAUUAACACUAAUUAAGCGUGCCCCGUCGGCAGUCGCCGGAGUAUCGCCGGCGGCGACCAUUCCGCACGGCGGCGCGGCUCGGAUUUGAGCUAGGGGCGAUGGUUUGGCGCGCGGUUUGGCUCAUUAGAACGUCCGCGACGCAGCGCGUCCAGCGGUGGCUGUGGCCGCGGCUGGGGUGGCCGGAGCCGACGACGGCGAUGGCAAGUGCGGCGGCCGGAGCUUCGGGUUCGAGCGGGGCGAGGCCACAGAGGACGGGAGGGAUGGCUAAGGGGCUCACCGAGCUCCUGAAGAUGCUAGGAGCACGGUGCCGUGCUCGGUUUCGAGCCUUGCUGGCUGCAGUGACGGCGGCGACAUCGCCGGCGGCGUGGGGUUCUCGGCUCGUUGUGAACGGCGGCUAGAGAGGGAGGUAGGGCACGGGGAGAGGGGGAAUCAGGUCAAAAGCUCACCGCGGAGCUGCAGGGAGGGUUAGUGGGCUCGGGGGCGCGCCGGAGUGGCCGAAUCGACGGAGAAAGGCGCCGGGGCCGAAGCUUGGAGAUGAUGACGAUGGCGGCUGCUCGGGGCCCUUCUGGUCGCGUGAGACGUCGAGGAGGUCGAGGGAGGCACUGCGGAGCUCGGGAGCGCGUCGGGGAGGAGAGGGGGUGGUGGUGGCCGCGGCGAACGGCGUCGGUGGCGACGGGGCUCCGCUCGGAGGAGGAGAGAGGGAGCCAGAGAAAGGGGGGAGAAGGCACGGGGAGAGUGCGAGGCCUGGGAGGGUGCGUGGCAUCGCGGACGGGGUCCAGGGCGACGAGAGGAAGCAGGAGGUGGCCAGGGGGAAGCAGGAGGUGGCCGAGGCCUCUCGGGCGCGCGCCACGCCUCGCCUCUGUUCGUCCUCCUGGCAGAGGAGGAAGAGGACAAGGGGGAAGGAGGUGGGCUGGGCCGGCCAGAUGGAGCUGGGCCAGGUAAGUGGCGCCAGGUAGGUGGCCCAGGUGGCCUUCUCUCCCUCUCUUUUUUUUAGUUUCCAUUUUCUAUUUUUUUCUGUAUUUGUUUUGAUUUAGUUUAGCAACUAAACCAUUUUAAUAAAUUCUGUUGUUUAUUAUGUGGCUUAUUAAAAUAUAUACAAAGCCACUCACAAACUUCCAGAAUUAUUUGGAGUCAUAUUUAAUAUAUAUUAAAUAUAAAUCCAAAGCAAAUAGUUAUUGGAUUAAUUCAAAUGGCCAAAAUAAAUAUCUCUGUGACUCCAAAAAUAUUGGUUUAAAUUUUACCUCUCACCAAUAUUUCCAUGGAAUAACAGGAACGUUUUCUUGGACUCAUUUGAUGAAAUUUAAAUGUUGGUUAUUUUUAGAGGUCUUCUGAGGCUUUGAAAAUUCCUCAAUUCAAUUUCAUUUGAAUUUAAACAUGAUGCACCCACCAGACAGCACCAGAAGCUAGGGAUGUGACAACUCACCCCCACUAAACAAGAAUCUCGUCUCGAGAUUCAAGCGUAGGGUAAGGUGAAGGGGGAACGCAACUAGUACAAUCUUCACGAUCCAGGUUGCACUUCAUAGGAACGUUGAUUCGAUCACCAUUAUUGUCUCGAAGUCUUGCUCUGAGAAAUCCUGCCAACAUGACAUGGAGAGAAGAAAGAGACUCUAGAAGGGUCGAUCUUCUCGAAGAUCGAACAACUCAGGAUUAACUCACGGAAUAAGACAUAGCAACCUCUCUCGAGCUGAGACACUAAACAUACAUCCAUGUGAAUGGAGUGGAGUAGAUGACGAAGGUUCACUAGGUAGACAACAAUUUCACGCUUAAGAAGGUGGCGAUCGGUUGUCAACGUAGCGAGGAGUUGAAUUGCCAUGAUACCACGACGAAACAUCCCGGAGAAGGGUGAUUCGUAGAUUAUUUCCUUAAGUGGCAAAAAGAAUUACCUUUGAUAUAGAGAUCAUUGAGACUCUCUAUAUCAGCCGAAGGCAAAUCACAACAAUCGAUUGGCGGGGUCGGUAGAAUGGCAUACUUGGACUUGGAUGAUGUGGAUUACCUUGUUGAAGACAACGUAAUGGAUGAAUUUGCUUAUCACCGGAGAUGGAAGAGACCCAUGGUAGAAUGGCACAUUGGCGGUGCAAGCUAGGAACAAAAUGCAAAUGCUGGGAAUGAUUCUGGUAACUGGGAAAGAACCCAACAACAGAGAGUGAAUUCACUGUUUGAAUAGGUCAUAGCGUUACCGAGGAAACCGAGAGGAAUCCCAGUUAGUGCCGAUGAUAACACCUAGCGCUUGUGCGUGCUCUCAAGAACUUGGGCAUUUCCAUAAUCAUCAAGGUUUUACCAACAUCCGUGUCAAGGAUCCUGGCAACACAACUUGCUACCAUGAUGAAUGAUGAUGGAUGAUGCAGAUGCAAAGGAAGAUAACACUUUCUCAGAUUUCACCCUAGCAAUGCCAAGGAAGAAAAUCUGGAUGAUCGACCGAGAGACAUUUAGCACUCCGCUUCUAAUGUUCUCCUUGAUGUGCUAGUGUAACCCAUUCAUAGAUAUGGUUUGAUAACUAGAACAUCAAGUAAAAGGUCGGACUUCGGGAGCAAAAAAAAAAUCCAUAAGGAACAACUAGGGAGGUAAAUCCUACAAAAUCCUUAUGGGGAGGUGGCCAUCUUCCUCAAUCAAGAUACUACAAUAAUGGUUCUUCCGGCUGGGUGUGUUGGCCACGACAUCCACCUUACCGGUUAUCGAGGGACCAAUAUUAUAGUUCUUGGGAAAUGUUCCAACCAUCAUAUCUGCCUGAGAUUCAGAUCUGGUUGGUGUCAGGAUAUUCCAGACUCAUCGGGUCUAGGAAGAAAAAUGAAAGUUUGCAACACAAAUCGAUGAAAUGACGUUGCGAGAUUCUCGGGAAAUGAACUACGAUAGCAAGCUCCAAAACAUGAGCUGGUUCUGCUACACACGUGUGAACACGCUGUCCUAGACAAGCAUGACCACGUGGUAGACUUACAAUAAAACACUACCGAGUUCUGGUUGGGAACCAUCACCAUGGAUAACGAAGUCCUUGCAUAAGUCAUAUGAUUAGCUCUUAUGAGGGAACUUCUUCUCCUUGAACAAAUCAAUCAGUGGCUUGGUGUGCUACAGAAUUCAUAUGGAACGAAGAUGAUCAGUCUAACAGACCACAGAAUACUUUGCACGUGCAUGACUGACUUGGGAUGAUUCCAAAGGAGCAAAAACAAACUUUCUUGAAUUCACGACGGCAACUUACAUCAAAAUGCACGUGAAUCAAAGGAAGUCACUCCUUUCAUCAAACAAGUACUUCAUGAGCUAGCAUGAAGAAAAUGCUUUCAAAAGUUUCCAACACUAACUUAAUGUUCAACAACAUCAUGGAGGAGAUAAGGAUGUUGUCAAUGGGCUCAACAACAACUCAUCGUAAUUUCCAUAUCACUGGACUUCCACCAUCGCGUGAACACGGUGAUAGCAUUGGUCAGACCCAAAAAAUAUAAUGGUGUAUGCUCGAGGAAAAUCCACGAAUAAGACAGCAUUACGAACAUCGUUGGUUCUGAUUUGAUUUGACGAUAGCCCAUACUUAAAUCAAAGGUUUGGGUAAGAUAAUAGAUCCAACAAUUGUUCACAAGGACCAAUUGAUGAAGAUACCAUCUUUCUUCAACACACACACACACACACAAAAAGAUAUCCCUUAACAUGAACUAAGUCAGGCAAGCUUUUAUCUUCCAACUCUCCAAGUUGUUGUUUAGCUUGACCAACUAGCUCAGGGGUAUCCCACACAGAUUCAUGGAGAAGGGGUGGUUUACAAGGAACCAACUUGAUCACGAACUCAACAUAGCGGUCCGGUGACAACCUGGCGAUACUUUCGAGAAGAUAUUCGGAAAAUCACGAACCACCGGUAUGUUACUAAGCUCGAGAACAAUCUCUCUUUUGAGGGCAAGACGAUAUGAUCAAAUGAGUGAGGAAUUGACAAGAUCCUAACUCAUCAAUCGAAGGGUGCACCGAAAUAAGGACUAGGUAGCACGAUCAGUCUUAGAAGGAUGAUUCAAAAACCAACACGCUAAGAAUGAAAUUAUUGUCCUUUAACUACCAAGCAACGAGGUUGCUAGGAGUAUUGAUUUCACACAUCACAAUUCAUUUGUCGGUAUUCCGGUUGCAUCAACACGAAGACCGAGGAAUGACUAAUGAUGGUGAGAAGUAUCACUACGUCAAAAUUCAUGAGAGUUGGUGUAGUUCUCAUGACAAUUCUGACAUAAAGGGGGUAAUACUCCAAGGUAGAACAAAACCAAAAGCUGGAUUGGCAUUUGGUCUGCGGAAUACAACUGCUUUGACCCAAUCCUAGAUAUGGAUGAGAUACUGGAGUUUGUUUCUCCUAGUCAUUCAGGACAGAAUGGCUUGACGGACCACAAGAGUAAUAGGCAUCGAUAAACGAAUGCACGCAUACUCUUGAUUAUCAAUUGACAGACGAGGGUCAGAAUACAACUAAGGAGGAACAACUCAAGGAACAUAUAACUUUCUGAGUUGUGGAUGCAUAGAUUAGUAUGUCGAGCGAAGUUCAACAUAAUUCUUCCGGAUAACCCAUGCAGAGAGGUAGGACUGGCAGAGCCACAAUAUAUAAUGGAGAACUCAUCAAGAGCACUCUGGUUGUGAUUGUUCAGUUCAACGAGGAACUUCUGCCAUAAGUAGUUCAUGGUAUUUGGAAGAAGAAGAUACCACGGACUUCAAGGACUAUCGCGAGGUUACUAAUAACCUAAGGGAGCUAGCAAUUACUAUCAACAUGAAGUAAGUAGGGUGAAUCUCGGGUUCAAGAACCCAGGAAUAGAAUACCUACUCCUAAGUAGCAUCACGAGACGCUUUCGGGAAUGAUGUCCAGAAUCAUCACACUGGGAUCACAAAACAUGGCUAGACUACUAGAUGAUCACCUGAGACACCUAGGGUCAUAAUAAUAACUCCAACAUAAAUGUCGAGGCAAUAGAGUACCUCAACUCACCGUCUAGUGUGGUUAAUCUGGCCAUAAAGGACAUCGAGAACAGAAAGAAAGGAUUUGCAAAUGCAUCAGACUAUUUAGAAACCUGGGAUGACUCGGACAGCAUAACGGCUGUAAAUGCUCAGAAAAGACUUGAGACAUUCACAAAAAUGGUGGCAUAACCAUGCAGAAGCACAAUAUCAAGGAUUCGAGAUCAACAAUUAACAUACGGAAGUAGUAGGAACUGACUGAGAUUAGAACCAUCAAUCCUACAAGUCUACGGAUUAGUAACACGUGAUCCUGAUAGAAAGAAGAGAUAGCCUAGUUCUUAAUCCCCGUAGGAAAGAUAAGAUGACUCAGAUCAGAAGGGCAUAAGGUAUAAGGAGUAAAAAGAGCCUUACGUUCCAUUCCACAAUCAAUUCCCUUAUAUAACUAAAGCAUUUCUAGACUCAACUUCGACCAGUUGGCUUGGUAAUCCUACAGGCAGUCAAGCUCAAAUACCAACGCUGUCAGGACCCCGACUCAAUGCCACAUCGAUCUAGCAUGUAACACCUCAUAUCACUUUGCGGCCUCACGCACGGUAUUCCCACGGGUGUCGCCCUACCUUUACCCGGGACCGUUUGCGCCUUUUGGCACACGUAUAUGACAGUGUCGCUAGCAUCUAUAUGAUAAAGAGCCCGGGCUGACAUGGCUAGUCGUAAACCCAAAGUGGCACAAACUUACUGGGACAGGCAUCCAUGACCCAGCAUCGAACGUGUCGGUCAUCAGCGAGUGAAUCCAGGCUGUAGCACUAGGCUAGCAGGACUCCGGUGAACCGGGAUGUAGCGGGCUAACAGGACUCCGGUAUUCAUCGCGUGACAUUUCCCCGAAGGGGCAGACACAGGAACGAAGAAGGACACAUGCCGGCCAGCCUAAGUGUUCCGGAGCAGUAGCAAGCUACCAUUGGAAACACUAGGAGACAUUUCCCGGUAAGAGAGGCUACUAAGGAUAAACAACUAGAUAGUCAGAUCCCACACAUACCAAGCAUUUCAAUAACAUACACACAAUAUGCUCGAUAUGUGCAAAUACAACAUGGCAUCACAACAUGACUCUACAACUCAGGUAAUUUAUUCAUUAGGCUCCGAGGAGCGAGAUAUUACAAACAUGGGUCUCAUGACCCAACACUCAGAGCAUACAAAUCAAGCACAAGCGGAAGCUAUCAUGUCUGAGUACAGACAUCUAUAAAUGGAAAAGGCUGAGAAGCCUGACUGUCUAUCAGAUCCUGCCGAGGACACAAGAUCGUAGCUGAGGUAACAAGCUAAACGUCGAAGUUCACGUGGAACUACUAGUGAGACUGAAGUCUCUCUGCAAAAACAUAAAAUAGGCAAACGUGAGUACAAAUGUACCCAGCAAGACUUACAUCAGAUCUAUCUACAUAUGCAUCAUUAUCAACAAAGGGGAUGGUGGGGUUUAACUGCAGCAAGCCAACUUUGACUCGGUGGCUAUCCUGAACUACGACUGCAAGUAACUCUUUUGAGGUGGCGCACACGAGUCCACAUAUUCACCAUAUCAAUACACCACUAUGGAUCCGCUCCCGUCUCCCUACGAGAACGCCAUCCAUAGCACUCACGCUUAUCUUGCGUAUUUUAGAGUAUCCACUUUCACUUGUCUAUGAACUGUACAAGGGGUCCAAGUUUCCAUAUCCGAGGAAUCCGGCUAUUCGAAUAGAUAAUGAUAACCCUGCAGGGGUGUACUUCUUCACACACGCUCUCGCCACUUACCGCCCUGUACACGUCAUGUACCUCGGCAACCUUCAAGCGGAAGCCGGGCGAGGGAGUCGGCCACGACCUGACUAACCAAACAAGUCUCUAGUCCAGGUUUAUCGCCUAUUCGGGUUCCAUCCGCAAGGAGAUCCGGCCGGGGUGUCGCUCACGGCCCCAAACGAUGUGAGCAGGGUUCCCAAGCCCACCAUCCGGGUGCCACUUGGUACACCGUGCCACUGUGGCUAGUCUGUCCCAAGCCCACCUGUACCGGGUGCCACUUGGUAGACUACUAACACUACCUACAAACACCAGAAACUAGUUGCAACUCCUGGACAGAGAUCAAGUUGAUUAAUAAGUUGAGAGGGGCACUUAAGCAUUCCAAUGUGUGGUAGUAGCUGGUCAUGGAUCACAAACACAGAACUCAGUUCCUGAGGACGGCUGCAAUGAGACAACCCACCAUGUACUCCUACAUGGCCUCUCACCGCUACCUUUACCAAAUCGUGUUCACACACUUAGCUCACACACAGUAGGACAUGUUCACACGCCUCUGAUUCAUCCCCGAUGAAUCAGACCUGACUCAACUCUAAGCAGUAGCAGGCAUGACAAACAAGCAUGAAUGAGUAGGCACAUCAGGGCUCAAACAACUCCUACUCAUACUAGUGGGUUUCAUCUAUUUACUGUGGCAAUGACAGGUCAUGCAGAGGAUAAAGGGGUUCAGCUACCGCAACAAGUAACAGUUGAAUCGUUGUUGUCCUAAUGCAGUAAUAGAGAGCAGGAGCGAGAGAGUAGGAUUGUAUCGGAAUGAACAAGGGGGUUUUUCUUGCCUAGCACUUCUGAAGAUAACAUUGAGUCUUCAUCAGUGUCAACGAUCACAUCAUCGGUAUCACGUCUAUCGAGAGGGGACAAAUACCGGCAACACAAAAGGGAACACAAUCAAUGCAAUGCACAAUAUGAUGCAUGAUCAUGACAUGGCAAAAUGAAUGUGUUUUGAGCCAAUGCAACUAGCAACAGAUUAAAUGAAGUUGGUUUGAAUACAAGAUUCAAAUUCAAACUCCAUAUGUGAUUAUUUAAAUGCCCUUCACUUCAUUUGCCCUGAACAGUAGUGAUAAGUUGUUCUAACAUGCAUGGAAAUGGUACAGAUGGAUUCCUUGAAUUUUUCUGAUAAUUUUUCAUAUAUAAAUUAUUUCAUUUGGAGUUACGGUUGAAUUUCUAUGAAUUAUUGAAGUUUUAGCUAUUUUCUGGAAUUUCCUGAUUAUUUUUAAAUCCAGAAAAUACUUAUUGCGUCAGCACCACGUCACUGUGACGUCAGCAGGGUCAACUGGGCGCCCCAGGUCAAACCUGACGUGUGGGGGCCACACGUCAGUGACACAGGAGCUAAUCCCGGUCAAACCCAGCGCUGACUGGGGUUUGACCAGGGGUGGGGCCCACUGUCAGUGGCUGUGGGUUUAAUUAGUGGGGCCAUUAACACUAAUUAAGCGUGCCCCGUCGGCAGUCGCCGGAGUAUCGCCGGCGGCGACCAUUCCGCACGGCGGCGCGGCUCGGAUUUGAGCUAGGGGCGAUGGUUUGGCGCGCGGUUUGGCUCAUUAGAACGUCCGCGACGCGGCGCGUCCAGUGGUGGCUGUGGCCGCGGCUAGGGUGGCCGGAGCCGACGACGGCGAUGGCAAGUGCGGCGGCCGGAGCUUCGGGUUCGAGCGGGGCGAGGCCACAGAGGACGGGAGGGAUGGCUAAGGGGCUCACCGAGCUCCUGAAGAUGCUAGGAGCACGGUGCCGUGCUCGGUUUCGAGCCUUGCUGGCUGCAGUGAUGGCGACGACAUCGCCGGCGGCAUGGGGUUCUCGGCUCGUUGUGAACGGCGGCUAGAGAGGGAGGUAGGGCACGAGGAGAGGGGGAAUCGGGUCAAAAGCUCACCGUGGAGCUGCAGGGAGGGUUAGUGGGCUCGGGGGCGCGCCGGAGUGGCCGAAUCGACGGAGAAAGGCGCUGGGGCCGAAGCUUGGAGAUGAUGACGAUGGCGGCUGCUCGGGGCCCUUCUGGUCGCGUGAGACGUCGAGGAGGUCGAGGGAGGCACUGCGGAGCUCGGGAGCGCGUCGGGGAGGAGAGGGGGUGGUGGUGGCCGCGGCGAACGGCGUCGGUGGCGACGGGGCUCCGCUCGGAGGAGGAGAGAGGGAGCCAGAGAAAGGGGAGAGAAGGCACGGGGAGAGUGCGAGGCCUGGGAGGGUGCGUGGCAUCGCGGACGGGGUCCAGGGCGACGAGAGGAAGCAGGAGGUGGCCAGGGGGAAGCAGGAGGUGGCCGAGGCCUCUCGGGCGCGCGCCACGCCUCGCCUCUGUUCGUCCUCCUGGCAGAGGAGGAAGAGGACAAGGGGGAAGGAGGUGGGCUGGGCCGGCCAGAUGGAGCUGGGCCAGGUAAGUGGCGCCAGGUAGGUAGCCCAGGUGGCCUUCUCUCCCUCUCUUUUUUUAGUUUCCAUUUUCUAUUUUUUUCUGUAUUUGUUUUGAUUUAGUUUAGCAACUAAACCAUUUUAAUAAAUUCUGUAGUUUAUUAUGUGGCUUACUAAAAUAUAUACAAAGCCACUCACAAACUUCCAGAAUUAUUUGGAGUCAUAUUUAAUAUAUAUUAAAUAUAAAUCCAAAGCAAAUAGUUAUUGGAUUAAUUCAAAUGGCCAAAAUAAAUAUCUCUGUGACUCCAAAAAUAUUGGUUUAAAUUUUACCUCUCACCAAUAUUUCCAUGGAAUAACAGGAACAUUUUCUUGGACUCAUUUGAUGAAAUUUAAAUGUUGGUUAUUUUUAGAGGUCUUCUGAGGCUUUGAAAAUUCCUCAAUUCAAUUUCAUUUGAAUUUAAACAUGAUGCACCCACCAGACAGCACCAGAAGCUAGGGAUGUGACACUAGGAAGGGGACGACGCGGAGCCGGGCCACGGGAGGCAGGAGUAGGCAGUACUACAGCCGGCCACGGGAGGCAGGAGCAGACGGCACGACCGGCACUGCUUUGGGCGGCUGGAGCAAGAAGACCAGAGGUUGAAGAAGCACUAUGGCCGUUGGAUGGACAUCAUACGGUCACUGGAGUAUUGACUAAGUUGACAAAGCCCUCCGUCCCCAUCAACUUAGUAGGCCCACAAGUCAGCCCAACAAUAUGGUGGGUCCUAGCUAGCAGGGGGGUAUUCAUUUUUUUGGGAGUAAUAAGGAGGCACUUCCUUGCGUGCGAAGAUAUAGCUGGUGGGUCCGACCUGUCAGCGGGGGGAACGUUUUUUUUGCGAAAUACGGAGGCCCUUCCUGUGGGUCCUAGCUGUCAGGUGGAGGAAUCAUUAUUUUGCGCGUAAUAAGGAGGCAUUUCCUUGCGUGCGGCCGUGGACCCAGCUGUCAGCCUCUCCACGUACAUUUCACUUCCAAUGGAUGUCGUUCAUUGACCAUGUUGACCAGGCCGCGCCGAGAGCACCAGGGCGGUGGACAACGGCGAGGCCUAGGAAGGGAACGACACGGAGCCAGGGAAUACUCGGCAGUUGUUUCCCACACAGAGGAAUAUGAGGGUUUACUGGUUUGUCUGCCGUCGCCGGAGAAUAACAACAUGUGUGGGUGAGUAGAGGGAUGGCUAGGCCAGCGAUGGGAGUACGGUGGGGCCGUGAGGCCUGCGCGGCAGCAUUGCCGGCCGCGGGAGGAGGGAGCAGGCAGUCCCGCCGGCGCUUGUUUGAGCGGCUGGAGCAUGAAGAGCAGAGAUUGAACAAGGAGACAGCCGUUGGAUGGACAUCCAACAGUCACUGCUCUCGUGUGUUGACUAAGUUUUUUUUUGAGAAUCGUGUGUUGACUAAGUUGACAGGGCGUUGCGUGUGCGUCAACCUUUUUUUAUGAAAGCAUACGCGUCAGCCUGUAGUAGGCGCACAAGUCAGCCUCAAAUCUGUGGAAAACAACAUACAACCCAUCUGCCAUUAUUUCUAAUAAUGUACAGCCCAUUUGCUAAUUCUUAAGAUUUUUUUUGGAGCCCAUCUUCUUUUUAUUAGCAUUACACCCCAUAUUGUGGCCACGGUUAAAAAGUAUACAGAAUUUUGCAUAUUUCGGUGCGGUCAACUGUUUUUAAUCCAGAAAUAUCGAUUCACAUUCAAACUAUUUUGAAAAAUAAUUUAUAUAAAUAUAAAAUCCAAAUAAUUGUCCACGCAUAAAAAUCAAUGGAAUUUAAGAUCUUGUAAUGAAAAAAAUUUGAAACUAAUUCCCGGUUUGAUGUGUUUUAAAAAUGUACAUGCCAUUUCUAGGCAAACCGAAUGAAACUCUCAUCGUCUUGAAAGAUUUGCAGCCCAGCAGGGCCGAUAAAGCAAGUAGGCCUUGUUUGGUUAUUUCUUUUAAAAAAUAGAACUGGGCUAGCCAUUUUAAGCAAGAAAAAAACACAACUGGGCUCAUGAUGUGGUAAACAUAAAUAAAACCCUGGCUAGACGGGCCACAACCCCCGCAUAGCCCCGUUGUUACCCUGGUCCGUUGCUAAAACUAGUAUAAAUAACAACUGCUUGUUCCUCAAAAAAAAACUGCGCGACUUGCUGGAUCCCUGGUGUCAGCCGCUCGUAGUGUAAUUCUCUCGUUUAUUGACUACGUUGACAAUGGCGUGAGCCCCAGAUGUCCAACCAUUAGGACCAGGAGGAACCAUAUUUUUGGGCUUGUACUAUAGAGGCACUUGCUUGUGUACUGCCAUGACGCUGGUGGGUCCCUACUGUCAUCCUCUCCAAGUACAGUCAUCUCCUUGUUCCUCUCGGUUGUUGACGACGUUGACAAGGCAAGAGGGCGGCGCACCGCACACGGCGAGCGAACCAAGGCCGCAAGGCGGAGGACGACGCCGAGGCCUCGGACGGAACAAACAGGAGCCGUUGAAGAUGCGCCGGUCCAGUCGCAGGCAGAGGGGAGUACGAGGGUUGACUGGUUCGGGCACGGGUGCGUGUUGGGGCUGACGUCGCCAGAGAAUAACAGGACGUGUGGGGGAAUAGAGGGAGGGACUGGCCAACAUUGGAGGGUACGUAUGGUAGGGAGGCGGAGGCGCAACCAGCCAUGGGAGGCGGUAGCAGGCGGAGCCGACGGGGUGGUUUGGUUUGGGUGGCUGGAGGAAGAAGACAAGAGAUAGAAGAUACACGAUAGAUGUUGGAUGUCAAUCCAACGGCUGGUAGGCAGAAACGUUUGUUGACUGGCUAGUAAGUCGACACCAUCUUGGAUAGGCUAUUUCCUCGCGAGUCCCAAAUGUCAGAAUCCAAAUCUGUCACGGUCAUGCAGCCCUUCCUAUGAAAAUUUACAGCCCAUUUGAUGUGCUAGUUCGAAAUAAGUUUGUGGGUGCUGGUGGGGGCUAAUCACUUGGCUUCUGUAAUGCACAGUGAGCUCAAGCAGCCGGCGUGAGUGAUGUUAUUUCCCUUGGUUGUGAUUUUUUACAAUAUUUCACUCUAAAUUAAAUGAAUGGCAAGCCAUUUGCCUUGUUUCAAAGAAAAUAUGAUAGUCACAGUCGGGUUGAAAAGGGCAGGAACAUCUAACUCCAGCUUACAAACUGUACAAAAGCACGGCGGUAGAUUGUUCAUCAGGUUUACAAAAAAACCCAGAUUGAAAAGGGCAACAACAUAUAACUCCGGCACUGUUUUCGGCAGUCACAGUCAACUGGAUCAGUCAGGUCCAUAGAAUGAACAUCCUGGGUCGUAAAAUUUACUGGAUUAUGACCACAAUAUGUUGUAAAUAGAAGCCCGACACGUUCAGAAGCUCUUUUGCCCACCUGAAACUCCUUUUUUUGCUCUUCGACAUACCCAUCUGUCAAAACCAUGUUGCUGAUAAACUUAAGCCUGAUGGACAAUAGUAACCUCGCAUUCAGCAGGAAGAAUGUGACAAAUCUUGUGUUCGCACGGUUGGCUACAUAUCGUUCUAGCAUUAUUGUCUUCAAUCGAAUCUUGUGAGAAGUGAGAAAAUCCCGAUGCUUACGAAUCCACCGAUUGGUUAUAACUUUCUUACCCCGUCCUUUUGCCUAAAUAGACAUGAAGAUUGAAAAUAGUUAAGGUCUAAAAGAAGAGUGUCGAAAGAGCAACAACUGAACGGUUAAUUCUAGUACACUAUAUGCGGGCUUCCAAUGUGCGUGAAAUUAUCACCUUUAUAUACAACUUCUCCAGACAUGGAAAGCAUUGCAGCAAGCCAAUAAUCUUGUUCAGAUCAAAACUAUUCAUUUGGAUAUAUAAGAUCUUGACAGAAUCCAGCACCAUUGAGAGGCCAUCCAUGGAGAAACUCUUCAUUGAGCAUAGAACAUAAUAUUAGUACAAAAUGUGUACUCCAAGAUGAUAUAUAAAUUAUGCGUAGAAAAUUAAAAUGCAGCUUAUGGUUACAAGUGUAGAUGAUAAUAUAAAGUACCUGAAGAACUAUGGAGCCAAACACCAUAUUGAAAUGAGCACAGAGAUCAUGUAUUACACCCAAGGUCUCUAGUUUAGGCGCAGAGAGGACGGUUAUUUGCAAUAGAAUCAAGGAUCAAGAUUUGAAGUGAAGGGGCAUCUUGGAUGAUGAGCUGCCUUCUGUCAAAAGAAAUUCCAAUUCUUACAAGAUUAGGCGACUUUAUUUGGAGAAAACCGAUUCUAACUGUGAAAACAAGCACCAAGCAUUCCAGCGCAGGGCAACUGGAGUGGAUGAUGUUGUGCAAUGAGGCCUCUGAUAUACGAACCCGCACAAGUGAAAGUUUCUUGAGAAAUGGGAGUCGAAAGUUUAGUACCAGAUUGUCUGGUAGGUAGCACAGCGCAAAGGUGGCAGUGUGGAGAGAGGAGGAAAACCACGAGAUGGACAUCAGUGCUGAGGGCACAAGUUCAUGGCAUUCAGUAUGUGGUAUGUGAUUUCCAGGGGAAUAGUAGAACUCAAGCAACUGUAGUUCUGUGAAUUCAGGGGAUUUCAGCCAGGCGUCCAUCGUGCAGGGCAUGGUAUGCUUGCUCAGGUAGCAUGACGGGAUGCAGAGGCUUUGAACAGAGCCCUGGUGGGAGGAGAUGAUGGCUCUGGGGAUUUCAAAAUCAUUGAAGAGAGAUAGCUGACGACAGUCGAGAUUAAGGGGCACGGCGCGCCAUUGAGGGCGCCACCAAAUUGAGAGGACUUUGGUGCGGCAGCAAUCCUUGGUGGGGAGAAGCGAGAUGAUCUCCCCAAGGACGGCGUCCGGGAGAUCGCUGAUGUGGUCCACCCGAGAUUCUAUGGGUUCCUGGGAUUUGGUGGGGGAGGGGUCGCCGCUUCUCCCCGCGCUGCCGGGUGCGGGAUCUACAACAGGCGUCGCCGCUGGCGGGAGCCUCAUCUUCUUGGCGCUGGGGUCAGCCGACUCCAUUUUCCUCGAGGGCGUCGCGUCGCACUCACGGAUUUGAGCAGAGUAACGAAUGACGAGCCUAGUAGUAGUGCGAGCGAAGAAGAAGGGGAGCUGGGGGUUUUCUGUAGGAGUGAGGAAGAAGGGGAGCUAGGGUUUUCUAUAGGAGUGAGGUGAGGGAUUUGGGGGUACGAGUGGAGCGAGCUGACAUGAGGUGGGUGGGAGCGAGGAGGAAGAAGAGCACCCGGGUUUUUUUGGGGGGGGUGUGCUGGGUGCGGGUAGCGCCUUUUAAAUUGAUUUUACUAUUUACUAGUGUGGAUUGGCUGUUUUGUCUUGGACCCAGAGAAACAAUUACUACUAGUACAGUGGAGACACUCUACAGCUACCUAGAAAAACAAUUACUACUAGUAAAGUGGAGACACUCUACCGCUUCUGGCUCCUCCUAGGUCAUUGAAACGUCUCUCUCUACUGAAUGCCGUUCUACUUUUGUUCACCGACAUGCGGGCCAUGCAGCGCGCGGGCCCAAAUGCCAUCCACCAAAUUAGAAGGCAGUAUGCAGGCAGAGAGUCAACCCGGUCGUAGCGCGGCAGUAAUGAGCCGUCAUAUCACAAAACCCCACCUCCCCACAGUCUAAGUUUGACGGACGAAGCAACCAUCAUUUCACUCUUCACUGAAUCCCCUUCUCCCUCACCGUCUUCAAGAAAGGCAACACUCGCAUCUGCCACUGUUCUUCUCUCCCAACGAAGGGAAGGUAAGCGGAUCCAUGAUGUUGGUAUAUUUUCGUUCAGAGAAAAAAAGAACUUUUGCAAAGCAGUAACCGAUCCUCACUCUCUUUUUUGUUUCAUUGUCAUUGCGAUUGUGUUUUCCUUUCAGUGGUCUCCUAGUAUUCGUCAGUUUCAUGAUGGACCAAGGAGAACCAGGCAAAGAUCUACCGAUAUUGGAGCAGACGCGGGAGGCUGAUCCCCACGAGACAGAGAGCUCCAAGAAGAUGGAGGCAACCACCGAGCCGACCCCAGAUACGCUCACGGCCACUACUGAGAUGGUCAACGCCCUGUUUGAGGUUACAGCCCCCGUGGCACUGCAGGAGUAGUUUUCCCCCUUCGAGGAUGUGUCCCCCCCCUACUGAGCUGCCCAAGGUGAUUUCCUUCUUUGCCGAUCUCGAUUGUGGUUUUUCAUCUAAGUAUAUGGUGAUUUUUUUAGAAAAGGAAGUAUGUGGUGAUUAAUAAUGCAAAAUUUUAUUAGCUUCAAUGCCAUGCUAUACAUAGUGGUUUAAAUAACUUGUGUUUCUUAUACUGAAAAGUAAUUCAGAAUUUGUUUCUGUUUCAAUGAGAGGCCUGAUGCAGACAAGGAUUGUGUGGUUGUGCAUGUCACUCGCUAUGAGGCGGACGACGUGAAUAUACGCACUAGGAAAACAAAGUUCUUAGGCUGUUGGAUCCUGGAAGCCAUUUGCGGUUAUACCAAUGAAGAGGUGUAUUCCAGCCUCACUGUUGUCAGGCGUUUUGUCCAGGGUGUACUGAAGCACAAGAAGUUCAAAGCUACUCCUUCGUUUGUGAGGCAUACUGUAUUUGUCAAGCUUACGCAGGAAGAUGACGUGGCAUGCCUCCACAAACAAGUUUAUCAGUGGCAAGGCCACAAGGUUGUCUUCAUGAAGGUUCACAGGAUUGAGCUGCUGUGGGACAUCCUCGAUGAUGUUCAUGGCAAGGUCUGUCUUGUGUCUAGCCUAAAUUAGAUCGAGGCAUGAAAUAGUUGCCCCAGCUAGUGUUUAAUAGUAGUUUGGAUUGUGUCUAAUUAUCCGAACCUUGCCUGUUAUCGACCCCUCUGGGGCUAGUACUCUCUUUGAAUCCUUCUAUGGGAACUGCUGCUACUUUUGUGUGCCCGUGAAUCAUGUGAGAACCAUCGUAAUUGUUGUCGAAACAUAUGCGUCCUCACUAGUUUUUUCAUGAAUAUGGCAUGGUAAGACAUAAGUUGUCACGGUUUAUCAUACGAGCAGUGUGUGUUUUGAUGAAAUAGAGCACUCGUUCAAGAACCGUGCGCCGACGUAUACAUAAGUAUAGUACUUGUGAACACUGUUGGUGCUACCCCACUUGUAAGCAGUUGUGCAAAACAUGGCACAUUGGCUCAGCUCGCUUCAACACUAGGCUAUCGACCAACUAACAAUCAACAAUCUGCUGUCUGACAUAUAAGCAACUAUGUAUCUUGUUACAGUGGUUCAUGCAGUUAAUUGAGGCCACAAUGUAAUAAAUUCCAAACGUUCAACGCUAGUCCAGCGCUCAUGUGGAACACUCACAUUCAACUCGUCUUCAUAAAAAUCUUGAAAAGCACAAGUUAAGCAGUUUUAUACAUCUCAAUGAUUCAUAGAACAUAACAAACAUAUACUAGUUCACGACAAAAGAGAAAGUUGUGAGAAGGUUUACAAAUCAGGAAAAAACAAGCAAGGCUUCUCUGAGCAAAGGGCCUCCCGGCUGGCUUAAGUUUCCUGGAGUUCACUCUCAUUUUUUCUUGUUGCCACUAUCCAGGGUUAGGUUCUCUCAUUUCAGAAUAACCAAUUAUAAUUAUGGUCUCAGCUGGAAUGCUGAACUGAACCAUGCAGUGCACUGACCAGUUGAAAUGCUUGUGCAUUCCACUAAAUUUAAGCACCAUUAUUUGCAGAAAUAAGCAGACCACAAUGCCUCUUGUGCGCGCACCUGUCCAAAAAACCGCCGUGCAGCCGUGCCAGCUAGUCCUCGGUCCGUGGAAGAACUGGCAGAAAGUGCAUUCGGGGCUAGGAUGCAGUUGUUUUUGCUCAUCCCUGCACUGCAAUGAGGAAGUAAAAUGUACUAACAGCUUCUUUUAGAUUGCGUUGGUCAUUCUACCUUAGUUACUACCAAUGUAGGAAUACCUUGAAGACUGGAGGUUAGACGAUGACAAUGAGGGAUAGCCAUCUCAUUUUGCGCAGUUGUACUAAAACUGAGGUGUGUGCUUUUGAUUGCGCGGAUAGAAACGAUACGGAUACAGACAUCCCGAAACGAAAUGGAGACAGACAUCCCUGUUUGCGCAAAUAUGAAAUACGAUUAUUUAAACAGUGACAGAUAUUACUACUUUCCCCUGUUUCCUCUUAUAACCAAGUCCUAGAUUCAUGCUACAGCUUUCCCACUUUCUUCCCUGUUUGAAGCAACGCUUUGAGUUGACUGUAUGAACUAUCUUUACUUCUAAUAAUAGUAGAAGUCUAGGUGGCUUUGGAACAACGGACGGAAGUAGAAAAGGAUCCACACGAAGGGGGAAGAGCUGGGGCAGUAGAGCAAGGCAGAUUUCGAAGGAAUAUAUACCUGAGGGUCGUCGGCAUGUGGCAAAGAUGGCGUCGGGAGGCCGGAUCUUGGCCACAAUACCGCAGGGAGGAUGAAGGGGGCGGAGGCCCUCCCGAGUCAGCGCUCUCUCGGAGAUCGGCACGACCGCCGAUCGGGACGCGCGGGCAGCCGUUGGUCUCCUCCCUCGCUGCCGCCGACAGCGUGAACGAUGCACCUACACCCCCUGCCCCGGUCGAGGUUGUCCGGCCGGAUUUGUGACCAGCCGUGAGCUGAGAGAGAGAGUGUGGCCACCUAUGUCUUGCUUAGAUCUGGAGAGCAUGAGAGAGUGAACAAGAGGAACCCUAGUAAAGCAAGCGCUAAGGUUCCUGCUUUUAUAUAUAGUGGAGUGAUUUUGUUGUACCGGCUUCAAAAAAAAUGCGCUCCUACGUGUACCCGCGAGUGGGUGUGAGAGAACUAGUGGGUGCAUGCACCGCUUCUCUUCGUGAGAGUACAAUAUAUACUAUGCCCAAAGAACGUUCGCCGCAAGAGUAAUAAUAUAAAUGUGUGACGUGUGAGCUAAAAUAAAAUGUCCGCGCCGUCUUUUGUUUUUUAUAAGUUUUGAGGGUAGGGUGUGAAGAGCACAUAUGUGCGUGACGUCUACCUGCAGAUAGACGAUGGGUGCCACGUGCGAGUCUGCGAGAGGACUCGGGAGAGUUGUGACUCGUGAGGGUGCGUGUGCGUGAGAGAGAGGGGGGCACGUAUCAAUGCAAUGCAUGUGUCCGUAAAUCAUUAUCCGAUAAACAUUCGCCACAAGCCUUUUCCUGACGAAUGCCAUAAGAACCGUUAGAUCGGCAUCCGACAGUGUCAGUUUUGCCAUGUCAUUUAACAGAACAGCCACUCCUCCUACACACAAAUCUUCCACGUGAGUGUUAGCAACUGUCGUAUGCUCCCUCCGUUCCAAAAUUUAGUGCAUAUAGCUUUAUUGAAAAUUAGAACCUUGCAAACUUUUACCAUGUUUUCAUGUACCAAAUUGCACAUGUAGAAUACCCUGUAUAUAUCAUUUCAUUCAUCUUUGAGAGGUAACUAUAAAUAUGGGUGAGGAGUCUACAAAGAAAGACCAUCGUAUCACCCACAUCAAUUUCAACCAUCCUUUAGUGUCGAGGAAUAUCAUAGGAACUCUAUAUGAUAUGAUUUUUAUAGGAUUUUUUUCCUUUAGAGCCAAUUGGUUCAUAGGAAUAGAUUCAUAUAAUCUACAUUUCAAAGUAAAUAAACAUGAUAUCAUUUCUAUAGCUUUAGAGCCACUUGGUUCAUAUGAAUGGAUUCCUAUACUCCCUUAAUUUCAAAGGAAAAUAAACAUUAGCGUAUAUUCAAUAGAAAAGUUCCUAUGAUAUGAACCAAAUCACAUCUCUUUACUAAUCCCUCCUCAUAGGAAUUGAGAUACAUGUCAUCUCUAGAUUCAAUAGAAAAGUUCCUAUGACGUGAACCAAAUGACAUCUCUUUUCCAAUCCCUACUCAUAAGAAUUGAGAUCCUCCAUGUCGUCUCUUUCCCUACUACUUCCAGGAAUACAUCUUCUAUUCCUAAAUAGAUAGUACAACCCACUAGUAGCUUUUUUCCAAAACAUGCAACUAUGGCACAAGAACUAUAUAGUGUGCCAAUAACUUUGAAAGAUGGUCGCUGGAUGAAGCUAACCCGACAGUGCAGAGAUGGGCAAAUCCGAGUACUACUGGCCGUUGGAUAUCAUCAACAUUCCACCAGAUAUGCCACAUGUACAAUUUAGAAGACUCCAUGGUUGAACUUAAGCAUAAUGCACAAACCUCAAAACACAAGCACUUCUCCUUUGUUCUAGAAUCUUCUGUGUCAUAAUUGAUUCUUUUUCUAAAUGAAUUGCCAUUAUUUGUUUUUUACUUUAUGAUUUACAACGCACAACCCCAUGAAUCUUAACAUUUUUAUAAAACUAAUUGAUUUUGAAUGAGAUGAACUAUAAGAACUAAAUGAACAUCUACAUCAUGCAUAUAUGACUCAAAGCUUUACAUGAUAUAGUGUGUAUUUAUUCAUAAUUUGGUUUCGAAAUCUCAUGUGUUCAAUACAAGUGUACCUUACUAGUUUUGAGUAGAGUAGCAAAUUUCACGCGGCCCCGGGUAUAUCAAAAUGCAGGGCCCAUGCAUCAUUGCCUUUCAGUCGACCUACGUCCACAAUUUUCUAGACGUGCUAUAUCUCCACUGGUCCUCGAACCCAAAAUGCUGCCUCGUUCCCGUAAAACCAAGCGGCCCACACAUAUUUAAGGCGUCGACUCGAACCCGUUUACUACGACAUGGCCCCGCAUGCCAUAGUACUCCUACAAACCCUACCGCCGCACUCAUCAUCGGUUUUCUUCAAGAGGACGAGGGAGAAGCCGAUUUGUAGUGGAGGCGCUUUAAAAAAAAGGAUCUGUAGUGGAGACCCCUACCCUAGGGUGCCCUAGGUAGCUACCGCACGCAUCAUUGUUUUCUCUUUUCUUUAUGCUCUUGCGCGCUAGAGUGAAAUGAUGGUUGCUUCGUUCGUCUAGCUUAAUGCGGGAAAGGUGGGGCUUUGUGAUAUGACCCCUCAUCGCUCAUUUUCUACUACUGCGGCGCUACGACCGGGGUGCCUCCAAUUCCAACCACUGCUCGGAACUGUAAUUUGGUGCAUCGCACGUGGAACAAGACGGUGGAUGAGCCACAUGUCUGCCAAAGGGGUCCUGUUAAGUGUGUCGCCAUUUCGUGUGCGGACUGACCCUGCUUGAGUUGCUACGCCAACAUGACAAGAGCAGCCUACCACUUGGUUUUGCUCCUUGGUGAAUCCCGACUAUAUUGAUCUAAAAAGAUACAUGCUGAACUACCCUCUCCGUCUCGGUUUUUUACUUGUAGGCGUCUCGGUUUAUAGGGCCUGCACGUAGUUCUAGGUCAUCCAUUUGACUAACUAAAUAUGAGUUACUAUGUCAAAAAAGUAUAUCAUUGCAUUCUUAUUGGUUGAUAUGUGAAGAAACAAGAAACGAGGUAGAAGUUAAUGCACGACGCCUUAGGCUGGUCACAUUGGGGAGGAACUUAUGAGUAACAUCACGCACUCCAAUACAACUUUGCUUAUGUGGCACAUAUUUAAUGAAGAGAGAGGUGCUUGUGGUAACUAGCUAAGUUACCGGAACAUCACACUCCAAGAAACAAUGAGCCUAUAACCUAAUAAAUACAUCGUUGCAUGACACUACAUAGAUGUUCCUACCCACUAUGGAGGUAGUAACAUAGUCUGGGGAAGUGUGUAAGUUACUAGCUUAUGUUCUUGCCCAUUGUGACUAGCCUUAGUAUUUUGGGAUUAUUUGGUUUUCGUAAGAUGACUUACUCACCUAGACGGAGGGAGUAGUUGUAUUUAAAAGUCGAGGGCGGGGCUUUUCCUGCGCGGUAGGCGGGGCAGUUCCGCCUAGUCGGUUCGACAGAGACGCGAGAAGACGAGGGAGUAGGCUGCUGCAAACGUAGGGCUGUGUGAUUUGACAGCGAGUUACUGCUGGACAGGUGGGGCCCCGUGAUUUGACUUGCCAUUAUCAUUUUAACUGCGGUGCUACAACCGGCGUGAGUCUCCCGAUUCCUGACCACCUCCACACAGGUGCCUCUCCCAAUGCUCCACCAUGUAGUAGUAGAGGCUGGCUCUUGCAUGAGAGCCCACUUCUCCACUUUUUCCUUGCCUCUCUUUCCUCCACAUAUGCAAAAAUGCCAUGUAAAGCGCACUAUUGUACUUACUUGCUCCUACAGGUGCUUAAGCUUGCCACAUAGGAAUAACGUCCGAUGUGGCAAGUUAAUCAAGAAGAGAGAGUCUAGUUUGGUGACCCAAGGAAGAAAUGGUGCUAAGCGCGUGUGCCUAGGUGAAAAGACAAUUUUGAGUCUAUAGCUAAUUAAAUGAAGCAAACUUAGCAACACCAUUUCAUUGGAACAGGUCACUCCUUGGCAAAUGCAAUAAAUACUAGUACUCCCUGUGUCCCAUUAUAUAGAACGUUUUUUACACUACACUAGUGUCAAAAACGUUCUUAUAUUACGGGACGGAGGGAGUACGAAGAAAGAGAUAGAGAGGAGUAAAAACAACACUUAUAGCCAACCUUGUUGUAGUAUGAGUGACUAAGUGAUGACUAUGUAUGACAUGCCAACAUCAGAUGGCCUAACACACCGUGUUAAAUCUCCAAGGGCGCGACCGCGCGAGCGACGCGACGGUCGUGGUAGGCGCGACCAUGAUACGGGCUGCUGACAGCCCUUGGAUCUGAGAUCAAACGGUCGCAUGCUAAGUUGCUAAAUUUUUUAAGAAUAACCCUCCAGGAUAGGAUAUUCACCCAUAGGUCUAGAAUCAUGCCAUGCAACCGUUCGAUCUCAGAUCCAAGGGCUCUCAGAAGCCCGUAUCAUGGGAGAAUGGAAAUCCACUACCCUGCCGUUCGCAAGCUGGCAGUUCGCUCCUACUCAUCCCCGCACGUCCUUUAAUACUACGACGGUUCGCUCCUAGUCGUCCCGUCCAUUCACAUUAGUACAUUACGGCAGUUCCACUAAUCCUAACCCUCCUCCCAAAUCCAUGGCGUCCCAAAUAUCCCCGAUCGGCGGUGAGUAUAAGGUUAGAACCAUCACCGGCGAUGAGUUCGACAUCAUCUACACCCGUACUUCCAUGACGGUGAAAGGAUGCCUUUAUCGCUUCAGACGCAUGUUCGAAAACUCACAUGAUGAGUGAGUCGCUGGGCUAGAUGUUGAGUACACCACAGUCAUGGGACGAGAGAAGGAUCUAAAGGAUGAAGAGAGGAAGAAGCCCGCCGUGAUCCAGGUUUGCGUACAUAACGUUUGCUUGGUCUACCACAUAUGCCAUGCCGAUGUUUAGUGCCAGGAUUUUAAGAACUUCCUCGAGGACAAAACAGUCAAAUUCGUUACUGUAGACUUUAAGAACGGCAAAGAAGUCCUGCGUCGGAUAGGCCUCGUUGUAAGCAACCCCUUCGACCUCCAGAAGAAUCGGCUGGUGCCCUCUCAUCAGCCUUCAAUGCUGACCCUGGCAGGAGCCAUGGUUCAUCCUUCGUACGGUAAACUGGAGAAACCUCCAUACACAUUUCAUCGUCAUGCAUGGCAGCGGAAUGUACUAGAUAUAGACCACAUCUAGUACGCUACAAUGGAUGGCUACCUUUGUUUCAAUAUCUACAAGGGUUCGAUGAAGAGCAACAACCAAGUUGGCGGUUCAAGCAAAGAAGUAUCGGCCAAGAGGAAGAGGGACAAGGACGAAGUUGAGGACGUGGACGAGGACUCUGAGUAAGGUGGCAGUGUCGUUGCAUUAUGGUGGUUCUAAACUUCUAAUGCAGUGUCUACCAGAUGAGUUGCAUAGUUUAAUUUUACGUGUGCUUAGUUUAAUUUGAGGGGUGUGUUGUGCUGAGCCCCCAGCAGAACUAUGUUAUGUUUCUUCUCGUUACUUUAACUCUUCAGUAUGUACAUACUAGUACUAGUAUUUCUUUAAUAGAAUUUAGCACCCCAAUUAAGCACGUACUAGCUUUUUUAAUAGUACUAUAUGCAUAAUUUGGCGACGAGCGCUCUCUAUAUGUACCACCUUUUUUUAAAUUACAAUUUUUGCUCCAUGGCGCAAUCCAUCGAUAGUGGAGUACUACCUCCGUCCUGGUUUAUUGGUCCUCAUUGUAAUAUGCGCCAAAUUUUGACCAUAAAUUUAACUAACAAAAUGCUCAUGCAUGUCACAAAAAAUUAUAUAUUUGAAAACUAUGUUCGAAUAUGAACCCAGCGUUAUAAUUUUUGUUAACAUGCACUAACAUUUUGUCAGUUAAAUCUUUGGUAAAAAUUUAGCACAAACUACAUAGGGGACUAAUAAACCAGGCCGGAGGUAGUACUACUGUACAAAAGUAUACAUUUUUUAAAAGGCUAGCGUACUCUUCAUCACACAUAUAUAUAUAGCCGGUUAAAUUCUCAACCUAGAACGACGUGCAUGCCAUGUAGUAAACCGAUCCAGAGGAAGUAUAGUAAAAAUGAGGUGAUUAUACCGAGCGAUCGGCGGGGGAGCAUGGCCUGUCAUGCGGUCCCACGUGUCAUGAUGUACCAAGGCGAUGCGCGUGUCCCUCUUGAGGUAGAAGCAAUACUAGUACGUGGUUUGAGAUGAUGUCGAACCGAAGUGUGAAAUAAUGGCUGCUUCGUUCGUCUGGGAAGGUGCGGCAUUGUGAUUUGACGUCUCAUUGCUCAUUACUACUACUAGGCCGGUACGAGUGGGGUGCGUCCCCCCUGCUGUUCUGCACUAUUAUUUGGUGCUUGACAUGUCGACCCGGUUGCUAUAUGUCCCACAUGUCGGCGACAGGAAGUACAUAAUUCAUGAAGGGGGGCGUCUACGGAGGAGUAUACUACAGAAUUCAUGAAAGGGAGCGACUUAGUUUUGGAAAAAUCUGUUUUUACGGAGUACGUACCCACUAGGGUUUAUAGGGCUCAUCUAAAAAACAUUCGUUUUUCUGUUUGAUAAAUCUCAAUUCUACUAUACUAGUAGUAGUACCAUUACAUGUUGGAUUUCAAGGUGCGUUAGAUCACCCGACGCAAGCAGUGUCAACAGGAAACUAACCAAUGCAUGUACAAGUUCAUGGAAAUUUAGUGGUCAUUCAUGCAUUCGUUCUAAUUAAUGCCUCGGUAAACAUAACUUCUUGAGAAAAACGAGCGUACUGUGCAAACUACGAAAUUAAUUCGACCACUCACCGUCUACCUUGGUUGGAGAGAUUUUGAAAUUGAGCCAUAAACUGGAAAGGCUCGAUUACUAUUUGUGGCCUUGUAUAGAUGCAAAAUGUAUUUUUUUAGUGGCCUUGUAUAAGUAAAUGGAGGGAGUACUAACCAAAGUACGUACGUAACUAGUAGGGACGAGGAGUAAACGGAGGGAGUAGUAAAAUUUUCUCCUCGUGCUGCAAGCCACCGUGCGCGUGGGCAAGGGAGCGGGCGUAAAGGCGUACAAUAGUACUAGUAAGCUUCACCUCAUCCUGUGAGCCACCGCGCCCGUUGGCGGGGGAGACGGCGUACUAAGCAAGUUUCUCCUCGUUCUGCAAGUUGACGGGACACAUCAAAAGUACUCCAGUGUAUAGAGCCUUGCCUCUAAGGUAGGCCCCACAGGGUUUGCAUCUUUUUUUAAAUUAACAUAACGCGUCAAGUCGCAAUUUGUUUGUUCACCCGUGGUAGACGAUCCUCCCUCCACCAAGUGGACAACCAGUACACGUGCCAAAUUACCACGUGGGCUGCCUUUUUCGUACACAAAUGAGCUCCACCGUGUACCCGCGCGGGUGUGGUUGGGAAAGAGACGGGAGUACGUGCGCCGUGCGUGCAGCUCUUCUCUUCGUGCACGUCCCCCACCUUCGUGUGUGUGUGUGAGAGAGAUACAAACCUAGACAUAAUGCGCCGUCCAUCCCCAUGCCUCCGCCCAGUCCGACCACCAGUCACCACCACGGCACCAUGCCCCACUCCUCCUCACCUUAUCUCUCAUAUUUCUCCCUCCAUUUUUAUAUACAAGGGGCCGCUAUCAAAAUUACAAUUUACAGAUAUACAAGGCCACUAACACUAAUCGAUGCAAUAUUAAUGGUGUUUGCCUCGUGGUACUAGCAAAGGAGGACAUUAAUUAUCCCUUGCAUGCAUGCGGGGGUUUGUAAAAAAAUGCAUCUUGAUGUUCCGUGCAAUGCACGGGCAUCUUGCUAGUCCAUGAAAACAACACAUGGCAAAAUUCCACGNNNNNNNNNNNNNNNNNNNNNNNNNNNNNNNNNNNNNNNNNNNNNNNNNNNNNNNNNNNNNNNNNNNNNNNNNNNNNNNNNNNNNNNNNNNNNNNNNNNNNNNNNNNNNNNNNNNNNNNNNNNNNNNNNNNNNNNNNNNNNNNNNNNNNNNNNNNNNNNNNNNNNNNNNNNNNNNNNNNNNNNNNNNNNNNNNNNNNNNNNNNNNNNNNNNNNNNNNNNNNNNNNNNNNNNNNNNNNNNNNNNNNNNNNNNNNNNNNNNNNNNNNNNNNNCCGGGGUAGCCAAAAUUUUGGCGACCCUUUUGUCCACCGGUGCCUUUGCCACCGAUGAACGAGGAAUGGUUUGGGUGCUCAUGCUGUCAUGCAUCCUCCAGCGCGCACGUUGGAGACGAGCUUGCACGAGCUAUGUUUUUUUGUCCCACAACGCCGCCCGAGCUGCCCGCAGACCGACCGGCGACCCGCUAAUUACGCCAUCCAACUGUAGCCGCACACAUUAUGACAGCAACUCAACCAACCGGACAAAAUUCACGCAAACACGUAGACAAACUGAUAUUUCAUAUAAACAACGACGAAAAUCAUAUAAAAUACCGGGUUUUCACACAAACAUGACGGAUUUCAUUACAUUCAAAUGAACUACGCGGUGCUAGUUCUGGAAAGCACAUGUAUAUAAUACCUGGCCUAAAUGGUCGCCCGCCGAUCGAUUUGUGUUCCUCAUGUCUGACAGCACAAUCACCGGACUGUCGGGAGCCCCGGAGGUAUAUGCUUCAGCGCAAAGGAUGGCUCGCUUCCCCACUGCCCAACUGAUAUCAUUGGCUGGUGCCGAAGAUGAUGGUGGCCGGCACCGGUUCGAGUUCAUCACCGGCCACUACUUCACCAUGGCCGGCACCGGCUCGAGUUCAUCCUAACAUUCCCCUCUUUCGUGGAGCCCAUGCGGGGUUGACAAAGGUCCUCGCAACAAAAGGAUCCGGUAAGACACCUGCUGUGUACGCCGGCGUCACCUCCGCGGUGGCCUUCAUGGGACCCAAGCGGCGACGGCCUCCCGUGUUCUACUUCUCCUCGAUGAUGGCGGCGGACGCGGAGGCGCUGGCCACCGACUCGUCACUCUCCGCGCACCCGGCUUGUGUCGCUGCUUGGAUGGCGCGGCCGCCGGCAUGGGAGUCUCGGCCACAGAAACGGGAGACACGGUACGAGGCGGCGGCGUGGACGGCAGCAACGACGCCCGUGCACCGCUCCUCGUCGAUCUAGCCUGGAGCGGCGAGUUGUUGAACUGCGCGCCGGCUUGGGGUGACAACUGGCUCCGUCGGGUGAGGGGAGGGAGGUGGAUUAGCAAGCUGCAUAGGUCGUAUCCGGCGGGCUACCCAGCCGUCUUGGAUGCGGAAUAACUACUCUUCGUAAGCCAUUGUAAGAGUGGACAAAAUGGUGGAGGAGAUAGGGGAGCGGUGGAGGUGUGCGAUUCUUGGCCGGCGUUUGGCCUCGUUUAAAUAGGAGAUUAAAUAGACGGCGGACGGGAGGAGCUCGGCCGGCGUUGCGUUUAACGCCGGCCCGGUCAUGAACGGACGUGUGUCCAGAGUGGGUUUCUCGGCUUCCACACAGGCGGGUUUCAUGGAGGCAUUUGAAUGCGGCACGGAGGCGUGUUCAGCCGGGCGUGCCGCAAGUGGAGCCCUCGACUCUGACCUAGGACACCGCGCCGUUCUUCCACUGGCGUGUGGGCUCUUUGGGUGCAUGGCCUGCAUGUCAGUGACCCAACGCAGGCAGCGCACAGCAGAGGAACCUUUGGUGGGCCAGGGCAGUCAGAAGCGGGCAUUUCAUAAACCGAUGAUUGUUCAUUGAGUGUGACGUCAUCUUUUUCAUGUAGUUAAGCCUACUAUGUUGAUAGCCCGUUCGAUACGUUGUGAUUCAUAAAGACCGAUGAAAACAUCAAUGUUCUGCUUAUCACAGAUAAGAUUGAUUAAUACCCGUAACAAUCCAUGUCCUUGACAAAGGGUGCAUGCACGUAUAGGUUGAGCAUGUGUCUUGCGUCGUGUGCUGUGUGCAUGUAGGCGUGCGAGUGUUGCGUGCGUGCAAGGGUGCGUUUCAGUGUUGCAUGCAUGGGUGCAUACGUGUGUGUGUGUGUUCAUGAGUGCAUGUGUACGUGUCAGUGUUGCACGCCAGCAUGCGUGCGUGUGUACGUUAUGUGUACGUGUCAGUGUUGCACGCCUACAUGCGUGCGUGUCUUGCGUGCGUGCAUGUGUACGUGCAGGGUGAGGCUACACGUCAGUCAACUGACUUUUUCAUCUCUGGUCAUUAGAUUUUCCAGCCGUUGGAUACGAAAUCAAGGGCCUCCAGUUUAUCAUCAAACUCCACCCCCCUGAGCCGCCAGCCACCACCGGCUGAACCGCCCGCACCCGUCGCCCGCGGCCGGCCCGCCCUCCCUGAAGCCACUCCCCACCGCCGGUCCGCCGCCGCACCGGCCAUCCCUCUAGCCCCCCUCCCCCCCCAUGCCGAGAUUUUUCUCCGGGGAUCCCCACCCCACCGCCCAAUGAACGCCCCCAACCGCUGGUGACUGCCAACCAGAGGUCUCACGACUUCGAAUACCCACCGACCACUAGUUUAUUACCAUUUUUGUCCUUCAUAUGCGCGCUAAAGGGUGGGCCCUAUGGUAAUGUGCGCUGCUGAAUGUGGACCAUUUGACUGGUCAAUUGAUCAUGUUAUCAAUAAAUUACAGAGCUGUAUGGUGAGCCAGUGAUAGUAUGAUCACCCUAAAAUGUACUCCUAUUUUAUUAACACAGUACAGACUCAAACUACCAUUUCUUUCUUUUAUAUACGGGCUGACAGGUGGGCCCCAUAGUUACGCGCCUCGAUGGUGCAACACUAGUUGUGCCAUUUGACUGGUCAAUUGAUUGUGUCAUCAACAAAAUAUGGAGUUGUACGGGUGAGCCAGUGACAGUAUAAUCAUGACAUGUAUUUGUUUAACACGGUACAGACGCAUGGGCUCAUAUAUACGCGCAAGCACUCACCGCUAUAGGCGCACACACGCGAACCCUACCCCUAUGAGCACCUUCGAGAGAGUGGGCCAGCAUAUAUGAUCUUGAGAAUUUACGAAGUCACCAUAGGUGCCUCGUAGUCGAGUGGAACGUCUCCUACCACUGAACGUACAUGGCCGGAAAAUACUGAAAUUAACACAAGGUAAAUGCGAGCACCGGGACUUUUACCUUGGUGGGCUUGAGAAACCACUGUCCUCUAACCUUCCAACCACAUGUUGGUUAGCACGACAAAAUGUAUGUGGUGACCGUGAUGAGCUUAUUCUGAAGUCCAGUGACCAUAUCGUGCUUUCGCUUCAAAUACAAUGACCGUAAGUGUCGUCAACAAAAUACAGAGCACACAUCAAAUGCAAAGUCCGUCAGUGUCAUCAACAAAAUAUGGAGACGUAUCGUGAGCUAGAUACCGUUGUACUAUUGUAUAUGCUUAUUUUCGUAGUGGCCGAUUGCGUGUGUGGUGUGGUGGGCACAUCAUUUCUAGUUGUGGUGGGUCAACGAGAAGACUCAUGGGUCGGUUCCAUCCCGCGCCACAUAUAGGUUGGAUCGAGACAUGUUAUACGGAGACCCAUGUGGAGGACUCGGCGUACAACACGAAGCUACCAGAGUCGUGGAGGACUCUAUCCCCACUGGUGAUAAGCCGACUAUAUAUAUAUAUGAUUUGUGACCCUAGGCCCUUAGUAUGUUCUACAAGCUUGGGGGCUAGUUCGUCGAUAGUAUACACACACGCACAAUGCCUGGUAUUCACGUGUACUUUGUACACACCCCUAUCACUAAUAUACAGUACCAGGAGUAGGCUCUUUCUUCAACUGCAAGGGUCCGAUCCGAACUAGGGUAAAACUUUGCCUCGUAUUACCAUCCAGCCUAACAGCCAGGGAUAUCCUACCGAAUGACAUGAUGAAAUCAUAUCUGCCAACUACUAUUAGAGAGGUGUGUCGGGGGGGGGGGCAAUGUGCGCGAGAGAGGCCUAAAGAUAACGUGCAUGAGGGAGACACGUAGGCACAUAUAUGUGCGUAUAGAGGGCUAGUAGAGACCGUGCAUGUGUAUAUAUGCAUGUGAGAGAAAUAGUGUUUUCCAACUGAGAUUAGUGAAAAGAGUGGUACAUAGUAGUCAGAAAGAGGGAGAGAGAGAAACAGAGAGAGCAUGUGCGUGAGACACCCCGACACCCUGAGAGAGAUUGUGAGAAUGUGUGAAAGAGAAAUGCCGAUGCAUAUAAAGUGUGUGCACUUAUGCGUUAGAUAGAGAGAUAUAUAACGCGUUUGUGAGAACUCGGCGAGGCAUAGUGCAUCUACGUGUAAAAGGCGGUUCUAUGCAUUAAAUUAAAAUAUAAAUGGCAUUAUUAUAUUUGGAUGAGAUCAUGAAUUUUGCAAAUUUGCGUAUGAACGAAAAUCGGUCUAUCAGACACCCAUACUCUAUUGAAUUCUAGCAUGUGUAUGUGUCUAUUUAAUAUUAUCGAUCCAUAGAGUGAGAGCGGUUUGAAAUACAGGCAAUGGAUGCUUUUGCAAUUCAUAUAUAAACAUUAAUUAGUGCACUCCAUGUUGUUAGUGUGAAGCACUUUAUACAUUUGUCACUUGCAUGGGUACAUUCCAAAUUGCUAGCUAUGAAAUAAAAUACAUGUCGAAUUCAACAUAAAUGGGGUUUCAAAGAUUCAAAUUCAUAGGAAGUGCAUUCAUCUCUUUGAACCCGAGAUAAUGGCAUUUGCAAAUCAGAUGUAAAAGGGGGCAUCAAUCUUUGUUGUGAGUUUGAACAUGCUAUAUAUAUUCAUACACAUAUCUAACUUUUGUUUUUUGCAACCAAGGAGAUUAUACCUAGAACCAUGCAUGAACUGAAAUAAGUUGCAUAUUUUUUAAUAUAUACUCGUGUAUAGUGUAUAUUAAAAUGUACCCCCUCCAUUCCAAAAUAAUCGUAGCUUUAGGAUUUUCAAGAGUAAAGAUUUGUGAAGUUUGACAAAUCCUGAAAGUUCAAUUCAAGAGAACCGAAAACGUUAAUGCUUCUGCUCCCAAAUAUUGAACGAAGCGCCAAAUAGGCCUCUGGUCACCCGAAACCGCGUGAGACUAAUGUUUUGGUGGUAGGAAAUUACUGUCUUGACUCUGGCCUGUGUAGCCUAUCGGCCCAAUGUCCAAAGGUCUAAAUCGGGGUAGGUUUGUAACUUCACCAAGACGCUAGUCUCAACUGCCUCCGAGAAGCAUUCAUACGCUGUGUGUGCCUAAACACCCAUGCGCUUGGCCGAAAUCUAUCCCGCCCACAUUUGGGACACCUGACAUGACUGUCCUACCCCCAACCCGCAAUAUGUCCGAAAUUUUAGAUGGGGGCAAAGUUUGUAACUUUCCCCAAAUUUCAAACAAGCGCGUCUCAAACCGAAACAUUGUUCCCCCUUAGUUCCCCACCUCCCUCCGUUUCCCCAUUCAUACUCCGUGGGCACGAAAACACCCUCUCCACCAGCCGCGAAACCCCAGCCUCCUCCGUCCUCCACCCCAUAGCGGCCAAUCCACCGCCGCCCUCCUCCAUCACCCCGGAGCCGGUGCCCCGACGUUGUCGUCCAACGCAACCGCAACUGCAACGCCCUCAAGGACUUAGCAGUUGAAGCCGAGGCAGAGCUGCCUCCACGACACCGACGUCAACGUGCGCCGUACCAGAACCACUCCGACCAUGCCGUCCUGCGCCUCACUACUGCAGCUCCACUGUUGCAACCGUCCACCGCACCAGAGCUGUUCCUGCUACGCCGUAAUUCGCCGCCUCGGAUCUGCUUCCCCGCCGCCGACAGGCGGCCAUCGCACCACACUCAACAACUUGGCCAUGGGUUCGUCCAAGGCUGCACCUCCUCCACAACUUGUGGUUUCCGGCGAACAACAAGAUCGUCAGAAAAACAGAAGGAGGACACAGCACUGCCAGCAGAAAGAGGUACUCCUCUUCCCUUAUUCAUGCAAAUCUUACGUCUCCGCUCACACCGUAUUCAUCCCACGAAAGAAACUAGUUGAGCGCUUCUUACUUCAUCUUCUUCGUGAUACUCAAUGCACAAGGUUUCCUCCCUUUUACUAUUUCACCUUUGCUAGAGGUCAGUAGCCCGCCUGGAUUUCAAUUCAGGGUCAGUCGAACUGCAAUUAAAAGAAGCAGCAUCCUCUUAGGCGCGCGAAGCACCUAGUCCGCCUGUUCCCCGGGGUAGCGGCGCAUCGGUGUCUAUCAUAGGGUGUGAGNNNNNNNNNNNNNNNNNNNNNNNNNNNNNNNNNNNNNNNNNNNNNNNNNNNNNNNNNNNNNNNNNNNNNNNNNNNNNNNNNNNNNNNNNNNNNNNNNNNNNNNNNNNNNNNNNNNNNNNNNNNNNNNNNNNNNNNNNNNNNNNNNNNNNNNNNNNNNNNNNNNNNNNNNNNNNNNNNNNNNNNNNNNNNNNNNNNNNNNNNNNNNNNNNNNNNNNNNNNNNNNNNNNNNNNNNNNNNNNNNNNNNNNNNNNNNNNNNNNNNNNNAGCACGGCGGUGCAGUGAGGUCGAGGGGAGGGCGUAGGCAGGGGAGGAAUACUGGGCCGGUGGUCGCUGACGUUUCGAGGAAGAUCGACAACACUGACUGGCUAGAGGUAGAUGAAGGCGAUCUGCCCGUUCUUUGUACAUCGGACGGUGCAGAAAAAAUGGACUGACCUAUUUGCUUUCAGUCGACUGUUAUUUUCAUAGAAUCAUUUAGUAAUUGAGUGUACCAUGCAUGUUGUAGAGCUAUUAUAUGUCUCCCGUCAUUUAUUUCUCACUGACCCGCUAUCUGCUACCUUUACACUGUACUAAUUGUGCACACACUUCACCCAUACUCACACUAUUGUUUUUUUAUUCAUGGGUAUUUCAGACUCUGACGCAGUGUUGAUGAAUGCAGAAAAGAAAAGACAGAAGUCGCUCCAGUGUAAUUCGAAGAUAAGCACUAAGCGUUUCAGCGCUCUAAUGGGUGCAGUGUCAGCAGUUGGAGACAGUAAACGUAGCUCUGCAGUUGAUGAUCUCAAUUGCCACACACAACCAUCCCAGGUGCUUGCUUUAACUUCGCGCUGUCAAAUGUGGUUGCAUGUUGCAUAUGGUGUCUAGCUUGUAUUGCUUCCGAUUUGGUUAAAUUGCAUCUGCUUACUUUACACAUUAUACCUUUGAUAAUGACAUGCCUUCUUGUUUUUGAUACAUACUACAUAUGUCUAUUAACCAUGUUCGUACGUCAAACUAAUGCUCUUUUGUAUCCCUCAUCAAUCACUUAUGAUGAGACAGUCACCCGGGUGGGUUACUGUGAGACGCCCUACUCAUUUAAAGAGUGCAGUGUCAUCCUCCCCACAUGAUUCUCAAGAAACAACAAGGCUAAAUGAAGAUAGUCAAUGUAGCUCUCUAGUUGAUCACCGCAAUUCCCCCACACCACCAUCGCAGGUGCUUGCUCUUACUUGGCAGUGUGAUAUGUGGUUGCAUGUUGCAUAGGGUGUCUACCUUGUAAUGCUUCUAAUUAGGGUAAAUUGCAUCUGCUUAGUUAACACAUUAUACCUGUGAAUAUGACAUGCCUUCCUGUUUUUGGUACAUACUACGUCUUUCUAUUAACCAUGUUCUUACAUCAAACUACUUUUCUUGUGUAUCCCUCAUCAAUGCUCCUAAUUUGUUAAAUUGCAUCUCCUUAGCUUACACAUUAUACAUGUGAAUAUGACACGCCUUCCUGUUUUUGUUACAUACUUCAUCUGCCUAUCACACCAUGUUCUUACAUCAAACUACUGUUCUUGUGUAUCAUGCGUCUAUCGCUUAUGAUGAGAUAGUCACGUGCGUGGGUUAAUAUGAGACGCAAUACUCUUAUAAAGAAUGCAAUUUCAUCCUCUCCACAUGAUUCUCAAGAAACAGCAAGCCUAAAUGAAGAUAUUGAACGUUGCUCUGUACCUAAAGACAACACUUCCCCUACACCACCAUCAUAGGUGCUUGCUCCAACUUCGCAGUGUGAUAUGUGGUUGCAUGUUGCAUACGGUGUCUAGCUUGUAAUGCUUCUAAUUAGGGUAAAUUGCAUCUGCUUAGUUUACACACUAUACCUAUGAAUAUGACAUGCCUUCCUAUUUUUGGUACACACUACAUCUAUGUGUUAACCUUGUUCUUACAUGAAACUACCUCUCUUCUAUACCCUGCAUCAAUCACUUACGACGAGUCACCUUUAUUCGUUGCAUAUUGCAUAUUAUUUCUAGCAUGUUGCCAUGUAUUGCUUCUAAUUUGGUCAAAUACAUUUGUUAGGGCACCCUUUUAAUUUGGCAGAAUGAUAUUGGUUUCAUCUUUCAUAUGGUUUCUAGCUUGCAUCGAUUCUAACAAUUUCAAGCACCUUGUGCUUAGUUUACACUUUAUACAUCAUACAUGUCAAUAUGUCACGCCAUCCUGUUUUUCAUACAUAUUCCAUCCUCCUAUCAUACGGCUGCCUUACAUGAAAGUAGUGUUCGUCAGUAUCAUGCAUGAAUAAGUUCUGAAGAGCAAAUUUUAUUCCUUUUUCUUGUGGGUUUGACUUGAUAAGGCAAAAUCAAGAAAGAGGAAGGAAAAGAGUAAGGAAGGCGUGAUGGUGGUCCUCUGUAGCAACGUAAACGGAGCAUCUGUACCGAUUCUCCUUGUACUAAUAGUGCAUUACAUGGUCCAAGUCUCCGCUCCCCUACUCCACCAUCCAAGGUGCUUGCUCUAACUUGGUAGUGUGAUAUCUGGUUGCAUGUUGCAUAUGGUGUCUAGCUCGUAUUGCUCCUAAUUAGUGUAAACUGCAUCUGCUUAGCUUACACAUGAUACAUGUGAAUAUGACACGGUUUCCUGUUUUUGGUACAUAUUAUAUCUGUCUAUCACACCAUGUUCUUACAUGAAACUACUCUUCUUGUGUAUCCUGCAUCAGUCACUUAUGAUGGGACACCUUUAAGUUGGCAGUGUGAUAUUGGUUUGCGUCUUUAAUAUGAUUUCUAGCAUGUAUUGCUUCUAGUUUGAUGAACGCCACCUAUGACGAGACAGUUUUAACUUGGCAGAGUGAUAUUGAUUGCACCUUCCAUAUGGUGUCUUGCAGUGUUUCUAAUUUGUUGAAGUGCCUUCUGCUUAGUUACCACAUCAUAGGUGUGAAUAUGUCAAUCCGUCCAUUUUUUCGUACAUGUUCCAUCCUCGCAUCAUGUGUUUGCCUUUCAUCCGAGUAGUGUUCAUCAGUAUCAUGCAUGAAUGAGUUCUAAAGAGCGAAUUUCAUUCCUUUUUCUUAUCGGUUUGACUUCACAAUGCAAAAUCAUUACAGCUGAAGGAAAUUAGUCCGGGAGUGGAUGAUGGUGGUCCUUCGGAGCAACUCAAACAGGGGGUCUCUAAAGAUUCUACUCCGCCAUCCUCCCGACAAGAUUCGCAAGACAACACAAGGCUGGACAGUCAAUGUAGUUGUGUAGAUGAUGAGCACAUCUCCCCUACUCCACCAUCACAGGUGCUUGCUCUAACUUGACACUAUUAUAUGUGGUUGCAUGUUGCGUAUGAUGUCUAGCUUGUAUUGCUUCUAACUUGAAUUGCAUAUGCUUACUUUACACAUAAUGCCUGUGAAUAUGACACAUGUUCCUGUUUCUAGAACAUACGUGUACAUGAUGAGCACAUCUCCACUACUCCACUAUCACAGGUGCUUGCUCUUACUUGGAACUGUUAUACGUGGUUGCGUUUUCCGUAUGAUGUCUAGUUUGUAUUGCUUCUGAUUAUGUAGAAUUGCAUCUGCGUAGCUUACAACUUAUACCUGCAACGAUCACUUACCCAUAAGACACAUUUAACUUGGGACUGUGAUGUAGGUUGCAUCUUGCAUUCUCUUCUAGCUUGUACUGCUUCUAAUAUCUUGAAAUGGCACUUACGACGAGACACUUUUUACCUGAUAGAGUGAUAUUGGUUGCAUGUUCAUAUGGUGCCUAGCUUUCAUUUCUUCUAAUUUUGUUGAAAUGCCUUCCGCUUACUGUUUUUUCAUACAUAUUCCAUCCUCCUAUCGUACGUGUGAAUAUGAAACGCUGUCUUUUUUUGUAUAUAUUCCAUCCUCCUAUCCUGCGCUUGCCUUACAUCAAAGUAGUGUUCGUCUGUAUCAUGCAUCAACCAGUUAUGCAGAGCUAAUUUUAUUCAUCUUCUUGUGGUUUUGACUUCAUAAGUCAAUAUCAGAAAAUAGGAAGGAAAAGAGCAAGUUAGGGGAUGUUGGUGGUACUCCACACCGACGCAAACAGAGACUCUCUAGAUUUUCCACUGCUACUGCUAAUGAAGUUGAAGUCCCAAGUCUACAUGAUGAGUUCAUCUCCCGCACUCCACCAUCGCAGGUGCUUGCUCUAAGUUGACAGUGUGAUAAUUGGUUUCAUGUUGCAUAUGUUGUCUAGCCUGUAUUUCUUCUAUUUUGAUUAAAUUGCACCUGCUGAGUUUAUACGUUAUACAUGUGCAUAUGACAUGGAUUUCUGUGUCUAGAAUACACUGCAUCUAUCUAUCGUACCAUGUUCUUACAUCAAAGUACUACUGUUGUGUACCCCACAUCAAUAACUCAUGAUUGGACGCUUUUAACAUGGCAGUUUGAUAGUGGUUGCAUCUUGCAUUGAUUUCUACGUUGUACUGCUUCUAAUUUUUCGAAUUGCCACUUAUGACAAGACACUUUUAACUUGGUAGAGUAAUAUUGGUUGCAUCUUUCAUAUGGUGUCUAGCUUGCAUUACUUCUAUUUUCUUGAAAAUCCUUCUGCUUAGUUUGCACAUCGUAGCUGUCAAUAUGUCAUGCCGUCCUGUUUUUCUUACAUAUUCCAUCCUCAUACGGUUGUCUUACAUCAAAGUAUUGCUUGUCUGUAUCAUGCAUCAAUGAGUUCUGAAGAGUGAUUUUAUUCUUUUGUGUUGUGGGUACAGCUUGACAUGGCAAAGUCGAAAAAGAGCAAGGAAAAUAAUAUAGUAGGGAGUGCUGUUACUUGUCGGGUGAAACGGAAAAGGUUCUGCCGUCGAGAUUCUGCUGGCAUGUAUAGUACAGUAGAAGGUCCAAGUCCACUGGCUAAAUCUACAAACACAAUAUCACCUGCUCCACCAGCUGCAGCAUCCGCUUCAACUGUACCAACAUCUCAACCAGUUGCUCGUUCGUUUGCUCCGGAACUGGCCAGUUCCCAAGCUGCCUUCACACCUAAAACUACUUCCAAAGCACUGCUGACACAAUAGGACUUGGCAAGAUCAGAUGAACCUCAUGAGCAUCAACACCAAGACAGUACCUGACAGAGUCAAGUUGCAGUUGCAUGCUCCUUUAUAUGUACUCUCACAGUUUGAUGUACACUAACACUUUCCAUAUUCAUUGUUGAACUAGCACCACGGCGCAAGCGGAAAUAGACAUCAGGGAUAAUGCUUGACAGAUUAACAAAAUCUAAAGGAGGAAGAAUGGAGAUCCAUUUUGAGGCAGGUUUAAAAAGCUCACGUGAUGCUACAAAGUAAGCCAAGUUAGUAUCAAAGGCAGCCAUUGCCGUUAGGUGUCAUGCGCGUAUCCUCCCAACGUGGAUCCAGUACAGGAAUGAGAAAGACAAUACCCAGUUUAACACCUUCCUUGACCAUUUAUCCGUAAGUAAUGUUAUUCAUCGCAACUAGUAAUAUUGUCUCGCCCUGUCCCAUACUUUCUAGCUUCCUCCUAAUAAGACUCACAUUCUUUUUUCAACAGAUGAGGUUCAAGUUGGAUCCGAAAGAUGAUGCAACUAAACAAGCAUGCACUCAUGUUUUUCAGUCUGCUCUGCGACAGUAUCGGUACCACCUUAUAAAAUCUCACUUUGAAGGCAAGGCUAACAAUGAAAUCGCCCAAACAUCCCCAGUGGAAUAUAUUACAGAUGAAGACUGGACAACCCUCGUUAAACAUUGGUCUGAUCCAAAGUAUCAGGUAGGCUAUAUGUAUUUGAUCAGACCACAUAUUGAACUUGUAUUUAUGUAUGUGCCUUACAAGUGUAUCUUCUUCUAGGCUAACUAUUUGAAGAACAAAACCAACCGUUCUAAAGUGAAAUUCCAACAGAUAACAGGAUCUCGUAGCUAUAUUGCACACUGCGAGGUUCUUGUAAAUAGAUGCCACUUCCUUCUUUUUUUUGUGCCAUAUUAUCGUAUCUAUAUUGACUUGUUCCAAAUACAGAGGAAAGCCCGUGCGGACCAAAAAGAACCUGAACCGAAUGCAGUGCAAAUCUUCAAGCAUUGCCACACCAGCAAGAUGAAGGGCAUGAGCACACCAGCUCAAGCCGCUGUUGUAAGUCCUUGCUCCUCCUGCCUUGAACUGAUUGGUACUGUGAUGUGUUCAUUUAACUACUUGGUUUGUAGCCAAUGUCAGUUACUCUGUUCACUUUUAUACACACUUGUCUUAACGUAUCAUUUCAUCUUACAUGGUUUAAAAGAGAUGAAGGAUAUUCUUUUGGUCUUGAUCUGUAAUCUAGUUGUUAUGUUCACGUGCGCACACAAUGAUAAAAUAGCCUGUUUGUUUUAUAUCUAUGUGCCCAUGAUAUGAAUGAUGUCAUACUAUGUUCAUCCUACUUUAAACCAUGUCUCUUUAUCCUUAGAUGUCAACGAAUGUGAGGAAAUAGACAAUACAGUAGGCAUGCUACAUGGACAUAUGUUCCGAAAGUGAUUUUAUUAUGUAGUUGGCACUACAAUACAUGCUAAUGUAUUACAGUAGUUCACCAAAAUAAGUUAUGUAUAAACGUUUAACCUACUUUGUUUGUUUUUCUCUCAUUAGUAACUUAUCUGGUACACUAAUCUACAUGUUCAAACUUUCAGGAAGCUAUGGAGCAAAUGAUUGAACAGCCACAACCACCUGAAGGUGACGAGGCUACUACAGGCACAAUGUCACCUCUUGCUGCAGUGCGUCAGUAUCUCUCCACUAACAGUGCAAAAAGCACCUUCCUGCGUAAUUCUGGGUUGGUUGUCAAGGUAACCUCGUCCAAACCGCCUACUGAACAAAAUCUUCCUGCUAGACAGAGUGAUAUAUCUGUGCUCCAGACACAAGUCCAAUCCCUAAUGGAUGUUGUUUCGGAAACAAGAAUUGUGGUUGAGAAAUGUCUUCAAGAUAUGAAUGGUUUUGAAACUAGACUAUCAGACAUUUGCUUCGUUGUUGAAGAGCUAUGGCGGAAAAAAGGUGGAGAUCGUGCUGCUCAAUCAGAUUCUACAGCCUGAAACAUUAGCACUCAGGUCAAAUGAUCUGUGCUUCUAUACAUCUGAUGGUGCUUUUAUCUUGAAGGACUAUAAACUUUAUGCCAACAGGCCUUUUGUUGUAUGAUUGGAAUUUAUUUUGUUGUGAUACAACAUUUAUGAUGCUGCCACAGGCUACAGUAAUUAUGACGCUAUUUUUGUAUAGUGUAGGUUUAUCUUAGUAAUGUAUUCGGCCGAAAGCUUCGUAGGAGCCCAACAUGCCAACAUUCGUCAGGCCCAUUCCAAUUGGGCUAAAAACGAUUACGGGCCGAAAUUGGCAUGUGGCCCACUAAAAAUAUUUGGGCUUAAAUUAGCAUAAGCUUUCAAAUUUUUCUGGUAUGCCUGUGCCCAUAGUGGGCCUUUAACAGGCCUAAACAUAAUUUGGGCCCUCAGUAAAAAUAGGCCGUUUCCAGGUGUAAAUAUCUCGAGCCCAUAAAAAACAUGGGCUUUUAAUAGACCGAAAGUGAGAUUGGGCCCUGAUUGUGCCAAAUAACCCACUGGACUUAGCAGGCCAAAAUGGUGGCCCAUUUACGAUGCGUAUAUUUGACAGGCCGAAAUUAGGAUGGGCCGUAAAUGCGCCGACCUAAUACACGGGCCUUUAACAGGCCGGAACUUCGGUCGGGCUAGAUUAUCAUCAUUUUUAUAUGGGCCGUUAAUGGGCCCGAUAUGACGUUGGGCCACAUAUGGCCCAUGGUUUACGUCUGACGUUAACAGGCUGAAAAUGACAACAGGCCGACCAAAUCUAUAGUGGGCCUCUAACAUGCCGAAUGACAAACAUGGCCGAAUAUGACCCAAAUCCUUCACGGUUGUUUAUGGGCCAAAAGUUUUGAUGGCCUAUAAAUGGGCCCAAAUGAAGCUGGACCUUUAACAGGCCAAAAAUACACCGGGCCAUAAUUCGGCCCAAUUACUUAGCAGAGUGUUAACAGGCCAGAAGUGACCAUGGGCCGCAUUGAUGACAAGUUUAGACCAGGCCGUUAACGGGCUGAUUUGACAGAUAAUGUUGUGCCUUUAGCUGGCCCGACCCAUUAUGGUCCGCAGAAUCUUGUGGGCCUUUAGCUGGGCCGGCCCAUUGUGGUCCGCAAAAUCUUGUGGGACUUUAUCUGGGCCAGCCCAUUAUGGUCCGCUAAAUUUUGUGGGCCUUUAGCUGGGCCGGCCCAUUAUGGUCGGCUAAAUCUUAUGGGCCUUCGGUUGGGCCUGCCCAUUUAAACUUUGUGGGCCACUUUUGGGCUGGUCCACAUGUCAACAUAUCAUAGGCCCAUCUUGACCAUUGGAUGAGUGACGCCUGUGCCAACGCGGAGCUGACACGUGGAUCCGUCAGCCAAUGAGAAUUUUACACGUGGAAAAUCGGCAUUGGUUGUGGCUGUUAAUGGGUUAUCGGAUCCAAAAUCCGACCCGAUAGCUUAACGGCGUUCCGUUACGGUGGAUGCCACGUGUCGGUUACCCUUGAUGAAAGCACUUCUGUGACGCGCGAUUUAUCAUCAUGGAAGUGGACACUUCCGUGAUGAUAAUUUUGGUAAUGUCAUGGAACACUUCUACGACAGCACAGGUAUGACUAUCUUGAUUCUGUCAUAAAUUUGUCAUGGAUGUACAUGCAUGACAAAAAACGCGACCUACUGUGACAAACACGUAUCAUCACAGAAGUGUAUUUUUUUUGUAGUGACAGAUGUGGUAUUCUUUUAGUCUUGCGACAUUUAGCGAUUGUGCUAUGGGUGUUCAAUUUUAUUAUCCUUAUUCAUAAUAUACAUCUUAUUCACAAUAAUAGUAUGACCUUUUGUUCAUAACAUCGAACAACUAUUGUUCUGUCAUGAACAACCUCCUUCAUAACAUCGAACAACAAUUGUUUUUUCAUGAACAACCUCCUUUCAACUUCUAUGCAAUGGUCUAGAGUGUACAAAAACUCUAAAAUGAAUUAUGAUAAUAAAUUCAGAGAAAAUACACCAAUAUAAAUACUAUAACCUUUUACAAUCCAUCAAAAUAUUUUAACCUCAUUAUAUGUUGGUCAUUUAGGCCGUUCAGAGUUUCUUUGCAACAAUUUGCAAUAAUAUGUAAUUGUGUCGAUAUCCUUGUGAUUAACCUUUUAACCACAAUACCGAAGAAUCAGGGAUCAAAAAAUUGAUCAUGUUUCCCAAGAACUACACUUUACUUGACCAACCACCUCUACAUCUCAUAACUUGUAUGACAUUCAUACCUGAGCUGGACAUUCCAGUCUUAUUUUCUUUCUGUCUUUACUUAUAGUUUUACUUCAAUAUUUCUCUUACUCUCAGAAGAAACAACAACUUUAAGAGUGGCGUGAGCCCUAGACUUCCCUAGGUGUGUAAGUUUCAUUACAUCCUUUGGUUUUGUUCUUUCUCUACAAGUUUUCACCUUAACCGCAUUACUGGCUUUCUUCUAGAUCGUAAGCAUUUUAGUCUUAAACAUAGUUGAAAACUUCACUAGAGUUUGCAAACAAAACUCUUCUUUAGAUAUCACAUAUCCUUUUAGCCUUCGUUUGUUUCUGAAAAAAAUAGUUCCAAGAAUAUCACAUAACUAUCCCAAACAUUAUGAAGUUCAGGUUUCUCGGAAGCAAGCAGACCGUAAUGCAAUUCUAGCUUUUGGAUCGAAGGACGUGAGUCUCGUCAUCCACAGCAUUAGCGAGAAAGUAUUGUAGACAUGCAGUAGGACAAAAAUCCUUCUUGGCACUUUUAGAGGACGAUCCUCUCAAACAUAAAGUUUCAACUAGAUAAAUUACAGUCAAUCAAUUUCAACAACAAAGGUGGAACCGUGAGCCAUAAUUCUACAACUAUAAUGCAAAGUACACAUAGAAAUUGUUCAUAAUUAAUUUGAACUAGUUAUUAAACUUAAUUAAUUCAUUAAUUGUCCUCCCACUCAAAUCAAUAUCUCUCAUAAUUGAUAGUGAGUGAUUCAAGAUCCAAAACUAGUUCUUAGCCACUGAUGUGGACAUCACUGAUUGCAAGAAUUUUUGACCGGUAGGCAAAUAUUUGUCGAUCAUAUCUCCAUAUGACUCUUGUUCAUCUUUCAAUGCUUUGUGAUCCGAGCUCAGAAUGAUUCUGCCAGAACUUCAAGACAACGAAGUGCUAUCCGCAUACAUGGUCUGACCAUGUCCAUCUUAUACCUCACGUCCUAGUUGUACUCAUGUGGACAUGACACACUCCGGAACGUUGUGUGUUAUAGACGGUUGCAACACUGGGAAGAGCACCUUUUAACUUGAUAUUUACUAUGAGAUAUCACCCUAAUAAUUGACUACCGCACAAUCAAAGAGGGCAAAUAAUAAAGGGAUAAACAGCUCCGGCAAUUCAUAAUAGCAUGAUAUGGUAUAGCCCUGGGCGCCGGGAGUUUUCCGUGAUCGUCUUCAGUCUCCAGUUGAAGCGACAUGAUGGCCAAUAUUCCGUUGUCGUGGCAACCAUUUCAAAAAUGUUACCCGGCGGUAAUCUAAGAAAACAUUGCCAUGACGACUGUCUUAGGAAACGUUGUCGUGACACCAGAAAUCUGAAAUUCCACCGUGACACGAAAUUAUAGCUCCUCGUCCCGCACCUUGGUACACCUUCUCCUCGGGGUCCUCCGUGUACGUCUUGCCACCAUCACAUGUAACCUAUCUCUACGAUAUUUACAUUAAGGUUGCAAUCUCGUGGCUCCAGCCAUCAUGCCGUGACGCGUAGGCCACUUAACAUUACAACAUAUAACCAUCUCAUACAUAAACUCAUUAUUAUGAUGAAGGCUAUACCACAUCAUAUGCAAACCCUGCAAAACCAAGUUAGACGACCUCUAAUCGGUUUGGAAAAUUUUAUUGCGUGGCUUCUAGGGUUUAUGGAUAAACCUAGCUUCCUACAUGCACACCUAAAGUGAUAAUCCAUGUUGCUAGAUUAACUUUUGGGGUGUGUGAAAGAAGAGACUUAAUUAAAAAUCUCGUUCCUCCACACUAAACUUCAUCUAAUACGCGUGACCCCCUAGAAGAUCAUCCAUCUUCAUCGCCCUCUGGUGUACGCAACAGUUCACUAUUCUUGACUAUGGUGAAGCCCAAGGAACUGUUAGCAGAUCGUCGACAGCCAGAGCCGAGCGAUUUUCAGAACCUUGUAAAAAGUGACACCAUGGCAUCAAUGAACUGAACUGAAGCGACACUCGAGGGCAGCAUAGCAAGAACAUGACCCUCACAUCCACAUGUGAUCUAGAUCGCAACCUGCAUCUACUCAUAGAACUGCUCAUGAUGCCACUGUUGGGAAAUGUAGUGGAAAACAAAAAAAAUCGCCCUACGAUCACCCAUGAACAAAUAUGAAGAUGCAUAACGGAUUGUGAUCAACGAUCGUUACUGAUGUCUGCUUGAACUACGUCGGUAGUUCCCCAAAAGGAAGGGAUGAUGCUGCACAGCGAUGAUAGGUAUUUCCCUCAGUGAUGAGACCAAGAUUAUCGAACUAGUAGGAGAACCACGCAACACUACGUGAACGGCACCUGCAGACAAAUAACAAAUACUUGCAACCCGACGUAUUAAAGGGGUUGUCAACCCUUUCGGGUAACAGCGCCAGAAAUUGGCAAGUAGAUGGGAUAAAAGUUGUAAUAGAUUGAUAGAUGCAAAUAAAAGCAAAUAAAAUUCAACGAGGUAUUUUUGUAUCUUGCGAUUAAUAGAUUUGAAAUAAAAGCAAAUAAAAAUAGAUCGUGAAGGAAAAUAUAAUAAAGAAGAGACAUGGGGGUCAUAGAUUUCACUAGUGGCUUCUCUCGAGAAAAAUAGCAUACGGUGGGUAAACAAAUUACUGUUGGGCAAUUGAUAGAACUUCAAAUAAUCAUGAUGAUAUCCAGGCAAUGAUCAUUAUAUAGGCAUCACGUCCAAGAUUAGUAGACCAACUCCUGCUUGCAUCUAUUACUAUUACUCCACACAUCGACCGCUAUCCAGCAUGCAUAUAGUGUAUUAAGUUCAUGGAGAAACAGAGUAAUGCAAUAAGAACGAUGACAUGAUGUAGAAAAGAUCUAUUUAUGUAGAAAUAGACCCCAUCUUGUUAUCCUUAAUAGCAACGAUACAUCCAUGUCGGUUCCCCUUCUGUCACUGGGAUCAAGCACCGUAACAUCGAACCCACCACAAAGCACCUCUUCCCAUGGCAAGAAAAAUCGAUCUAGUUGGCCUAACUAAACCAAUGGUUCAAAGAAGAAAUAUGAGGCUAUAAGUAAUCAUGCAUAUAAGAGACCAAAAAGACUCAAAUAACUUUCAUGGAUAAAAACAUAGAACUGAUCAUAAACUCAAAGUUCAUCAGAUCCCAACAAACACACCGCAAAAAGAGUUACAUCAAAUAGAUCUCCAAGAGACCAUUAUAAUGAGAAUCAAUAGAGAGAGAGAGACACACACACACACACACAGAGAGAGAGAGAGAGAGAGAGAGAGAAAGAGAGAGGGAGAGAGAGAGAGAGGAAGCCAUCUAGCUACUAACUACGGACCCGUAGGUCUACAAUGAACUACUCACGCAUCAUCGGAGAGGCACCAAUGAGGAUGAUGAACCCCUCCGUGAUGGUUUCUAGAUUGGAUCUGGUGGUUCUGGAACUUGCGGCGGCUGGAAUUGAUUUUCAUCGACUCCCCUAGGGUUUCUGGAAUAUUGGGGUAUUUAUAGAGCAAAGAGGCGCGGGAGGCCACUGAGGUGGGCACAACCCACCUGGGUGCACCUGGGCCCCCAGGCGCGCCCUGGUGGGUUGUGCUCCCCUUGGAGCACCCCUAAGGUACUUUCUCGGCCCAUCUGGUGUCUUCUGGUCCAUAAAAAAUCCACAAAAAGUUUUGCUGCAUUUGGACUCCGUUUGGUAUUGAUUUCCUGCGAUGUAAAAAACAAGCAGAAAACAACAACUGGCACUGGGCACUAUGUCAAUAAGUUAGUCCCAAAAAAUGAUAUAAAAUUGCUAUAAAAUGAUUGUAAAACAUCCAAGAAUGAUAAUAUAACAACAUGGAACAAUCAAAAAUUAUAGAUACGUUGGAGACUAUCAGUUGCUGACUCUGAGAGUGCAGCGAAAGUAGGUGAGUCGGUGUAGAUCGUACUUGGAGUCCCUCGAACAUCGAUGACAAUCCCGCGAACUGCCCUCAAACGGUCCCUCAAACGGAAGACCGAAAGCAUGACCUCUCUACUUGGUUGCAAGCGUACGGUCUUCACGAUCCGGCGGCGCUUCGCCGUCUAGAGCUAAUCGUCGCUGGAGAAUUAGAGGGAGGAGAUUAGAACCACAUGUGGCUUCUAAUUAUGAGGAUUAGAGGUGGCCAGGGCUCGCUCUAAUUAGUCAACUAGGACCAACUAGGACAUACACUAGAUCAACUAGAGGAGGCUCCAAAACUUGUAUAUCCAUAGGGUGGAAAUCCUCUAGUAUAUAUAGGUUAGAGGAGAGAGAGGGUAGCCAGCGAUGAGGAAAGUCCCCCUUGGGGCGCCAUCCUAGGGAGAGGGAGUAGGACUCCCUCCCCUAGUCCAAUUUGCUCCCCCCCACAAGGAAAGGGGGUGCCUUCCAACUUGGGCCCUUGUGGCCCAAGUUCCCUUCCACCUCUUGGCCUUUUAAGGCCUAUUGAUAUUUAAAUUAAAUAUAAAAUGUUAUAAACAUUUUCAGAGCAUUAUAUAUAUAAUUUAACAUCCCCAGAAACAUUUUCCACCUAUAUAUAUAUAUUGAAUCGGUAAUACUCGGUAUUACCCGAUACUGAAACCCUUCCAGUGACCCCGAAACGCUUCCGGAACCUCUUAGAACUAUUUUGGAUAUUAAUGAAACAAUUCCACAACUAUAUUACCAUCACUCCCGUCCCACUAACACUCAGCAGAUCGUGACCACCUUAAGCUUGUGACCCCGUAGGUUCGGUAAACCAUAGACAUGAACGAACACCCCUUCGUUCAAUGACCGAUAGCGGAACCGUGGACAUCCAUAUCGGUCCCUAUGAUUACAUGAAUGAUAUUCGAGUGAACCUUUGGUUAUCAUGUGAUGUUCCCUUUGCUUCACGAUACUUUACAAAACCCGAUGUGCAUCGGUAUACUCCUGAUUCAUCACCAUGCUCACGAUAUUGUUCCUCCCAUUGCUAGUUUUUUUCUUCUUUCUCAUUGACAUGUCCCUGCAUCCCCGUGACGUAGUCACCUGUGUCGGCCCAUACGAUGAUGGAUGACGUCACACUGAGUGGACCCUAAGAAUAUCUCUCCAGCGUCGGAGGAGCAAAUCCCACUCUCGAGUUGUCCGUUCACUUGUCAAACGUUCCCAUGAGCCUGAAAGUUGUCGUUGUGAUCACCUUGUUACAGAUGACGUUUGAGCACCCGAAAGCACACCGUCUCGUAGGAAGUGACCGAGACACUCUCAUGGUCCGAGGAACUAAAACACAUGCUAACACUCCGUGUUAUAAUAGAUGAUUUUAGACUAUAUAAUCACAUAGUAUAACAGACAAGUAUUGGGUCGAUUCAAUAUGAUCGUUCUUCUAACGUCAUACCCUCAAUGUUGUUUUAAGACUAUCGUUACGCUUAACGAUAACCUAAGAUCUGGAAAAUGUGAUCACCAACAACACUUUAGUUGGUCUUAGAGGCGAGAUCGGGAACCUAUUGUUCACCGUCUAUCCUUCCACACGUGCACAUGAGUUUUCCAUUGAAUCGCAUAUUCCAGGAUCAUAGCAGAUAUAUCAUGAAAUAUAAACUUUUAACUAUGAAUAUGGAAAUAUAAUAAUACAAUGCUAUUGCCUCUAUGGCAUAUUUCCAACAGUCCGCAUGAUGCAUUUGACAUUAAAGUUGUCGUGACUGAUCGACACUGAGAACAAACACAAUGAUUACUUACCACCAAAUCCCAUUUUCAAUUUCAGAAUGUUGUUCUCCUACCAAUGUGUAAUUGCAAGCUCUCUAUAUCCCCUCCCUCUCCCUCCUUCAAUCUCUCGAUCUCUCUCUUACUCUCUUUCUCAGUCUCCCCCCUCUCUCUGGAUCAAUCUCGAUCCAACACAUUGUCUUCUCAAAAGGGCUCCACUUCUAUGGUAGCUGGCUCAUUGUUGCUAGUUGUGGUUUAUGCUCUUGAUCUCCUCCUUAUGGUCACACUAUCAUUCCUAAUGGAGUGUUGUUAAUCAAUGACACAAGUGUGCCAGGAAAAGAAGACCCUUAGUGCACUUCAGUAUUUGUUCCAAAGCUUGUUAUUAUCGAGUUUAUUUUUUUGAGAUGCUAAAGGAAUUACGUGGUCAAUAAAUAGUUGGGAAACCUUGGCAGGGUACUAAGAGUAAACUAUUAUGACUUAUGUUGUAGUGAGGAUCACAUAAGUAGCAUAAAACGGAAUUGUACACAUUAACUCUACAUGCUAGUUUUGUGACUCCUCUGUACAUUAAUUUCAUAUAUCUUUUACUUAUCUUCUAGGAAAUAUAUUUUCUUAGAUGAAAAAUCAAAAGCAAGCAUGAAUAUUGAUCCUUAAUUUUAGCCAAUCUGGAUAGUAAUUAAAAAUCAAAAGCAAGUAUUUGUUCCAAAGCUAGUUUUGUAACAAACAAACAAAAUUAUCACACGGCACAUAGAUCGACAAUCUGGAUAGUAAUUAAGAAUAAGGCGGGGUCUUCUGUCAGAUAGGGCAUCAAAUAGACAGAGGAAAGUCGGAUUUUUAUACCUCAUUGCUAUGUCCACUUUGCAUCAUGUUUUCUUACUAUUAUUUAUAAUAUUUUUGUCCAUAAUAAUGCUUUUUGGAGUAAUUCUAAUGCUUUUUCUCUCAUAAUUUGCAACAAAUACACCAAGAGGGAGCAUUCCGGCAGCUGGAAAUCUGGAUCUGGACAAGCUACGUUAGGCCACCUAUUCUGCACAACUCCAAACAAGCUGAAACUUCACGGAUUUUUUUAUGGAAUAUAUAUGAAUUAUUGGAGCAAAUAACUACUAGAGGGGGCCCACCAGGUGGGCACAACCCACCUGGGCGCGCCAGGGAGCCCAGGCGCGCCCUGGUGGUUUGUGCUCACCCAAGCCCACCUCCGGUGCUCAUCUUCUCGUAUAUAAGUCAUUUUGACCUAGAAAAAUGAGGAGAGGACUUUUGGGACGGAGCGCUACCGUCUCGAGGCGGAACUAGGACAAGAGCACUUUUGCCCUCCAGCAGAGCGAUUCCGCCGUGGGAACUUCCCUCCAGGAGGGGGAAAUCACCGUCAUCAUCAUCACCAACAACUCUCCCAUCUUGGGGAGGGCAAUCUCCAUCAACAUCUUCAACAUCACCAUCUCAAACCCUAGUUCAUCUCUUGUGUUCAAUCUUGUUACCGGAACUAUAGAUUGGUGCUUCUGGGUGACUAGUAGUGUUGAUUAUAUCUUGUAGUUGAUUACUCUAUGGUUUAUUUGGUGGAAGAUUAUAUGUUCAGAUCCAUUUUGCUAUUUAAUACCCCUCUGAUCUUGAGCAUUAUUAUCAUUUGUGAGUAGUUACUUUUGUUAUUGAGGUCACGGGAGAAAUCAUGUUGCAAGUAAUCAUGUGAAUUUGAUAUGUGUUCGAUAUUUUGAUAGUAUGUACGUUAUUAUUCCCUUAGUGGUGUCAUGUGAACGUCGACUACAUGACACUUCACCAUAUUUGGGCCUAAGGGAAUGCAUUGUGGAUUAGCAAUUAGAUGAUGGGUUGCGAGAGUGACAGAAGCUUAAACCCGAGUUUAUGCGCAAUUCCGUAAGGGACCGAUUGGAUCCAAAAGUCUAAUGCUAUGGUUAGAAUUUAUUCUUAAUACUUUUCUCAUAGUUGCGGAUGCUUGCAGGAGGGUUAAUCAUACGUAGGAGUUUUGUUCAAGUAAGAACAACACCAAAGCACCGGUCCACCCACAUAUCAAAUUAUCAAAGUAGCGAACACAAAUCGAACCAACAUGAUGGAAGUGACUAGAUGAAAUUCCCGUGUACCCUCAAGAACGCUUUGCUUGUCAAAAGAGACCGUUUUGGCCUGUCCUUUGCCUCAGAAGGAUUGGGAUACCUUGCUGCACUUUUGUUACUACUAUCAUUACUUGCUCGUUACAAAUUAUCUUGCUAUCAAACUACUCCGGUACUUACAAUUUCAGCACUUGCAGACAUUACCUUACUGAAAACUAUUUUUCAUUUCCUUCUGCUCCUCGUUGGGUUGGACACUCUUACUUAUCGAAAAGAACUACAAUUGAUACCCUAUACUUGUGGGUCAUCAAGGCUAUUUUCUGGCGCCGUUGCCGGGGAGUGAAGCGCCUUUGGUAAGUGGAAUUUGGUAAGGAAACAUUUAUAUAGUGUGCUGAAAUUUAUUGUCACUUGUUACUAUGGAAAACAAUCCUUUGAGGGGUUUGUUUGGGGUAUCUUCACCUCGUCCGGAACCACAAUUAGCUACCCCUCAACAUACUGGACCUACUGAAAAUAUUGAAUAUGAAAUCCCUUUGGGUGUGAUAGAACAACUGCUAGCUAAUCCUUAUGCAGGAGAUGGAACUGAACUUCCUGAUAUGCACUUGAUAUAUGUAGAACAAAUUUAUGUAUUGUUUAAGCUUGCAGGUUUACCCAGGGAUGAAGUUAUGAAAAAGGUUUUCCCUUUAUCUUUGAAGGGAAAAGCAUUGGCAUGGUAUAGGAUAUGCGAUGAUAUUGGAUCAUGGAAUUGGAAUCGUUUGAAAUUGGAGUUCCAUCAAUUUUUUUAUCAUAUGCAUCUAGUUCAUCGUGAUCGGAAUUAUAUAUAUAAUUUUUGGCCUCGUGAAGGAGAAAGUAUCGCUAUAGCUUGGGGGAGACUUAAUUCAAUGUUAUAUUCAUGCCCCAAUCAUGAGCUCUCAAGAGAAAUUAUUAUUCAGAACUUUUAUGCUCGGCUUUCUCGUAAUGAUGAAACCAUGCUUGAUACUUCUUGUGUUGGUUCUUUUAUGAAAAAGACUAUUGAAUUCCGGUGGGAUCUUUUGGAAAGAAUUAAACGCAACUCUGAAGAUUGCGAGCUUGAUGAAGGUAAAGAGUCGGGUAUUAAACUUAAGUAUUAUUGUGUUAAACCUUUUAUGGAUACCGAUGCUUUUCAAAAGUUUAGCACUAAAUAUGGACUUGACUCAGAGAUAUUAGCCUCCUCUUGUGAAUCAUUUGAUACUCAUGUUGAACUCCCUAAAGAGAAGUGGUUUAAAUAUCACCCACCUAUUAAAGAAGAAAUUAAAGAACUGGUACCAGUUAAAGAAGAAACUAUACUUUAUAAUGUUGAUCCAGUUGUCCCUUCUGCUUAUAUUGAGAAACCACCUUUUCCUAUUAGGAUACAUGAACAUGCUAAAGUUUCUAGUGUAGUUACAAGAUCUAUAUUAGAACACCUAAACCUGAUGAACAAAUCAAAGUAGAACCUAGCAUUGCUAUGGUUAAAGAUCUCUUGGAAGAAGAUAUGGAUGGGCAUGUUAUUUACUUUUGUGAAGAAGCUACUAGAAUUGCUAAACCUGAUAAAAGGGAUAAACAUAGACCUGUUGUGGGCAUGCAUGUCAUCUCAGUUAAAAUAGGAGAUCACUAUUAUCAUGGCUUAUGUGACAUGGGUGCUAGUGUGAGUGCUAUUCCUUACACCUUAUAUCGAGAAAUUAUGAAAGACAUAGCACCUGCAUAGUUAGAAGACAUAGAUGUUACUAUUAAACUUGCUAACAGAGACACCAUAUCACCAUUUGGGAUUAUUAGAGAUGUUGAAGUCUUGUGUAGGAAAAUAAUAUAUCCUACUGAUUUUCUUGUUCUUGGCUCCCCACAAGAUGACUUUGUCCCAUUAUAUUUGGUAGACCUUUCUUGAACAUAGUUAAUGCUAAGUUAGAUUGUAAUAAACAAACUGUCGGUGUUAGCUUUGGUGAUGAGUCUCAUGAGUUUAAUUUUUCCAAGUUUAGUAGAAAUCUUCAUGAAAAAGAAUUGCCUAGUGAGGAUGAAUUAAUUGGUCUUGCUUCUAUUGUUGUGCCACCUACUAAUCCUUUAGAACAAUAUUUGCUAGACCAUGAAAAUGAUUUACAUAUGCAUGAAAGAAAUCAAAUAGAUAAAAUUUUCUUUGAACAACAUCCUCUGCUUAAACACAAUUUGCCUAUUGAAACUCUGGGAGGUCCUCGUCCACAGGUGAUCCUGUGUUUGAAUUAAAACAAUUGCCAGACACUUUGAAAUAUGCUUAUCUUGAUGAAAAUAAAAUAUAUCCCGUUAUUACCAGUGCUAACCUUUCAGAACAUGAAGAGGAAAGAUUAUUGAACAUUCUAAGGAAGCACCGAGAUGCUAUUGGAUAUACUCUUGAUGAUUUAAAGCGCAUUAGUACCACUCUAUGUCAGCACAAAAUUAAUAUGGAACCUGAUACUAAACCCUUUGUUGAUCACCAACGUCGAUUAAAUCUGAAGAUGAAAGAGGUGGUAAGAACGGAAAUAUUAAAACUUCUGGAAGCAAGCAUAAUCUAUCCUAUAGCUGAUAGUAGAUGGGUAAGUCCUGUUCAUUGUGUCCCUAAGAAAGUAGGUAUAACUAUUGUUCCUAAUGAUAAGAAUGAACUAAUUCCACAAAGAAUUGUUAUAGGCUAUAGAAUGGUAACUGGUUUUAGAAAAUUAAAUAAAGCAACUAGAAAAGAUCAUUACCAUUUGCCUUUUACUUAUCAAAUUCUUGAAAGAUUAUCUAAGCACACACACUUUUGCUUCCUUGAUGGAUAUUCUGGCUUUUCACAAAUACCUGUUUCUCAACCUGAUCAAGAAAAGAUCACUUUUACUUGUCCUUUUGGAACCUAUGCUUAUGGAUGUAUGCCUUUUGGUUUAUGUAAUGCACCUGCUACCUUUCAGAGAUGUAUGACUAUUAUAUUCUCUGACUUUUGUGAAAAGAUUGUUGAGGUUUUCAUGGAUGACUUUUACGUUUAUGGGAAGUCUUUUGAUGAUUGUUUAAGCAAUCUUGAGCGAGUUUUGCGAGUUGUGAACAAACAAAUCUUGUCUUGAAUUGGGAGAAGUGCCACUUUAUGGUAAAUGAAGGCAUUGUUUUGGGUCAUAAAAUUUCUGAAAGAGGUAUUGAAGUGGACAAAGCUAAGGUUGAUGCAAUUGAGAAAAUGCAAUGUCCUAAAGAUAUAAAAGGCGAUUUAUCAAAGACUUUUCUAAAAUUUCUAGGCCUCUCACUAAUCUUUUGCAGAAGGAUAUUCCUUUUGUUUUUGAUGAUGAUUGUUUAGAAGCCUUUGAAACACUCAAGAAAGCCUUAAUUUCUGCACCUAUUAUUGAACCACCUGAUUGGAACUUGCCUUUUGAAAUUAUGUGUGAUGCUAGUGAUUAUGAUGUUGGUGCUGUUCUACGAUAAAGAGUUGAUAAAAAAUUGAAUGUUAUUCAUUAUUCUAGUAAAACUCUAGACAGUGCUCAAAGAGAUUAUGCUACUACUAAAAAAAAUUCUUAGAAGUGGUGUUUGCUUGUGAUAAAUUUAGACCUUAUAUUGUUGAUUCCAAAGUAACUGUUCACACAAACCAUGCUGCUAUUAAAUAUCUUAUGGAAAAGAAAGAUGCUAAACCUAGACUUAUUCGCUGGGUUCUUUUGCUACAAGAAUUUGAUUUACAUAUCAUUGAUAGAAAAGGAGCUGAGAACCCCGUAGCUGAUAAUUUGUCUAGGCUUGAAAAUGUGCUUGAUGACCCACUUCCUAUUGAUGAUAGUUUUCCUGAUGAGCAGUUAGCUGCAAUAAAUAUUUCUCAUAGUACUCCUUGGUAUGCUGACUAUGCUAAUUACAUUGUUAAUAAAUAUUUACCACCUAGCUUUACAUACCAACAAAAGAAAAAGAAUCUUCUAUGAUUUAAGACAUUACUUUUGGGAUGACCCACAUCUUUAUAAAGAAGGAGUAGAUGAUAUUAUUAGACAUUGUGUACCUGAGCAUGAACGGGGACAAAUACUUCGGAAAUGUCACUCUAAAGCUUAUGGAGGGCAUCAUGCUGGAGAUAGAACUGCUCAUAAGGUAUUGCAGUCUGGAUUUUAUUGGCCUAUUCUCUCCAAGGAUGCCCGUAAGUUUGUCUCAUCUUGUGAUGAAUGCCAAAGAAUAGGUAAUAUCGGUAAGCGUCAAGAAAUGCCUAUGAUUUUUUCACUUGCUGUUGAACCAUUUGAUGUUUCGGGAUUCAAUUACAUGGGACCUUUCCUUCCUCUAAUGGGUAUACACAUAUUUUGGUUGCUGUUGAUUAUGUUACUAAAUGGGUAGAAGCUAUUCCAACCAGUAGUGCUGAUCACAACACCUCUAUUAAAAUGCUUAAGGAAGUUAUUUUCCCAAGGUUUGGAGUCCCUAGAUAUUUAAUGACUGAUGGUGGUUCACACUUUAUUCAUGGUGCUUUUCGUAAAAUGCUUGCCAAGUAUGAUGUUAACCAUAGAAUUGCAUCACCUUAUCAUCCUCAGUCUAGUGGUCAAGUUGAACUUAGCAAUAGAGAAAUAAAAUUAAUUUUGCAAAACACUGUCAAUAGGUCCAGGAAGAAUUGGUCUAAGAAAUUAGAUGAUGCACUUUGGGCUUAUAGAACAGCAUAUAAAAAUCCUAUGGGUAUGUCUCCUUAUAAAAUGGUUUAUGGAAAAGCUUGUCAUUUGCCUCUUGAGUUAGAACAUAAAGCAUAAUGGGUAGUUAAAGAACUCAAUUAUGAUUUCAAACUUGUUGGUGAAAAUAGGUUAUUUGAUAUAAGCUCAUUAGAUGAAUGGAGAACCCAAGCUUAUGAAAAUGCAAAAUUAUUCAAAGAAAAAGUUAAAAGAUGGCAUGACAAAAGAAUCCAAAAGCGUGAGUUUAAAGUCGGAGAAUAUGUUCUUUUGUACAACUCUCAUUUUAGAUUCUUUGAAGGAAAACUCCUCUAAAAAUGGGAAGGCCCCUAUAUUAUCGAGGAGGUUUACCGGUCUGGAGUCAUCAAAGUAAAUAAUUUUGAAGGUACUAACCCGAAGGUUGGCAAUGGACAAUGAAUAAAGCAUUAUAUCUCAGGUACGCCCAUUAAUGUUGAAAGUAAUAUUAUCCAAACUUUGACACUGGAAGAACACAUAAAAGAGUCUUUUCGGAACACUCCAGAAUCGUGAAAAUAAGGUGGUACGUGAUACGGUAAGUAAAUAGACUCCGAAAAAUCCGCAAAAAUAUUUUUUAUCAGUUUUGGAAUAUUUAAGAAUUUUGGAAAUAAAGAAACUUCCAAGAAGCGUCUCCUGGUGGGAAAAAGACACGAGGGCGCGCCAGGUUUCCCUGGCACGCCCAAGUGGGUUGUGCCCACCUGGGACACCUUUCGGACUCCGUUUUUCUUUUGUAUGCUUGUCCCCCAAGAUACAAAAUCUAUAUAUACUUUCCGAACCUGUUAACCUCCGUAUCACGGAGAAAUCCUCUGUUGUCUUUUUCCUUGUUGUUUUCUGUCAGAUCCCAUCUACCAUGGACUCUUAAAGAUUCUCCAAGGACAAGUUCUUCAAGAACGUCAUCAACCCAUAUCUGUGGGAGGUGGUGCAGCACCCUCAAACCAUCCAGAUGCAUGAGGGGGCACUGUACAUCCACGAUGAGCAAGGUCCCAAGGGCACGGGAACUAUGGAGGCCAGGCUUGAAGCCAUGGAGCAGGAAGUCUUCCGGUGCAAGGGGAUGGUGGAGCGUGGGCUCAAUGCCAAUCACCUCAUGAUCAUGGACCUUUCCCAUGAUAUGAAGGUGGAUGGCAAGCCCAUUAAGGACAUCAUCUUCACCCUCAAUGAGCAAAUCAACUUUCUCCAAAGCCAGAUCUAUGAUCUUCAAAACCAAGUCUUUGAGUAUGAGGUGAUGUUUAAAGGUAUGAGUUUGGCUGCUAGUUGCAGGACCCAUGAGACUCACUCCUCCUCUUAUGAUGGUGGACCACUGCCAUGGAAAUCUGAGGACAAGAUCUCUUCUUCUUCACCACCGUCUUCUUCACCACCAAAAGAGAACUGAGUAUCGGGUAUGGGCACUCCCCUUGGCUUCCGCCAAGCUUGGGGGAGGUGCCCCCGUAUGGUAUCAUCCCACUAUCUUUUUGCUUUUACUUAUCUCAAUUCGAUCUUUUUUGCUUUAGAUGAAUAAAAGUUUAGUUCGAUCCUUUCCUCUUUGAGAGUUUGCUUAGUGAUCUAUCCUUGUAAUCGUGUGCAAGUUAUAUAAUAAAGUUUAGUUUGAGUUUUUGCUUUCUCUACUUUCAUGUUGCAAAUAAAGAAAAGAAAUAAGAAGAAAGAAAAAGAGAAAGCAAAUAAAUCAAUAAGAUCAUAUGCUAAUCCUAUGGUAGGUGAUGGCACCACAUAAGGAAAAGUAUAAGUAGGAAAUUUUAUUAGAGAUUGACAAACAUAGCAUUAGUCAAUGAUGCAACUCAUGAAAGAAUUAAUAAGGGAAGAGAAGACUCACAUAUAAAUAUACUAUCCUAGAAAUCUUUUGUGAUUGUGAGCCCUAAUCAAAAUAUUAUAUGCCAAAAUUGUUGACGUUGGACAAGGAAGACAACUUAAUGGUUUAUGUUUGUUUAUAUUCACAUAGAAGUCAUAUAGUCAUAGAUCCUUGAACAUGUGGUGCUUGCCCCUAUCUUUGCUAGCCAAAAAUUCCGCACUAAGUAGAGAUACUACUUGUGCAUCCAAAAACCCUUAAACCCAAACCUUCUUUUCAAGUUUCCACCAUACCUACCUAGGUAUUGAGCCAUAUCCCUCAAGUAAGUUGUCAUCGGUGCAAGAAGGCAAUAAAAAUUGCUUCUAAAAGUGUGAGAUCAUUUAGUGUAAGAAAAAAAUGAGCGUUGUACAAACUUGGAUGACAAAGAAUAAAAACGACAGACUGCAUAAUAAAGGUUGUCAUAUUAAGGGGAAAUACAACGUGACAUUCUUUUGCACUAAGGGAUUGAGCAUACAAACAAAUAAGCGCAUGGCAACCUAUUCUUCCCUCUACGAAGGGCCUAUCCUUUACUUUCAUAUAUUUACUUUUAUGCAAAGAGUAAAAGUUUUUCCUUCUAUUCCUUUUUAUUUAUCUCCUUUGGCAAGCAUCAUGUGGUGGGGAAAGAUCUAGGCACAUAUGUCCAGUUGAAUAUAGAUAGCAUGAGUUAUUAUUGUUGACAUCACCCUUGAGGUGAGUAUGUUGGGAGGCGAAACUUUAAGCCCCUAUCUUUCUAUGUGUCCGGUUGAAACGUUUUGCUCAUGGGUACGAGGUGAGUAUUAGCAAUCAUAGAAGACUAUAUGAUGGUUGAGUAUGUGGACUGGCCUAAAGGCUCCGACACGUGACCCUUCGUGAAAAAAUAAUGAAUUAUAGUUGCAAAGUUUACUGAGAACAUAGUUUGUUGGUUUCUAAUAGAGUUUUUGCUUUAUACUUCGAUUGUGUGAUGAACUAUUACUUAUUCAUGAGAAGUAUAUGAUAAAAGUUCUAUGAUAAAAGUCCUAUGUUUAAUUUUGUUGCUGUUAUAAUAAUCAACAUGAUGCUUCUAUGUCCAUAUUUUGUUUUUAUCGACGCCUCUCUCUCAAAGCAUGUGGACAUGUUUUUCGAUUUUGGUUUUCGCUUGAGGACAAGCGAGGUCUAAGCUUGGGGGAGUUGAUACGUCCAUUUUGCAUCAUGUUUAUUACUAUUAUUUAUAAUGUUUUUGUCCAUAAUAAUGCUUUUUGGAGUAUUUCUAAUGCUUUUUCUCUCAUAAUUUGCAAGGAAUACACCAAGAGGGAGAAUUCUGACAGCUAGAAAUCUGGACCUGAAAAAGCUACAUCAGGCCACCUAUUCUGCACAACUCCAAACAAGAUGAAACUUCAAGGAGAUUUUUUAUGGAAUAUUUAAGAAUUAUUGGAGCAAAUAACUACCAAAGGGGGCCACCAGGUGGGUACAACCCACCUGGGCGCGCCAGGGAGCCCAAGCGCACCCUGGUGGGUUGUGCUCACCAAGGCCCACCUCCGGUGCCCAUCUUCUGGUAUAUAAGUCAUUUUGACCUAGAAAAAUGAGGAGAGGACUUUCAGGACGGAGCACCGCUGUCUCGAGGCGGAACUUGGGCAGGAGCACUUUUGCCCUCCGGUGGAGCAAUUCUGCCGGGGGAACUUCCCUCCGGGGGGGGGGGGGAAUCAUCUUCAUUAUCAUCACCAACAACUCUCCCAUCUUGGGGAGGGAAAUCUCCAUCAACAUCUUCAACAGCACCAUCUCAUAUCAAACCCUAGUUCAUCUCUUGUGUUCAAUCGUGUUACCACAACUAUAGAUUGGUGUUUGUGGGUGACUAGUAGUGUUGAUUACAUCUUGCAGUUGAUUACUAUAUGGUUUAUUUGGUGGAAGAUUAUAUGUUCAGAUCCACUAUGCUAUUUAAUACCCCUCUGAUCUUGAGCAUGAUUAUCAUUUGUGAGUAGUUACUUUUGUUCUUGAGGUCACGAGAGAAAUCAUGUUGUAAGUAAUCAUGUGAAUUUGAUAUGUGUUCGAUAUUUUGAUAGUAUGUAUGUUGUUAUUCCCUUAGUGGUGUCAUGUGAACGUCGACUACAUGACACUUCACCAUACGUGGGCUAAGGGAAUGCAUUGUGGAGUAGCAAUUAGAUGAUGGGUUGCGAGAGUGACAGAAGCUUAAUCCCUAGUUUAUGCGCUAUUUCGUAAGGGACUGAUUGAUCCAAAAGUUUAAUGCUAUGGUUAGAAUUUAUUCUUAAUACUUUUCUUGUAGUUGCGGAUGCUUGCGAGAGGGUUAAUCAUAAGUAGGAGGUUUGUUCAAGUAAGAACAACACCUAAGCACAGGUCCACCAACAUAUCAACUUAUCAAAGUAGCGAACACAAAUCGAACCAACAAGAUGAAAGUGACUAGAUGAAAUUCCUGUGUACCAUUGAUACGUCCAUUUUGCAUCAUGCUUUUAUAUCCAUAUUUAUUGCAUUAUGGGCUGUUAUUACACAUUAUAUCUCAAUACUUAUGGCUAUUCUCUCUUAUUUUACAAGGUUUACCAUGAAGAGGGGGAAUGCCGGCAACUGGAGUUCUGGCUGGAAAAGUAGCAAACGUUGGAAACCUAUUCUGCACAACUCCAAAAGUCCUGAAACUCCACGAAAUCAAUUUUUGGAUUUAAUAAGAAUUUAUGAACGAAAGAAAUAGGCCAAGGGGCCCGCACCCUAUCCAGGAAACAGGGGGCGCCCCCCCUGUAGGGGGCGACCCCCUAUCUCCUAGGACCCCUCGUGGGCUUCCGACAUCCAUCUUAUGCUAUAUGAAGGGUUUUAUCCUGGAAAAAAUCGUGGGCAAGCUUACAGGACGAAUCUCCGCCGGCACGAGGUGGAAUCUUGGCGGAAUCAAUCUAGGGCUCUAGCAGAGCUGUUCUGCCGGGGACACUUCCCUCCGAGAGGGGGAAAUCAUCACCAACAUCAUCACCAAGGAUCCUCUCAUCGAGAGGGGGUCAAUCUUCAUCAACAUCUUCACCAGCACCAUCUCCUCUCAAAACCCUAGUUCAUCUCUUGUAUCCAAUCUUGUAUAAGAACCACAAAUUGGUACCUGUGGGUUGCUAGUAGUGUUGAUUACUCCUUAUAGUUGAUGCUAUUUGGUUUACUUGGUGGAAGAUCAUAUGUUCAGAUCCUUUAUGCAUAUUAUUACUCCUCUGAUUAUGAACAUGAAUAUGCUUUGUGAGUAGUUACGUUUGUUCCUGAGGACAUGGGUAAAGUCUUGCUAUUAGUAGUGAUGUGAAUUUGGUAUUCGUUCGAUAUUUUGAUGAGAUGUAUGUUGUCUUUUCCUCUAGUGGUGUUAUGUGAACGUCGACUACAUGAUACUUCACCAUUAUUUGGGCCUAGAGGAAGGCAUAGGGAAGUAAUAAGUAGAUGAUGGGUUGCUAGAGUGACAGAAGCUUAAACCCUAGUUUAUGCGUUGCUUCGUUAGGGGUUGAUAUGGACCUAUAUGUUUAAUGUUGUGGUUAGGUUUACCUUAAUACUCCUUUUUGUAGUUGUGGAUGCUUGCAAUAGGGGUUAAUCAUAAGUGGGAUGCUUGUCCAUGUUACGGUAGUACCCAAGUGUCGGUCCACCCACAUAUCAAAUUAUCAAAGUACCGAACGCGAAUCUUAUGAACGUGAUGAAAACUAGCUUGACGAUAAUUCCCAAUGUGUCCUCGGGAGCUCCUUCUUCAUUAUUAGAAUUUGUCCAGGCUUAUCCUUUGCUACAUAAAGAAUUGGUCCAGCUUGCUGCACUUUAUUUACUUUAUUUACUUUUUGCUCAUUACUAUUUAUCUUAUCACAAAACUAUCUAUCACCUACUAUUUCAGUGCUUGCAGAGAAAACCUUACUGAAAACCGCUUAUCAUUUCCUUCUGCUCCUCGUUGGGUUCGACACUCUUACUUAUUGAAAGGACUACGAUAGAUCCCCUAUACUUGUGGGUCAUCAAGACUCUUUUCUGGCGCCGUUGCCAGGGAGUGUAGCACUUUUGGUGAGUGGAACUUGGUAAGGAAACAUUUAUAUAGUGUGCUGAAAUUUUCUGUUAGUUGUCACUAUGGAAACUAAUCCUUUGAGGGGCUUGUUUGGGGUAUGUUCACCCCAACCAUAAGAGCAAAGAGAUGCUCCUCAACCUACUGAACUUUAUGAAAAUAUUCACUUUGAGAUUCCUUCGGGUAUGAUAGAAAAACUGCUAGCUAAUCGUUUUGCAGGAGACGGAACGUUGCAUCCCGAUUUACACCUUAUCUUUGUGGAUGAAGUUUGUGGAUUAUUUAAGCUUGCAGGUAUUCCCGAUGAUGUUGUCAAAAGGAAGGUCUUCCCUUUAUCUUUCAAGUGAUAUGCAAUGACAUGGUAUAGGCUAUGUGAUGACACGAGAUCUUGGAAUUAUAAGCGAUUGAAGUUGGAAUUUCACCAGAAGUUCUAUCCUAUGCAUCUUGUUCAUCGUGAUCGUAAUUACAUAUAUAAUUUCUGGCCUCGUGAAGGAGAAAGCAUCACUCAAUCUUGGGGGAGGCUUAAGUCAAUGUUGUAUUCAUGCCCCAAUCAUGAGCUCUCUCGGGAAAUGAUUAUUCAGAAUUUUUAUGCCUGGCUUUCUCUUGAUAAUCGCAACCUGCUCAAUACUUCCUGUGCUGGUUCUUAUAUGCUGAAGACUAUUGAUUUCAAAUGGGAAUUAUUGGAAAGAAUUAAACACAACUCUGAAGAUUGGGGUUCCGACGAUGGUAAGGAGUCAGUUAUGACACCUAAGUUUGAUUGUGUUAAAUCUUUUAUGGAUACCGAUGCUUUCCAUGGAUUUAGCUCUAAGUAUGGACUUGACUCUGAGAUAGUAGCUACUUUUUGUGAAACUUUUGCUACUCACGUUGAUCUCCCUAAAAAGAAGUGGUUUAAAUAUAAUCCUCCUGUUGAAGUGAAAGUAGUUGCACCUAUUACAAUCGAAGAGAAGACUAUUACAUAUAGUGAUCCUAAUAUUCCUACUGCUUAUGUUGAAAAACCUCCUUUUCCUGUUAGGAUAAAAGAUCAUGUUAAAGCUUCGACUGUUGUUCGUAAGAGUAAUACUAGGACUUAUACACCUCCUGAGCAAAUUAAUGUUGAACCUGGUAUUGCUAUUAUUAAAGAUCUCUUGGAUGAGGACUUAGAUGGGCAUGUUAUUUCUUUCUUGGGUGAAACUGCUAAUAUUGCUAGACCCGAUACUAAAACACGUAGACCUGUUGUAGGCACGCCUGUUAUUUCUGUUAAAAUAGGAGAUCAUUGUUAUCACGGCUUAUGUGAUAUGGGUGCUAGUGCUAGUGCGAUACCUUAUGAUCUUUAUGAAGAAAUUAUGCAUGAUAUUGCACCUGUUGAAUUAGAAGACAUUGAUGUUACUAUUAAGCUUGCUAAUAGGGACACCAUUAAACCUAUUGGGAUUGUUAGAGAUGUUGAAGUCUUGUGUGGGAAGAUUAAAUACCCUGCUGAUUUUCUUGUUCUUAGUUCCCCACAAGAUGAUUUUUGUCCCAUUAUUUUUGGUAGACCCUUCUUGAAUACUGCUAGUGCUAGAUUGAUUGUAAAAAGAAGGUUGUCACUGUUGGCAUAGAUGGUAUGUCUCAUGAGUUUAAUUUUGCCAAGUUUAGUAGACAACCUCAGGAAAGGGAACCACCUAGUAAGGAUGAAAUUAUUGGUAUUGCUUCUAUUGUUGUUCCUCUGACUGACCCAUUAGAACAAUAUUUGCUAGACCAUGAAAACAAUAUGUUUAUGAAGGAAAGGGAAGAAAUAAAUGAAGUGUUCCUUAAACAAGAACCUAUGCUGAAACAUAACCUUCCCGUUGAAAUUCUUGGGGAUCCUCCUCCACCCAAGGGUGAUCCCGUGUUUGAACUCAAACCUUUACCUGAUAAUCUUAAGUAUGCUUAUCUUGAUGAAAAAGAAAUAUAUCCUGUUAUUAUUAGUGCUAACCUUUCAGAGAAAGAAAUAGAAAGAUUAUUGAAAACUCUGAAGAAGCACCGAGCUGCUAUUGGAUAUACUCUGGAUGAUCUUAAGGGCAUUAGUCCCACAUUAUGUCAACACAAAAUUUCAGUGGAGAAAGAUGCCAAACCAGUUAGAGAUCCUCAAAGACGAUUGAUACGUCUCCAACGUAUCUAUAAUUUUUGAUUGCUCCAUGCUACUUUAUUUACUGUUUUGGACUAUAUUGGGCUUUAUUUUCCACUUUUAUAUUAUUUUUGGGACUAACCUAUUAACCGGAGGCCCAGCCCAGAAUUGCUGUUUUUUUUGCCUAUUUCAGUAUUUCAAAGAAACAGAAUAUCAAACGGAGUCCAAACGGAAUGAAACCUUCGGGAACGUGAUUUUCUCACCGAACGUGAUCCAGGAGACUUGGACCCUGCUCCAAGGAACAACCGAGGAGGUCACGAGGGUGGGGGGCGCCCCCCUGGGCACGCCCCCUGCCUCUUGGGCCCCCUGUUGCUCCACCGACGUACUCCUUCCUCCUAUAUAUACCUAUGUACCCCCGUCAGAUCAAAUACGGAGCCAAAAACCUAAUUCCACCGCCGCAACUUUCUGUAUCCGCGAGAUCCCAUCUUGGGGCCUGUUCCGGAGCUCCGCCGGAGGGGGCAUCUACCACGGAAGGCUUCUACAUCAACACCAUAGCCUCUCCGAUGAAGUGUGAGUAGUUUACUUCAGACCUUCGGGUCCAUAGCUAGUAGCUAGAUGGCAUCUUCUCUCUUUUUUGGAUCUCAAUACAAUGUGCUCCCCCUCUCUUGUGGAGAUCUAUUCGAUGUAAUCUUCUUUUUGCAGUGUGUUUGUUGAAACCGAUGAAUUGUGGGUUUAUGAUCCAGCUUAUCUAUGACUAAUAUUUGAAUCUUCUCUGAAUUCUUUUAUGUAUGAUUGAGUUAUCUUUGCAAGUCUCUUCGAAUUAUCCGUUUGGUUUGGCCAACUAGAUUGGUAGUUCUUGCAAUGGGAGAAGUGUUUAGCUUUGGGUUCAAUCUUGCGGUGUCCUUUCCCAGUGACAGCAGGGGCAGCAAGGCACGUAUUGUAUUGUUGCCAUCGAGGAUAACAAGAUGUUUUUUUAUCAUAUUGCAUGAAUUUAUCCCUCUACAUCAUGUCAUCUUUCUUAAGGCGUUACUCUGUUUUUAACUUAAUACUCUAGAUGCAUGCUGGAUAGCGGUCGAUGAGUGGAGUAAUAGUAGUAGAUGCAGAAUCGUUUCGAUCUACUUGUCUCGGACGUGAUGCCUAUACACAUGAUCAUACCUAGAUAACAUCAUAAUCAUUCACUUUUCUAUCAAUUGCUCAACAGUAAUUUGUUCACCCACCGUAGAAUAUUUAUGAUCUUGAGAUAAGCAACUAGUGAAACCUAUGGCCCCCGGGUCUAUUCUCAUCAUAUCAAUCUCAAUUACUUUAUUACUUGCUUUGUUUUUACUUUUCCUUUUACUUUUUACUUUGCAUCUCUAUAUCAAAAAUACCAAAAAUAUUAUUUAUCAUCUCUAUCAGAUCUCACCCUCGUAAGUGACCAUGAAGGGAUUGACAACCCCUAAUCGCGUUGGUUGCGAGUAGCUAUCAUUUUGUGUAGGUACGAGGGACUCGUGCGUGAUCUCCUACUGGAUUGAUACCUUGGUUCUAAAAAACUGAGGGAAAUACUUACGCUACUUUACUGCAUCAUCCUCUCCUCUUCGGGGAAAUCCAACGCAGUGCUCAAGAGGUAGCAAGAAGAAUUUCUGGCGCCGUUGCCGGGGAGUUUGCGCAAAAGUCAACUAUACCAAGUACCCAUCACAAUCCCUAUCUGUCGCAUUACAUUAUUUGCCUCUCGUUUUCCUCUCCCCCACUUCGCCUUUGCCGUUUUAUUCGCCCUCUCUUUCCCAAUCUCCUCCUCUCUUCCCCUUUCACCUUUUUCUCAUUUGCCUUCCCGUUGCCAUGGCCGAAUCAAAAAGAACUAAGGGAUUUCUCCCAAGUUCUAGUGCCUUGGAUAACCCCUCUAUCCUUUGUAAGCUCAUAAACAAUGAUGCUACGGAAUGACCUGCCGGGAUCACCAAUGAGAAUUUAUAUAAUUUUGAUGAUGAUGAUUCCGGAAUCUUUCUCUAUUUACUUGAUGAAUCUUUAAAAGAUGCUUGGGAUAGGUUAUUAAGGAUUUGGGCUAGUUAUGUGCCACAAUAUCAAAUUGAGGUUUACUUAAAAAGUUUCUAUGUUGGCUUGCCCGCCUCUUUCAAACAAGUUCUAGAUUCUAUUUUUGAAGAAGGUUUUCUUGAAGGGGAUGCUAUAUAUACCUAUGAAAAAAUGAAAACCAUAUUUGGGCACCCCUUAAAUUAUAAAGUUGAAUCAACUACUCUCUUGUGCUUUUAUCAAAAUGAAAUUAUCAAAGAGAUGAAGUCUAGCUUAGAUGCAAAUUUCCGUAACGUGAUUAAUCUCACCUCAUCCAUUAAUGGCAAUUUUAUUAAUCUGAAUAGAAGGAUGAAUGACUUAGAAAGGAGAUCCUCUCUUGCUACUUACGCAUCAAGUGCCAAAGAUGGCAAAACCUAGAUCUAUCCUUGCUUUUAUGCCUAGCUAGGGGCGUUAAACGACAACGCUUGUUGGGAGGCAACCCAAUUUUAUUUUUUGUUCUUUGUUUUUGUUCCUGUUUAGUGUUAAAUUUUGUUUCUACUUCCUGUUUAGAUGUGUUUUUAUGUUUUAAUUAGUGUUUGUGCCAAGUAGAACCUAUAGGAUAAGCUAUGAUGAUAGUUGAUUUGAUUCUGCUGAAAAACAGAAACUUUGCGCUCACGAGAAAAAAUUCAAUAAACCACAGAAACGUGAUUUUGCAUUGAUUAUUUUUGCUGCUGAUCAAUAUACAAAUUUUACAGUACGUCCUAUUUUGGUAGAAUUUUUAGAGUUCCAUAAGUUUGCGUUAGUUACAGAUUGCUACAGACUGUUCUGUUUUUGACAGAUUCUGUUUUUCGUGUGUUGUUUGCUUAUUUCAAUGCAUCUAUGGCUAAUAAAUUAGUUUAUAAACCAUAAGGAAGUUGGAAUACAGUAGGUUUAACACCAAUAUAAAUAAAUAAUGAGUUCAUUACAGUACCUUAAAGUAGUCUUUUGUUUUCUUUCACUAAUGGAGCUCACGAGAUUUCUAUUGAGUUUUGUGUUGUGAAGUUCUCAAGUUUUGGGUGAAUUAUUUUGAUGGAUUAUGAAACAAAGAGUGGCAAGAGCCUAAGCUUGGGGAUGCCCAUGGCACCCCCAAGAUAAUCCAAGGACAUCAAAAAGUCAAAGCUUGGGGAUGCCCCAGAAGGCAUCCCCUCUUUCGUCUACUUCCAUCGGUAAUUUACUUGGAGCUAUAUUUUUAUUCACCGCAUGUUAUGUGUUUUGCUUGGAGCGUCUUGUAUUAUUUGCGUCUUUGCUUGUUAGGUUACCAGAAUCAUACUUGCUGUACACACCUUUUGAGAGAGCCACACAUGAUUUGGAAUUUGCUAGAAUACUCUAUGUUCUUCACUUAUAUCUUUUGAGCUUGAUAGUUUUGCUCAUAGUGCUUCACUUAUAUCUUUUGAGCGUAAUAAUUUUUGCUCUAGUACUUCACUUAGAUCUUUUAGAGCACGGUGGUGGAUUUGUUUGAAAGAAACUAUUGAUCUCUCAUGUUUCACUUAGAUUAUUUUGAGAGUUGUUAAUAGCAUGGUAAUUUGCUUAAAGAUAAUAUACUUGGUAUUCAAGAUAUGUGAAACUUUCUUUUGAGUGCGUUGAAUACUAAGAUAAGUUUGAUGCUUGAUAAUUGUUUUGAGAUAUGGAGGUAAUAAUAUCAAAGCAAUGCUAGUUGGGGUGAUUAUGAAUUUAAAGGAUGAUUGUGUUGAAGUUUGUGAUUCCCGUAGCAUGCACGUACGGUGAACCGCUUUGUGAUGAAGUCAGAGCACAAUUUUAUUUAUUGAUUGUCUUCCUUAUGAGUGGCAGUCGGGGACGAGCGAUGGUCUUUUCCUACCAAUCUAUACCCCUAGGAGUAUGCAUUUAUUGCUUUUGUUUUUGAUGACUUCUAAAUUUUUGCAACAAGUGCAUGAGUUCUUUUGAUUAAUGUUGAGUCCAUGGAUUAUACGCACUCUCACCCUUCCACCAUUGCUAGCCUCUCUAAUACCGCGCACUUUUCGCCGGUAUCAUACACCCACCAUAUACCUUCCUCAAAACAGCCACCAUACCUACCUAUCAUGGCAUUUCCAUAGCCAUUCCGAGAUAUAUUGCCAUGCAACUUUCCACCGUUCCGUUCAUAUGACACACAUUACUUUUGUCAUAUUGCUUUUUGUAUGAACAUGUAGUUGACAUUGUAUUUGUGGCAAGGCCACCUUCAUAAUUUUCAUACUUGUCGCUCUUAAUUCAUUGCAUAUCCCGGUACACCGUCGGAGGCAUUCAUAUAGAGUCAUAUUUUGUUCUAAGUAUCGAGUUGUAAUUGUUGAGUUGUAAGAAAAAAAUAAAAGUGUGAUGAUCAUCAUUAUUAGAGCAUUGUCCCAGUGAGGAAAGGAUGAUGGAGACUAUGAUUCCCCCAUAAGUCGGGAUGAGACUCCGGACUUUAUGAAAAAUAAAAGAGGCCAAAGAAGCCCAAAUAAAAAAAAGGCCAAAGAAGCCCACCAAAAUAAAAUAAAAAUAAAAAAAUGAGAGAAAAAGAGAGAAGGGACAAUGCUACUAUCCUUUUACCACACUAGUGCUUCAAAGUAGCACCAUGAUCUUCAUGAUAGAGAGUCUCAUAUGUUGUCACUUUCAUAUACUAGUGGGAAUUUUUCAUUAUAGAACUUGGCUUGUAUAUUCCAAUGAUGGGCUUCCUCAAAAGUGCCCUAGGUCUUUGUGAGCAAGCAAGUUGGAUGCACACCCACUUAGUUUCUUUUGUUGAGCUUUCAUAUACUUAUAGCUCUAGUGCAUCCGUUGCAUGGCAAUACCUACUCACUCACAUCAAUAUCUAUUGAUGGGCAUCACCAUAGCCCAUUGAUACGCCUAGUUGAUGUGAGACUAUCUUCCCCUCUUUUGUCUUCUCCACAACCACCAUUCUAUUCCACCUAUAGUGCUAUGUCCAUGGCUCACGCUCAUGUAUUGCGUGAAAGUUGAAAAAGUUUGAGAUUACUAAAGUAUGAAACAAUUGCUUGGCUCGUCAUCGGGGUUCUGCAUGAUUAAAUACUUUGUGUGAUGAAGAUAGAGCAUAGCCAGACUAUAUGAUUUUGUAGGGAUAACUUUCUUUAACCAUGCUAUUUUGAGAAGACAUGAUUGCUUUGAUUAGCACGCUUGAAGUAUUAUUACUUUUAUGUCAAUAUGAACUUUUGUCUUGAAUCUUUCGGAUCUGAAUAUUCAUACCACAAUUAAGAAGAUUUACAUUGAAAUUAUGCCAAAGUAUCACUCUGCAUCAAAAAUUCUUUUUUAUCAUUUACCUACUCGAGGACGAGCAGGAAUUAAGAUUGGGGAUGCUUGAUACGUCUCCAACGAAUCUAUAAUUUUUGAUUGCUCCAUGAUACUUUAUUUACUGUUUUGGACUAUAUUGGGCUUUAUUUUCCACUUUUAUACUAUUUUUGGGACUAACCUAUUAACCGGAGGCCCAGCCCAGAAUUGCUGUUUUUUGCCUAUUUCAGUAUUUCGAAGAAACAGAAUAUCAAACGGAGUCCAAACGGAAUGAAACCUUCGGGAACGUGAUUUUCUCACCGAACAUGAUCUAGGAGACUUGGACCCUGCUCCAAGGAACAACCGAGGAGGUCACGAGGGUGGGGGGCGCGCCCCCCUGGGCGCGCCCCCCUGGGCUCGCCCCCUGCCUCGUGGGCCCCCAGUUGCUCCACCGAUGUACUGCUUCCACCUAUAUAUACCUACGUACCCCCGCUAGUUCAAAUACGGAGCCAAAAACAUAAUUACACCGCCGCAAAUUUCUGUAUCCGCGAGAUCCCAUCUUGGGGCCUAUUCCGGAGCUCCGCCGGAGGGGGCAUCUACCACGGAGGGCUUCUACAUCAACACCAUAGCCUCUCUGAUGAAGUGUGAGUAGUUUACUUCAGACCUUCGGGUCCAUAGCUAGUAGCUAGAUGGCUUCUUCUCUCUUUUUUGGAUCUCAAUACAAUGUUCUCCCCCUCUCUUGUGGAGAUCUAUUCGAUGUAAUCUUAUUUUUGCGGUGUGUUUGUUGAGACCGAUGAAUUGUGGGUUUAUGAUCCAGCUUAUCUAUGAAUAAUAUUUGAAUCUUCUCUGAAUUCUUUUAUGUAUGAUUGAGUUAUCUUUGCAAGUCUCUUCGAAUUAUCCAUUUGGUUUGGCCAACUAGAUUGGUAGUUCUUGCAAUGGGAGAAGUGUUUAGCUUUGGGUUCAAUCUUGUGGUGUCCUUUCCCAGUGACAGCAGGGGCAGCAAGGCACGUAUUGUAUUGUUUCCAUCAAGGAUAACAAGAUGUUUUUUUUUAUCAUAUUGCAUGAAUUUAUCCCUCUACAUCAUGUCAUCUUGCUUAAGGCAUUACUCUGUUUUUAACUUAAUACUUUAGAUGCAUGCUGGAUAGCGGUCGAUGAGUGGAGUAAUAGUAGUAGAUGCAUAAUCGUUUCGAUCUACUUGUCUCGGACGUGAUGCCCAUACACAUGAUCAUACCUACAUAACAUCAUAAUUAUUCGCUUUUCUAUCAAUUGCUCAACAGUAAUUUUUUCACCCACCGUAGAAUAUUUAUGCUCUUGAGAGAAGCCACUAGUGAAACCUAUGGCCCGGGUCUAUUCUCAUCAUAUCAAUCUCCAUUACUUUAUUACUUGCUUUUUUUUACUUUUCCUUUUACUUUUUACUUUGCAUCUGUAUAUCAAAAAUACCAAAAAUAUUAUUUAUCAUCUCUAUCAGAUCUCACCCUCGUAAGUAACCGUGAAGGGAUUGACAACCCCUAAUUGUGUUGAUCGCGAGUAGCUAUCGUUUUGUGUAGGUACGAGGGACUCGUGAUUAAUCUCCUACUGGAUUGAUACCUUGGUUCUCAAAAACUGAGGGAAAUACUUACGCUAGUUUACUGCAUCAUCCUCUCCUCUUCGGGGAAAUCCAACGCAGUGCUCAAGAGGUAGCAACGAUUAAAUCCCAAAAUGAAGGAAGUGGUAAGAAAGGAGAUACUAAAGCUCCUUGAGGCAAGUAUUAUUUAUUCCGUUGCUGAUAGCGAAUGGGUAAGCCCUGUCCAUUGUGUCCCUAAAAAGGGAGGUAUUAUCGUUGUUCCUAAUGAUAAAGAUGAAUUGAUCCCGCAAAGAAUUAUUACAGGCUAUAGGAUGGUAAUUGAUUUUCGUAAGUUAAAUAAAGCUACUAAGAAAGAUCAUUACCCUUUACCUUUCAUUGAUCAAAUGCUAGAAAGGCUAUCCAGACACACACAUUUUUGCUUUCUAGAUGGUUAUUCUGGCUUCUCUCAAAUACCUGUGUCCGUGCAGGAUCAAUCUAAAACUACUUUUACUUGCCCUUUUGGUACUUUUGCUUAUAGACGUAUGCCUUUUGGUUUAUGUAAUGCACCUGCUACCUUUCAAAGAUGCAUGAUGGCUAUAUUUUCUGAUUUUUGUGAAAAUAUUUGUGAGGUAUUCAUGGAUGACUUCUCCAUCUAUGGAUCCUCUUUUGAUGAUUGUUUGAGCAACCUUGAUCGAGUUUUGCAGAGAUACAAAGACACUAGUCUCGUCCUGAAUUGGGAAAAGUGUCACUUUAUGGUUAAUGAAGGCAUUGUCUUGGGGCACAAGAUCUCCGAGAGAGGUAUUGAAGUUGAUAAAUCCAAAGUUGAUGCUAUUGAAAAUAUGCCAUGUCCUAAGGACAUAAAAGGUAUAAGAAGUCUACUUGGUCAUGCCGGUUUUUAUAGGAGGUUCAUUAAGGACUUUUCCAAAAUCUCUAGGCCUCUGACUAAUUUAUUGCAAAAAGAUAUUCCUUUUGUCGUUGAUGAUGAUUGUGUAGAAGCAUUUGAAACACUUAAGAAAGCUUUGAUCAUUGCACCUAUUGGAAUUUACCUUUUGAAAUUAUGUGUGAUGCUAGUGAUUAUGCUGUAGGUGCUUUUUUAGGGCAAAGAGUCGAUAAGAAAUUGAAUGUUAUCCAGUAUGCUAGUAAGACUCUUGAUACUGUCCAGAGAAAUUAUGCUACUACUGAAAAAGAGUUCUUAGCAGUGGUGUUUGCAUGUGAUAAGUUUAGACCUUAUAUUAUUGAUUCCAAAGUUACUAUUCACACUGAUCAUGCUGCUAUUAAAUAUCUUAUCGAAAAGAAAGAUGCUAAGCCUAGACUCAUUAGAUGGGUUCUCUUGCUCCAAGAAUUUGACUUGCAUAUUAUUGAUAGAAAGGGAGCUGAAAACCCCGUUGCAGACAACUUGUCUAGGUUGGAGAGUGUUCUUGAUGACCCACUGCCUACUAAUGAUAGUUUUCCUGAUGAACAAUUAGCGGUUGUCAAUGCUUCUCGUGCUGCUCCUUGGUAUGCUGAUUAUGCUAAUUACAUUGUUGCUAAAUAUAUACCGCCUAGUUUCACAUACCAGCAAAAGAAAAAGUUCUUUUAUGAUUUAAGACAUUACUUCUGGGAUGAUCCACACCUUUAUAAAGAAGGAGUUGAUGGUAUUAUUAGACGUUGUGUGCCUGAGGAUGAACAGGAAUAAAUCCUAUGCAAGUGUCACUCUGAAUCCUACGGAGGACACCAUGCUGGAGAUAGAACUGCACACAAGGUACUACAAUCUGGUUUUUAUUGGCCUACUCUCUUCAAAGAUGCUCGUAAGUUUGUCUUAUCUUGUGAUGAGUGUCAAAGAAUAGGUAACAUUAGUAGACGUCAAGAAAUGCCUAUGAAUUAUUCUCUUGUUAUUGAACCAUUUGAUGUUUGGGGCUUUGAUUAUAUGGGACCUUUUCCUGCCUCCAAUGGUUAUACACAUAUUUUAGUUGCUGUUGAUUACGUUACUAAGUGGGUAGAAGCUAUUCCAACUAGUAGUGCUGAUCAUAACACUUCUAUUAAAAUGCUUAAAGAAGUUAUUUUUCCGAGGUUUGGAGUCCCUAGAUAUCUUAUGACUGAUGGUGGUUCACACUUUAUUCAUGGUGCUUUCCGUAAGAUGCUUGCUAAGUAUGAUGUCAAUCAUAGAAUUGCAUCUCCUUAUCACCCGCAGUCUAGUGGUCAAGUAGAGUUGAGCAAUAGAGAGCUCAAAUUAAUUUUGCAAAAGAUUAUGAAUAGAUCUAGAAAGAAUUGGUCCAAAAAACUUGAUGAUGCAUUAUGGGCCUAUAGAACUGCAUACAAAAAUCCUAUGGCUAUGUCUCCAUAUAAGAUGGUUUAUGGAAAAGCAUGUCAUUUACCUCUUGAACUUGAACAUAAAGCAUAUUGGGCUAUCAAAGAGCUCAAUUAUGACUUCAAACUUGCCGGUGAGAAAAGGUUAUUUGAUAUUAGCUCACUUGAGGAAUGGAGAACCCAAGCCUAUGAGAAUGCCAAGCUUUUCGAAGAAAAAGUCAAACGCUGGCAUGAUAAGAGGAUACAAAAGCGUGAGUUUAACGUAGGAGACUAUGUGUUAUUAUUCAACUCUCGUUUAAGAUUUUUUGCAGGAAAACUUCUCUCAAAAUGGGAAGGUCCCUACGUUAUCGGCACCUGCAAGGAAAUAAUCACAUGGGUAUGGGCACUCCCCUUGGCAACUGCCAAGCUUGGGGGAGGUGCCCCGGUAUCGUAUCACCAUCACACUCCUAUCUUUACCGUUUUAUUUAGUUCGAUCCUUUUAGUAGUAUCUUGAUCUAUUAGUUCAAAGUUUUGAUAUCAAGUAGUUUUGAGUUUUGCAUUGUGAUAUCUUUAUGUAAUCAAGUCCAUGUGCUAUAUAUAAUAAAGAUUAGUGUUGAGUCAAGGGAUUUGCUAUGUUGCUAUGAUCUUGUGAAAGUAGAAAGAACAAAAGAGUUCAUAUUGAUCUUAUGGAUAGUGAUAACUUCACACAUAGAAAGUAUGAGGCAUAAAAAUUGUUGAGAGUUGAUGAACGUAGCCUUGGUCAUCGUUGCAAUUAAUACAAAGUGAUAAGGAAAGAGGGGUUCACAUAUAAAUAUAUUAUCUUGGACAUCUUUUAUAAUUGGGAGCACUCGUUAAGUAUGACAUGCUAAAAGAGUUGACGUUGGACAAGGAAGACAACGUAAUGGUUUAUGUUUUCCGACAUCUCAGUUAAAGUAUAUUGUCAUUGACCUUCCAAACAUGUUGAGCUUGCCUUUCCCCCUCAUGCUAGCAAAAUUCCUUGCACCAAGUAGAGAUACUGCUUGUGCUUCCAAAUAUCCUUAAACCCAGUUUUGCCGUGAGCGUCCACCAUACCUACCUAUGGAUUGAGUAAGAUCCUUCAAGUAAGUUGUCAUCGGUGCAAGCAAUAAAAAUUGCUCUCUAAAUAUGUAUGACUUAUUAGUGCAGAGAAAAUAAGCUUUGUACGAACUUGUUGUGGAAGUAAUAAAAGCGACAGACUGCAUAAUAAAGGUCCACAUACAAGGGGCAAUAUAAAGUGACGUUCUUUUGCACUAAGACUUUAUGCAUCAACCCUAAACGCGCAUGACAACCUCUGCUUCCCUCUGCGAAGGGCCUAUCUUUUACUUUAUGUUUUUACUUUACGCUUGAGUCAAGGUGAUGCUCACCUUUCCCUUUUUAUUUUUAUCCUUUGGCAAGCUCCUCGUGUUUGAAAGAUCAUGAUAUAUAUAUCCAAUUGGAUUAAAGUUGGCAUAGGCUAUUAUUGUUGACAUCACUUAAAGGUGAAUACGUUGGGAGGCAACACAAUAAGCCCCUAUCUUUCUCAGUGUCCGGCUGAAACUCUAUAACCACAAGUAUUGCGUGAGUGUUAACAAUUAUAGGAGACUACGAGAUAGUUGAGUAUGUGAGUUUGUUGAAAAGCCCUAUUAUUGACUCUUUCUGAUGUUACGAUAAAUUACAAUUGCUUCAAUGACUGAGAUUAUAGUUUGUUAGUUCCCAAUGAAGUUUUUGAACCAUACUUGACAUUGUGAAUUGCUUAUUACUUGAGCUUAGGAAAUCAUAUGACAAAAUCUAUAUAUGUUGCUCUUAUUAGAAUGAUCAUGAUGUCCUCAUGUCCGUAUUUUAUUUUUAUCGACACCUCUAUCUCCAAACAUGUGGACAUAUUUUUCGAUUUCGGCUUCCGCUUGAGGACAAGCGAGGUCUAAGCUUGGGGGAGUUGAUGUUGGGGAACGUAGUAAUUUCAAAAAAUUUCCUACGCACAUGCAAGAUCAUGGUGAUGGUAUAGCAACGAGAGGGGAGAGUAUUGUCCAUGUACCCUCGUAGACCGUUAGCGGAAGCGUUAUCACAACGCGGUUGAUGUAGUCGUACGUCUUCACGACUCGACCGAUCCAAGCACCGAACGUACGGCACCUCCGUGUUCAGCACAUGUUCAGCUCGAUGACGUUCCUCAGGCUCCAAUCCAGCAAAGCGUCGGGGAUGACUUCUAUCAGCACGACGGCGUGGUGACGAUGAUGAUGUUCUACCGGCGCAGGGCUUCGCCUAAACUCCGCGACGAUAUGACCGAGGUGGAAUAUGGUGGAGGGGGGCACCGCACACGGCUAAGGAACGAUCCGUAGAUCAACUUGUGUGUCUAUGGGGUGCCCCCCUCCCCCGUAUAUAAAGGGGGAGAGGAGGAGGGGGCCGGCCUAAGGGGAGGCGCGCCCUAGGAGGGGGAAACCUACUCCAAGUAGGUUUGCCCCCUCCCUUUNNNNNNNNNNNNNNNNNNNNNNNNNNNNNNNNNNNNNNNNNNNNNNNNNNNNNNNNNNNNNNNNNNNNNNNNNNNNNNNNNNNNNNNNNNNNNNNNNNNNNNNNNNNNNNNNNNNNNNNNNNNNNNNNNNNNNNNNNNNNNNNNNNNNNNNNNNNNNNNNNNNNNNNNNNNNNNNNNNNNNNNNNNNNNNNNNNNNNNNNNNNNNNNNNNNNNNNNNNNNNNNNNNNNNNNNNNNNNNNNNNNNNNNNNNNNNNNNNNNNNNNNNNNNNNNNNNNNNNNNCUAUGGGGUGCCCCCCUCCCCCGUAUAUAAAGGGGGAGAGGAGGAGGGGGCCGGCCUAAGGGGAGGCGCGCCCUAGGGGGGGGGAAACCUACUCCAAGUAGGUUUGCCCCCUCCCUUUCCUAUUCCAAGAAGGAGGGGGAAGGAAGGAGUGGGAGAGGGGGAAGGGAAGGGGGGCCCCCCCCCUUCCUUGUCCUAUUCGGACUCAAGGGGAGGGGGCGCCCCUCUUGCCCUGGUCGGCCCCUCUCUCUCUCCACUAGGGCCCAUCAAGGCCCAUUACUUCCCGGGGGGGUUCCGGUAACCCUCCGGUACUCCGUUUUUUCUCCGAAAACACCCGGAACACUUCCGGUGUCCGAAUAUAGUCAUCCAAUAUAUCAAUCUUUAUGUCUUGACCAUUUCGAGACUCCUCGUCAUGUCCGUGAUCACAUCCGGGACUCCGAACAACCUUCGGUACAUCAAAACAUAUAAACUCAUAAUAAAACUGUCAUCGUAACGUUAAGCGUGCGGACCCUACGGGUUCGAGAACUAUGUAGACAUGACCUAGAACUAUUCUCGGUCAAUAACCAAUAGUGGAACCUGGAUGUUCAUAUUGGUUCCCACAUAUUCUACGAAGAUCUUUAUCGGUCAAACCGCAUAACAACAUACAUUGUUCCCUUUGUCAUCGGUAUGUUACUUGCCCGAGAUUCGGUCGUCGGUAUCCAAUACCUAGUUCAAUCUCGUUACCGGCAAGUCUCUUUACUUGUUCCGUAAUACAUCAUCUCAUAACUAACUCAUUAGUUACAAUGCUUGCAAGGCUUAGGUGAUGAGUAUUACCGAGAGGGCCCAGAGAUACCUCUCCGACAAUCGGAGUGACAAAACCUAACCUCGAAUUAUGCCAACUCAACAUGUACCUUUGGAGACACCUGUAGAGCACCUUUAUAAUCACCAAGUUACGUUGUGACGUUUGGUAGCACACGAAGUGUUCCUCCGGUAAACGGGAGUUGCAUAAUCUCAUAGUCAUAGGAACAUGUAUAGGUUAUGAAGAAAGCAAUAGCAACAUACUAAACGAUCGGGUGCUAAGCUAACGGAUUGGGUCAUGUCAAUCAGAUCAUUCAACGAAUGAUCCUGUUAAUCAAAUAACAACUCUUUGUCUAUGGUUAGGAAACAUAACCAUCUUUGAUUAACAAGCUAGUCAAGUAGAGGCAUAGUAGUGACACUCUGUUUGUCUAUAUAUUCACACAUGUAUUAUGUUUCCGGUUAAUACAAUUCUAGCAUGAAUAAUAAACAUUUAUCAUGAUAUAAGGAAAUAAAUAAUAACUUUAUUAUUGCCUCUAGGGCAUAUUUCCUUCAGUUGAUACGUCCAUUAUGCAUCAUGCUUUUAUAUCAAUAUUUAUUGUAUUAUGGGCUGUUAUUACUCAUUAUAUAUCAAUACUUAUGGCUAUUCUCUCUUAUUUUACAAGGUUUACCAUGAAGAGGGGGAAUGCCGGCAGCUGGAAUUCUCGCUGGAAAAUGAGCAAACAUUGGAAACCUAUUUUGCACAACUCCAAAAGUCCUGAAACUCCAAGAAACCACCUUUUGGAUUUAAUAAGAAUUUAUGAGCGAAAGAAAUAGGCUAGGGGGCCCACACCCUGUCCAGGAGACAGGGGGCUGCGCCCCCCUUGUAGGGCGUGACCCCCUAUCUCCUGGGCCCCCUGGCGGGCUUCUGGCGUCCAUCUUCUGCUAUAUGAAGGGUUUUGUCCUGGAAAAAAUCGUGGGCAAGCUUACGGGACGAAACUCCGCCGCCACGAGGCGGAACCUUGGCGAAUCAGUCUAGGGCUCUGGCGGAGCUGUUCUGCCGGGGACACUUCCCUCCGGGAGGGGGAAAUCAUCACCAACGUCAUCACCAACGAUCCUCUCAUUGAGAGGGGGUCAAUCUCCAUCAACAUCUUCACCAGCACCAUCUACUCUCAAAACCCUAGUUCAUCUCUUUUAUCCAAUCUUGUAUCAAAACCACAAAUUGGUACCUGUGGGUUGCUAGUAGUGUUGAUUACUCCUUGUAGUUGAUGCUAUUUCGUUUACUUGGUGGAAGAUCAUAUGUUCAGAUCCUUUAUGCACAUUAUUACUCCUCUGAUUAUGAACAUGAAUAUGCUUUGUGAGUAGUUACGUUUGUUCCCGAGGACAUGGGUAAAGUCUUGCUAUUAGUAGUCAUGUGAAUUUGGUAUUCGUUCGAUAUUUUGAUGAGAUGUAUGUUGACUUUUCCUCUAGUGGUGUUAUGUGAACGUCGACUACAUGACACUUCACCAUUAUUUGGGCCUAGAGGAAGGCAUAUGGAAGUAAUAAGUAGAUGAUGGGUUGCUAGAGUGAUAGAAGCUUAAACCCUAGUUUAUGCAUUGCUUCGUUAGGGGUUGAUAUGGACCCAUAUGUUUAAUGCUGUGGUUAGGUUUACCUUAAUACUCCUUUUUGUAGUUGCGGAUGCUUGCAAUAGGGGUUAAUCAUAAGUGGGAUGCUUGUCCAUGUUAGGGCAGUACCCAAGUGUCGGUCCACCCACAUAUCAAAUUAUCAAAGUACCGAACGCGAAUCUUAUGAACGUGAUGAAAACUAGCUUGAUGAUAAUUCCCAAUGUGUCCUCGGGAGCUCCUUCUUUAUUAUUAGAAUUUGUCCAGGCUUAUCCUUUGCUACAUAAAGGAUUGGGCCACCUUGCUGCACUUUAUUUACAUUAUUUACUUUUUGCUUGUUACUAUUUAUCUUAUCACAAAACUAUCUAUCACCUACUAUUUCAGUGCUUGCAGAGAAAACCUUACUGAAAACCGCUUAUCAUUUCCUUCUGCUCCUCGUUGGGUUCGACACUCUUACUUAUCGAAAGGACUACGAUAGAUCCCCUAUACUUGUGGGUCAUCAACCCUCAAGAACACUUUGCUUAUCAUAAGACACCGUUUUGGCAUGUCCUUUGACUCAAAAGUAUUGGGCUACCUUGCUGCACUUUUGUUACUACUAUCAUUACUUGCUCGUUACAAAUUAUCUUGCUAUCAAACUACUCCGCUACUUAAAAUUUUAGCACUUGCAGACAUUACCUUACUGAAAACUAUUUUUCAUUUCCUUCUGCUCCUCGUUGGGUUCAACACUCUUACUUACCGAAAAGAGCUACAAUUGAUCCCCUAUACUUGUGGGUCAUCACUCAUUAAACUUUUAUUUUUAGAAAAGACAUGCAAAGAGCAUCUUAGAGGUAACCCAAGAAAUAAGAUCAUUUUUGACGAUUCUUAUCUUCUUCCACAUAUGUCAUGGCAAGAAAAACAAGAUCCUAAGUUAUAUUGUUUUUGUAGAGCAUCCCAGAGUUUGAAAUAUUGUUGUUUUUGAUAGCUACUAACCUAACUUACACACUCUUAUAAACUAUUUUAUUUUGAUAUAAUUAUCAUAAUACAUCAUAUUCAGGUGCAUGUAGGAUUAGUAUGUAAAAAUUCAGUAGAAAUAACAAAUUAAAGAUAACUGGAGUAAAACUCAACAUGCUGCGCUGGUUGCUAGGGGAAAAUAGUAGAUAGCAAAUGUAGUCCAAAAGCUAGUUGCUAGCUAGCUAGCCUGUAAGACAACAAAUGCAAACAAAAUAUGUUCUCCAAUCCAUGCAAGUAAUAUUGUUUCAGAAAUACUUAUACAACAUCCAAUUCCAAAGCUUCGAAUCCAAACAUCCAAACUUGCUGCACUGUUCUUGAUAGGAUCAAGCAUCAACAAUGCAAGUGUCCCAAACAUCACGGACCAUGUCCAACACUGAAAUAAAACAAAUUGCAUUGGUGUAAACUACAGCCAUUAGCUCUUUCACCAUGUUAGAUAGUCCCCUCAGUCCAAGAAAUAUAUAGUAUACCACAUCUAGAAGAAUUAAAAACCAUUGUUCAAGAACUCGCCCGAGUUACCAUUUAAAUGCCCAUUUAAUCGCUACUCAGUGCCUAAUUGAGGCGAAUAGCACAUACUCGGUUCAUGUGACGCCCGGAUAAUUAGGCUACAAUAAUCCCGCGUUACUGUUGAUAAACUCGAGAUAGUUCAAAAACGAUUCAAAUUAAAAUUUAAAAUAUAGGCAAACAAUAAAAUUUUCAAAUAUUAAAACUAAAAUGUUUGGGUUGUGUCAAAUAAAUCAUAAGUAAUUAUGGUGGAGAAACCAAACUUUGUUAUAAAGUUUAAAGGCUCUAAAUUAAUUAAAAAAUGGCUAAAAAUAAAUAUUUAAAUGCCUUCUAAAUUUAUAGAAGUGCAAAAUAUUUCAUUUAGGUACCGAACUUUUUGUGACCGUGUCUCAUUUUGCCACUCUAAAUAUGGAGCCAGUUUAAUAUUUUGUAAAACUAUUUUACUAACAAAAAUAAAAGAAAACAGUACAUGAAAAAUAUAUAAAAGGAAGAGGUAUAAACAAAAACAAAACNNNNNNNNNNNNNNNNNNNNNNNNNNNNNNNNNNNNNNNNNNNNNNNNNNNNNNNNNNNNNNNNNNNNNNNNNNNNNNNNNNNNNNNNNNNNNNNNNNNNNNNNNNNNNNNNNNNNNNNNNNNNNNNNNNNNNNNNNNNNNNNNNNNNNNNNNNNNNNNNNNNNNNNNNNNNNNNNNNNNNNNNNNNNNNNNNNNNNNNNNNNNNNNNNNNNNNNNNNNNNNNNNNNNNNNNNNNNNNNNNNNNNNNNNNNNNNNNNNNNNNNNNNNNNNNNNNNNNNNNNNNNNNNNNNNNNNNNNNNNNNNNNNNNNNNNNNNNNNNNNNNNNNNNNNNNNNNNNNNNNNNNNNNNNNNNNNNNNNNNNNNNNNNNNNNNNNNNNNNNNNNNNCCACGUCUCUCUCCCCCUCGUCUCGAUCUAGAUCGGGGCCGCGCCCGAUCCCGACGCAGGCGCCCAUCCCCGACCGCGCCCUCGCCGCCCGGUGCACGUGCCGCCGCCUAGACCUCGCCGGCCUCCCCGCCGGACCGCACGCCUUCCUCGUCCUCCUCCCCGACGCGCAUCACCAAGCCUCGCCGCCCCGUUCCCCUGCACCGCAAGUGAGGCCCAGCCUCUCCUCCGCUCUUCCCCUGCUCCGUGCCCGCCCCCGGCCUCCUCUCCCCUNNNNNNNNNNNNNNNNNNNNNNNNNNNNNNNNNNNNNNNNNNNNNNNNNNNNNNNNNNNNNNNNNNNNNNNNNNNNNNNNNNNNNNNNNNNNNNNNNNNNNNNNNNNNNNNNNCCCGACGCGCGCCUAGCUCUGUCCCGGCCCUAACCGCGACCACCCACGGCCGCCGCGUCCGCCACACUCAUGGCCGCUCGCCGCCCCACUCCGACCUUCCCCGUGUGCGCCCGCAGGCGCCACCCCCCUCUCGCGCCUGCCCUUGCUGGCGCCGCCCGCGGCAACCAACCGCCGGCGCCCAGCCAACCGCGGCCCCUGCUACCUUCGCCGCAGCCGGCGCCCUCCCCUGUCCGGCGCCCGGUUGGGUUCGGCCACGUCCUGGCGCCCCGCACCCGAUCCAUCGCCCGCGCCCGUUUGGCCCUAUGGGCAACUGCCCAGUGGGCCCCCCCUCACACCCCUGUUAAAAAAAAGAGAUAAAAAAAAGAAGAAUAAUUAAUUAAUUAAUUAAUUAACUUAAUUAAUGUUGCUUAAUUAACCAAUUAACUAUCUAAUUAGCCUAAGUAAACAUGUUAGUUAACUAGACAGUCAAUGACAGGGGGCCCCACCCCUGUUGACCAGUCAAAGUUUGACUGGUCAAAUGGGUUCCCCUGGUCCCACUUGUCAGCCUGUGUACAAUUUUUGUGUACACUGUGCUGGGUACAUCUAGCAAUUUAACAUUAAUUUCGAAUUAAAAUAGAUUAGAAAAUGAAUUAAAACUUUGAAAAUUAAUAUAAAAUAAUUCGUAACUCGGAUGGAAAAACUUUGUACAUGAAAGUUGCUCAGAACGACGAGACGAUUCUGGAUACGCAGUCCGUUCGUCCGCCACACACCCCUAACCUAUCGAACUCGCAACUUUCCCCCUCCGGCUCCUCUGCCCGAAAACGCGAAACACCGGGAAUACUUCCCGGAUGUUUCCCCCCUUAACCGGUACCACCUCAUACCACGUUAGGGCACACCUAGCACCGCUCAUUGUCACGUCACGCAUCGUCGUGUUUAUGUUUGCAUUGUAUUCAUUGUUUCUUCCCCCUCUUAUCUCCGGUAGACUACGAGACCGACGCUGCUGCUGCCCAGUUCGACUACGGAGUUGACGACCCCUCCUUCUUGCCAGAGCAACCAGGCAAGCCCCCCCUUUGAUCACCAGAUAUCGCCUACUCUUUUCUCUAUACUGCUUGCAUUAGAGUAGUGUAGCAUGUUACUGCUUUCCGUUAAUCCUAUUCUGAUGCAUAGCCUGUCAUUGCUGCUACAGUCAUUGAUACCUUACCCGCAAUCCUAAAUGCUUAGUAUAGGAUGCUAGUGUUCCAUCAGUGACCCUACACUCUUGUCCGUCUGCCAUGCUAUACUACUGGGCCGUGAUCACUUGGGAGGUGAUCACGGGUAUAUACUAUACAUACAUACAUACUAUACAGAUGGUGACUAAAGUCGGGUCAGCUCAUUGAGUACCCGCAAGUGAUUCUGACGAGGGGGCUGAAAGGACAGGUGGCUCCAUCCCGGUAGAGGUGGGCCUGGGUUCCCGACGGCCCUCGACUGUUACUUUGUGGCGGAGCGACAGGGCAGGUUGAGACCACCUAGGAGACAGGUGGGCCUGGCCCUGUUCGGCGUUCGCGGAUACUUAACACGCUUAACAAGAUCUUGGUAUUUGAUCUGAGUCGGCUACGAGCCUAUACGCACUAUCCAUCUACGUGGGAGUAGUUAUGGGUAUCCCGACGUCGUGGUAUCAGCCGAAGCACUUCAGACGUCAGCGACGGAGCGGCGCGCGCCGGAUUGGACUGGAACGCCUACUAGGCUAGGUCUGCUUCCGGCCGCCCUCGCAACGUGCAGGUGUGCUAUGGGCGAUGGGCCCAGACCCCUGUGCGCUUAGGUUUAGACCGGCGUGCUGGCCUCUCUGUUUUGCCUAGGUGGGGCUGCGACGUGUUGAUCUUCCGAGGCCGGGCAUGACCCAGGAAAGUGUGUCCGGCCAAAUGGGAUCAAGCGUGUUGGGUUAUGUGGUGCACCCCUGCAGGGAAGUUAAUCUAUUCGAAUAGCCGUGAUCUUCAGUAACAGGAGGACUUGGAGUUGUACCUUGACCUUAUGACAACUAGAACCGGAUACUUAAUAAAACACACCCUUCCAAGUGCCAGAUACAACCGGUGGUCGCUCUCCCUCAGGGAUACGAGGGGAGGAUCGCCGGGUAGGAUUAUGCUAUGCGAUGCUAAUGCAGAUGCUACCUGGAUAUGCUACUUGGAGAUGCUACUUGGAGGACUUCAAACUACUCUCUUCUACAUGCUGCAAGACGGAGGCUGCCAGAAGCGUAGUCUUCGAUAGGACUAGCUAUCCCCCUCUUAUUCUGGCAUUCUGCAGUUCAGUCCACUGAUAUGGCCUCCUUACACAUAUACCCAUGCAUAUGUAGUGUAGUUCCUUGCUUGCGAGUACUUUGGAUGAGUACUCAUGGUUGCUUUCUCCCCCCUUUUUCCCCUUUCCUUUCUUUCUGGUUGUCGCAACCAGAUGCUGGAGUCCAGGAGCCAGACGCCACCGUCGACGACGACCCCUACUACACCGGAGGUGCCUACUACUACGUGCAGCCCGCUGACGACGACCAGGAGUAGUUAGGAGGAUCCCAGGCAGGAGGCCUGCGCCUCUUUCGAUCUGCAUCCCAGUUUGUGCUAGCCUUCUUAAGGCAAACUUGUUUAACUUAUGUCUGUACUCAGAUAUUGUUGCUUCCGCUGACUCGUCUAUGAUCGAGCACUUGUAUUCGAGCCCUCGAGGCCCCUGGCUUGUAUUAUGAUGCUUGUAUGACUUAUUUAUGUUUUAGAGUUGUGUUGUGAUAUCUUCCCGUGAGUCCCUGAUCUUGAUCAUACACGUUUGCGUGCAUGAUUAGUGUACGAUUAAAUCGGGGGCGUCACAAGUUGGUAUCAGAGCCGACUGCCUGUAGGAAUCCCCCUUCCACACUCCUUGGCCGAAGUCGAGUCUAGACAUUGCAAAACUUUUACUAACUUGGCUGUGUGCCUUACGGGCCCACGUCGCCAUCGGGUGGUACUAGGAUCUUUUAUUCGUCGACCUAUACUCUGGGACUCUGACAUCUCUUCUAUUCGGGUUAAAUGAAUUUUACUAAAUCUAACAUUAGGAUCUCGUUAUCAUUUUCACCCGAGAGCCCCUUAUUGUUGAUGAUCAUCUGCUGCACCAGAAGAUUCCGAAGAUACUCUACGAUGUGCUCUCGAGACUAUGUGCCAUCGCUUUUGCAAUUCACUUCCAUCGAUAAAUUCCUCUGGACAACUACUUACACCUAUCGUUCAUAUUGUCAUCCCCAGUUGCUCUUGUUAUUACAAGAUGUCCUAAAAUACUCUUCGAUAUUCCGAGAAUUCUUUACGCUUACUGCCCUGCAGUUCCUUGCUGCAUGAAUACCCCUACGAAUAAUUACUCACGCUUGCCGAGUAUCCGCUCAUCCCCAGUUGUUCAGGUGUUUCACAAAAGUCUUCAAAAUACUAUUUGAUCUUCCGAAAAUCCUCUGGAGCCAUUUGCUCUUGAAAUUCUUGCUUGCUUGCAAUAUGAUUAAUCCCAUAAGUCUCGUAAUCUUAAUGGCAUACCUUGUCAGUAUCAUUUUGAGUCUGUUGAUUCAAUAUGUUGCGGAUUCUCGCAAUCCUCAAAUAGAUCCUAGAAUUCAUCCUUCCGGCUCAGACGUCAUUUUGAACAUGAGUUGGUUCUCGACCAAACUAUCUGUCAUCGAUUGUGCCUCUGGUAUAUUCAAUUGAUCCAUCCUUGAUCAGAACGUCUGCUUCUGAUCCUUUGUUUUGGAGAUCAUAAUUCCUUUGCAUUUAAGCUGUGAAUUAUUCAGAUGCUUCCAUAACCUGUUGCAUUUGCAUUCCUUCCUCUUCUGGUUGAGUAUCGAUACUCAUAUCAGAUCCUUUGUGGACCAUCAAGUCCUUUGUUGGAUUAUUAUCCGACGAUGUCCUUCAUAAUUAAUCACCUUGUGAGUUCUAUCUCCGAUACAUAAUGCCUUUGGUAAUUUGUAUCCUCUCCUUUUGCCAACCAUGCUCUGCUUUCGAGCUGGUAAUAUUUACUCUCAAAGCUUGUGGUAUAUGUUUCCACGAUACCCUGACGGGUUGAACCUAUGCCUUCCUUAAUUUGUGUGACCUCGAAAUUUAUGCGGGUUAUACCCUGCUGACGCUUUGUCAGAUAACUUUUCAACACUACAACUUCGAAAAGGGGAGGUAAAUGUAAGGUUAUACAUUGAAGAAUGGGAGUCGACCUUGAACUUUGUGUUCAUGCCCAUGGACACGAUGUAGAACUUAUCAUUAAAGCUUCUCUUAAAUUAAUUUUUCCCUUGGUAUAAGUUCUUAUAUCUGGGAUCCCGCCUUUUGCAAUCGGGGUUUCGGCCAUAUGUUCUUCUUUGACCCCAUUUCACGAGCAAGUUUAAGCACUUGUCUUCUGCAGAGCAUUACCCUAGUCCAACCACUACUAUGAUCUGUCAUCGAGUAUUGCCCCCUCUGGUAUCUCGAGAUUAUCACGGAACUACAUAAUUUCUUAUGAGUUCUUCUUCAAGUAUUAUUUGACUUUCGCUGCAUCAUCAUUUGACUUGAUGUCAUCGCCGACCGAUUACAUCUUCAUGAAAUCUCUCGACAAAUGUGUCGUGGUCAUCAGCAACAUCCUGAGCUCUUCCAAGAUAUAUAUCGAAUUCUUGAUGAGAAAUAGCAUCCUCGCCCCUCAAUGGUUUGUGUUAACACUGACCACUUUAUUGCCUUCCGUUCAACACAAACUUAUUCGUGUUUUGUGUUAUACCUUGAGAUCCUUGCUAUCCAGCAUUUGUUCAUCUUUACCUUGGAAUUUUACCACCUUUUAUGUCAAGAAUGUCGUGGUAAUUUUACCACCUCUCGAGAGUUCUUGAUAUAGUAAUAUCUUCCGCCUUUUGCGUUCUUUUCUUGGUCUCCGUGUUGUUUCUAACCAGAAUACCGACAAAUGGUCUGUGAUGUGUAAAUUCUAAACUUCUAGCAACCCUAUUGCUUUGAAGUUAUUGGUCUACAGUUUCAUUCUAAAUCUAUUGCUUAUUGAAUCAUCAUUCGAACAUUGAUCGUGCUACCUAGUCCAGAUUCCUGGGUGCACCCUUCCAUCAUUGUUCAGUUGUGUAUGUUUCCCUCGAGCAUACACCAUUAUAUCUUUUGAUCCGACAAAUGAUAUUUCCUUGUUCACAUAAUUGUGGAAAUCAAUCCUUUGGAAAUCUCGAUGAUUUGUUGCUGAGCCUAUCAGCCACCUCCUCAUCCUCUCCUUGGUUUACUGAUGAACUCUUGUUUCAGAGCUCACUUCCAUAGAUCAUUUCUGAGAAUCUCACAAUGUCAUCUCAUCAAAUUGUGUUGCACCUUUUCUUCUCAGGCAUCCUGAGUCUGAGGUAUCCUGACACCAAUCAAAUCUGAAUCCCGGUCAGAUAUGAUGGUUGGGACAUAUUUCCAAGAGUUAUAACGUUGGUCUUUAUAUGACCCGGUGAGGCGGUGUCAUACCUAGCCCACCUGGCCGGAGGCCCUAUUGUUAUAAUUCCCUUUUAGCAAUGUUAUCCAUUCUUCCAUGAGGAAACUGUAAGACUUAUUCCAUAAGUUGUUCCUGAUGGGUCCUUUGUGUAUCCAAGGUCUGACCUUGCUUGAAGGCCAUGUCAAUGCUAUCUCGAAGCAUGUCACUGGUACUUCGAUUUUUAACAAGAACAUUUGAAGCCCAAUGCUAAAUGUUUUCUGCUCAAUUAUCCAAACACCGUUGUAUGGGUAAUGUCAUGAAAUUCCUCUCCCCUUACCUAAAAGGGUUUUCUACGUUAUAUCCCGUCGUGGAUAUCAUGCUCUGCUUAUCCUUGGGAAGGAUAUACCCCUGGAAUAUGUGUUUCAACACAUUUUCCUUUCCAUUGUUCUGUUUAAUCUGAUAAUCAUAUUUUCCUUUCCAUUGGGUUGUUUGACUUUUCUUGUGAUCUAUAUAAACUAAGAAGUAAUAAUUCAUUGCUUAUGUAAACACCUCGGUGUACAAAUCUGUCAGUAAGACCCUGUUACUAUUGUUGUUGACAUUCCGGUAACCACCGAUGGACGAGAACUUUGCCUAUUGGUCCGCCUUGUUCAACGAGCAGGAGAUGGUUCUCUUCGUCCCUCGCCCUUGGUACCGACGUUGUUACCGACAUAACUGACAGGUUAUUCUCUGGCAUGCCUUGCUAUCAUAACCGUGCAAGAUGUCACCGCUCUUUCAACGUUUAACCCACAUGGUGGGCCCAUAACCCACAGUUCCACAGGAUCAAAACCUGACUCUCCUGUACAGCCCUGUUACUAAUGCUUAUUUCCCACGCUUGGCUUCAUAUUUAAUUCACGGGCCACCUUCCUAAUGCUCUAUUCUGGUAUCAGACGCAAUACUUACUCUCGUUGCUCUGAAACCCUUUCUCACUCCGGUUCAGACUUCGAGAAACUAUCUAUCCGCUUGGAACCUCUUAUUGUACCUUCGUACCUUACCCUCGACAUAUUUUAUUGGUUCAACUCAAGAGAUACUCUUAUGCUCAUUCAUGGGUUAACCCCAGAUUGUCUCUCUCAUAAGCAUUCUGUCGUAGCCGAGCUGCCCCUUACCCAUUCGUAAGUACGUUGGAGUUCCCGAAGAAAAGGACGACCUCACCAUGAUGACCUGAAGCACAGAAAUAAAGACGUCAAUGUAACGGAUCGACCUCUUCGAGAAGAGCAACUAUGACCGAGAAGAAUCGUUAGAGUUUCGAAACCAGAUCCCUUCCCCCUUAUAACCGCUCCUAAAUCUCGGGACGAGAUUUCUUGUAGUGGAGGAGAAUUGUGACGCCCGGAUAAUUAGGCUACAAUAAUCUCGCGUUAACGAUGCCACGUCACCUCGGUUACUGUUGAUAAACUCGAGUUAGUUCAAAAACGAUUCAAAUUAAAAUUUAAAAUAUAGGCAAACAAUAAAAUUUUCAAAUAUUAAAACUAAAAUGUUUGGGUUGUGUCAAAUAAAUCGUAAGUAAUUAUGGUGGAGAAACCAAACUUUGUUAUAAAGUUUAAAGGCUCUAAAUUAAUUAAAAAAAUGGCUAAAAAUAAAUAUUUAAAUGCCUUCUAAAUUUAUAGAAGUGCAAAAUAUUUCAUUUAGGUACCGAACUUUUUGUGACCGUGUCUCAUUUUGCCACUCUAAAUAUGGAGCCAGUUUAAUAUUUUGUAAAACUAUUUUACUAACAAAAAUAAAAGAAAACAGUACAUGAAAAAUAUAUAAAAGGAAGAGGUAUAAACAAAAACAAAACAACAAAAAAANNNNNNNNNNNNNNNNNNNNNNNNNNNNNNNNNNNNNNNNNNNNNNNNNNNNNNNNNNNNNNNNNNNNNNNNNNNNNNNNNNNNNNNNNNNNNNNNNNNNNNNNNNNNNNNNNNNNNNNNNNNNNNNNNNNNNNNNNNNNNNNNNNNNNNNNNNNNNNNNNNNNNNNNNNNNNNNNNNNNNNNNNNNNNNNNNNNNNNNNNNNNNNNNNNNNNNNNNNNNNNNNNNNNNNNNNNNNNNNNNNNNNNNNNNNNNNNNNNNNNNNNNNNNNNNNNNNNNNNNNNNNNNNNNNNNNNNNNNNNNNNNNNNNNNNNNNNNNNNNNNNNNNNNNNNNNNNNNNNNNNNNNNNNNNNNNNNNNNNNNNNNNNNNNNNNNNNNNNNNNNNNNNNNNNNNNNNNNNNNNNNNNNNNNNNNNNNNNNNNNNNNNNNNNNNNNNNNNNNNNNNNNNNNNNNNNNNNNNNNNNNNNNNNNNNNNNNNNNNNNNNNNNNNNNNNNNNNNNNNNNNNNNNNNNNNNNNNNNNNNNNNNNNNNNNNNNNNNNNNNNNNNNNNNNNNNNNNNNNNNNNNNNNNNNNNNNNNNNNNNNNNNNNNNNNNNNNNNNNNNNNNNNNNNNNNNNNNNNNNNNNNNNNNNNNNNNNNNNNNNNNNNNNNNNNNNNNNNNNNNNNNNNNNNNNNNNNNNNNNNNNNNNNNNNNGUGUGCGCCCGCAGGCGCCACCCCCCUCUCGCUCCUGCCCUUGCUGGCGUCGCCCGCGGCAGCCAACCGCCGGCGCCCAGCCAACCGCGGCCCCUGCUACCUUCGCCGCAGCCGGCGCCCUCCCCUGUCCGGCGCCCGGUUGGGUUCGGCCACGCCCUGGCGCCCCGCACCCGAUCCAUCGCCCGCGCCCGUUUGGCCCUAUGGGCAACUGCCCAGUGGGCCCCCCCUCACACCCCUGCUAAAAAAAAGAGAUAAAAAAAGAAGAAUAAUUAAUUAAUUAAUUAAUUAAUUAACUUAAUUAAUGUUGCUUAAUUAACCAAUUAACUAUCUAAUUAGCCUAAGUAAACAUGUUAGUUAACUAGACAGUCAAUGACAGGGGGCCCCACCCCUGUUGACCAGUCAAAGUUUGACUGGUCAAAUGGGUUCCCCUGGUCCCACUUGUCAGCCUGUGUACAAUUUUUGUGUACACUGUGCUGGGUACAUCUAGCAAUUUAACAUUAAUUUCGAAUUAAAAUAGAUUAGAAAAUGAAUUAAAACUUUGAAAAUUAAUAUAAAAUAAUUCAUAACUCGGAUGGAAAAACUUUGUACAUGAAAGUUGCUCAGAACGACGAGACGAUUUCGAAUACGCAGUCCGUUCGUCCGCCACACACCCCUAACCUAUCGAACUCGCAACUUUCCCCCUCCGGCUCCUCUGCCCGAAAACGCGAAACACCGGGAAUACUUCCCGGAUGUUUCCCCCCUUAACCGGUACCACCUCAUACCACGUUAGGGCACACCUAGCACCGCUCAUUGUCACGUCACGCAUCGUCGUGUUUAUGUUUGCAUUGUAUUCAUUGUUUCUUCCCCCUCUUAUCUCUGGUAGACUACGAGACCGACACUGCUGCUGCCCAGUUCGACUACGGAGUUGACGACCCCUCCUUCUUGCCAGAGCAACCAGGCAAGCCCCCCCUUUGAUCACCAGAUAUCGCCUACUCUUUUCUCUAUACUACUUGCAUUAGAGUAGUGUAGCAUGUUACUGCUUUCCGUUAAUCCUAUUCUGAUGCAUAGCCUGUCAUUGCUGCUACAGUCAUUGAUACCUUACCCGCAAUCCUAAAUGCUUAGUAUAGGAUGCUAGUGUUCCAUCAGUGACCCUACACUCUUGUCCGUCUGCCAUGCUAUACUACUGGGCCGUGAUCACUUGGGAGGUGAUCACGGGUAUAUACUAUACAUACAUACAUACUAUACAGAUGGUGACUAAAGUCGGGUCAGCUCGUUGAGUACCCGCAAGUGAUUCUGACGAGGGGGCUGAAAGGACAGGUGGCUCCAUCCCGGUAGAGGUGGGCCUGGGUUCCCGACGGCCCUCGACUGUUACUUUGUGGCGGAGCGACAGGACAGGUUGAGACCACCUAGGAGACAGGUGGGCCUGGCCCUGUUCGGCGUUCGCGGAUACUUAACACGCUUAACAAGAUCUUGGUAUUUGAUCUGAGUCGGCUACGAGCCUAUACGCACUAACCAUCUACGUGGGAGUAGUUAUGGGUAUCCCGACGUCGUGGUAUCAGCCGAAGCACUUCAGACGUCAGCGACGGAGCGGUGCGCGCCGGAUUGGACUGGAACGCCUACUAGGCUAGGUCUGCUUCCGGCCGCCCUCGCAACGUGCAGGUGUGCUAUGGGCGAUGGGCCCAGACCCCUGUGCGCUUAGGUUUAGACCGACGUGCUGGCCUCUCUGUUUUGCCUAGGUGGGGCUGCGACGUGUUGAUCUUCCGAGGCCGGGCAUGACCCAGGAAAGUGUGUCCGGCCAAAUGGGAUCAAGCGUGUUGGGUUAUGUGGUGCACCCCUGCAGGGAAGUUAAUCUAUUCGAAUAGCCAUGAUCUUCGGUAACAGGACGACUUGGAGUUGUACCUUGACCUUAUGACAACUAGAACCGGAUACUUAAUAAAACACACCCUUCCAAGUGCCAGAUACAACCGGUGGUCGCUCUCCCUCAGGGAUACGAGGGGAGGAUCGCCGGGUAGGAUUAUGCUAUGCGAUGCUAAUGGAGAUGCUACCUGGAUAUGCUACUUGGAGAUGCUACUUGGAGGACUUCAAACUACUCUCUUCUACAUGCUGCAAGACGGAGGCUGCCAGAAGCGUAGUCUUCAAUAGGACUAGCUAUCCCCCUCUUAUUCUGGCAUUCUGCAGUUCAGUCCACUGAUAUGGCCUCCUUACACAUAUACCCAUGCAUAUGUAGUGUAGUUCCUUGCUUGCGAGUACUUUGGAUGAGUACUCACGGUUGCUUUCUCCCCCCUUUUUCCCCUUUCCUUUCUUUCUGGUUGUCGCAACCAGAUGCUGGAGUCCAGGAGCCAGACGCCACCGUCGACGACGACCCCUACUACACCAGAGGUGCCUACUACUACGUGCAGCCCGCUGACGACGACCAGGAGUAGUUAGGAGGAUCCCAGGCAGGAGGCCUGCGCCUCUUUCGAUCUGUAUCCCAGUUUGUGCUAGCCUUCUUAAGGCAAACUUGUUUGACUUAUGUCUGUACUCAGAUAUUGUUGCUUCCGCUGACUCGUCUAUGAUCGAGCACUUGUAUUCGAGCCCUCGAGGCCCCUGGCUUGUAUUAUGAUGCUUGUAUGACUUAUUUAUGUUUUAGAGUUGUGUUGUGAUAUCUUCCCGUGAGUCCCUGAUCUUGAUCGUACACGUUUGCGUGCAUGAUUAGUGUACGAUUAAAUCGGGGGCGUCACAGUUCAUUAAUUGGUCAAGACGAUUAAUUGGCAUUUAAUCGGUUGUCAAACGAUUAACUGGUUGUCAAACCGAUUAAUCGGUGAUGGGGCAGGUAACUGAAGUAGCAUCCAUAAAAAAAGGGGGUAACCGAAGCGGCAAUCCAGGCCAUUAUUUGGCCCCGUAACCUCCGGUGCUGCACCUUCCCUCUCCCAAAUCACAACACCCUUCCUCUCCCGACUCUUCAUGAGUCACGACCAUGGCUUCUCCUCGCCGGCCCUAGCCACUGUCGACGAUCUCCCUACUCCCGUCGCUGGCCCUAGCCUCCUUCUGUGACCCCCAUCCCCUCCCAUCCUCUUCUCCCCGUCUCUCCUCUAGCUCCUACCAGCAGGCUACAACAGCGGCGACAUAGGACAGGCAGCAGCAGCAACCUAGGCCAGGCAGCAGUGUCGUCGACCUAGGCCAGGCAGCAGCGCCGGCGACCCCUCGAACCAGGUCCCCAUGGAUUCACCAACCAACAAGGUACAGUUCUGCUAAGAUUCAUCUAAAUGUUUUAAUCUCUGCUAUGAUUUCCAUCUAGGUUGGCAACACAAUUUGUAGGGGUCUACCGUAGGUUCUACCGCUGCAAGUUCUCAAACUCUCAAGAGAAAUUCAGAUGACAUGGUUGGGAGUUCGCAACCUUGAUUGAUCCUCUAGAUUUUAUCGCGAGUGAAGUGCAAGUUGUGUGGAAAAUAGAUGUUUGGAGGGAUCAAUAGGAUGAAGCAACAUAUUGCUCAGAUUAGGGGGAAAGUCGCACCCUGCAUGGUGGCCAACGCGGAUCAACAAAAGAGGUGUAGGGAAGCUUGUGAGGCACCAUCAAAGAAGAAGAAGCUAAAAGCAAAACAUGAUGCAGAAGUGGCGGCUAAGUUGUCAUUGAAGUUGAGGAGAAUGAAAAGAACGAUGAAGAGCUUGCUGCAAUUGGAGAUGGUGAAGCUUACAGCAUAUAAAAAUGCAUAUCUAUCAUCAAUUCUGUAGGUUUGUUGCCUUCCGGUUUGGAUGCAUCAUGACCAAACCGUCUAGGUAACAAUUCUACCUCUUUUCCAUGCUUUUUAUAUGCCUACGACAUUAUAUUUUAGUAUAAAAAUAUAUAAUCGUAGCUAUGAGCAUUGGAUUAUGUGGUACAAUACGUGAAAAACUAGCUAGAUGUUGCCAAUAUAUUCUCAUGUGCAGCCGAUUAAUGAUCGAUCGAUUAAUUCAGUUAAAUGGCUGAUUAACCGAUUAAUUGCUAAUCAGUAGUCGACCGAGAAAUUACCAGUUGUCGAAUUCCUGAACAAUGAUAAAAACAAUGUCAUAAUUAGUAAACAAUUUUCAACCAAAAAAGGGAUAAACAACAAUAGGAAUUCUAAAACAAAACCUGCAGCUACAUAAGUAAAUUUUACAUUAGCACAAGUGCAGAUUCUCUCCCACUUCUCACAUUUUUUUUAUAAAAAAGUAGAAUACACAAUUAAUCCAAAGUCUAAAUUCCAAAAAAUGGAUCGUCCUACAUAACUGACCUAGCUGCGCGAUUGCUGUUGAUAUAUCAUCCUACACAUACAAUUCAUCUGAUUCCCAUCCAUAUAAACCCCUUAAAUAAUAAGUAAAUCAUAUAACACUGUUCCCCCAAGUGAAUCAUGUUAUCAAGACAAACCACCAGGGCAAGCAUGGUAAAAAUUAUCUUGAAUAAUCAAAUUAAUAAGAGCUAAACCUUCCUAUAGAAUAAAGUUAACAAGCUUAAUCAACAUUUAGGUUGGGUUCAACAUUAAAAAACAACUAUUCUAGAUAGUAGAUAGAUCACGGACAUGAGUUACUUAUGCAAAUAUGCUUGUGGCAAAUUCAUUCAUCCGUAUAUACUAUAUCACCAAGAAGAUGAGAACAAUACUUCUGAUCCGGUAUGUGUGUGUGUUGAACUGAAAAGUUUAGUACAAAUAAUAAAGGUGUACUCAAGAGCAGGUGCAGGACCUAGAAUAGCCCUGCUUCCAAUUAGUACUAGCAUGAUUUACAAAGAACCUUUACCAGAAGAAGCCACCUAAAAUAUUGAAGAAGUUAGGGGAUAAUGGACGCAUCAGAGAUCAAUGAAAUGAGCAUCGUUAGGAGACAUAAAAACAAUUAUUAAUCUUUUAGUUGCUAAAAUGGUUUUCUUCACUGCAUCCAUGAAUUGCUAAAAAAGUUGGUGCAUGCAUGCAUAUCUAAACCAUUUUUCAUCCUAAUGUCAUUGUCCUCCAGACGAAAUAAUAGGACAAACCGAUCAGCUUUCCUGUAUGCUUUUAGGCUCUCAAAUAAUUCCUAAAUACCAAAAUAACAACGGUCCUUCAGGACAUCCAAGA
rnacentral:lncRNA from 1 species